AUACUGUUACAUUUUUAACAUUGAAGUCAAUCUUUUUUAAGUUAAUAGAGUGAAAAGAUAUAAUAAUAAAAGGCUAUGUAAUCUUUCACUUGCACAUAUUCUGUACUCUCUGGAGCACGACGGUAGGAAACAUGAUUACAGAUGUUAAAUUCGCCUUUUUUCACAAGUUUAUCAGCUUCGUUUGCGGCCUCUGCUGCUUGUUUACCAAGCUUGUAACGAGAAAUCAAAUUUGGGCACAACCCUUUGAAGCAGAAUAUCUUAGCUCUAUCUUUAUCAUCAAUGAUGGAUUUUGCAACCCCUUCACUGAAUUCAGCAACUCUAUUUAGCCAGUCUCUGACACCCUUAUAAAUCUCAUCUCCUUGUAGAGUAGCCUCUCUAACCAGUGUUUGCACCCUUUCUCUUAUAUAUUCCAGCUCCUUCACUCAAUCUUUUAGCCCAUUUAUGUAGCUCUGGUACUCGAACACAUAAGAUAUGUGCCGCAUAAUCAGUUCGAAUAAUGCUUUUGAACAUUGUGAUACAAUGCUGGAAAAAGCAGGGAGACACCCUUCUGCAGCCAUUGCUUGUUGCUUAACAAUAUAUAUAUAUAUAUAUAUAUACAAGUGUCAAAGAAAGGAAUACAAAUAAAUUAAUAUGAACUAGAGAGAAAGAUAGAGAAUGAAAAGACCGCCAACAAUAUCGCUAUAUUGAUCUUGAACCAACUAAUAAUUAAAUAGAGAAUUUCUUUUUCUUUCUUAAGGAUCAGAGGUUUUGCUAUUAGCAAAAAGGUACUUCAAGGGUCUGAAUAAAAAACCAACCAUAAAUUAUCAAAAGCUAGUAAGAACACAGACGUAAACAAUGAACAAUUACUUAAGCCAAACAGACCAUGAUACAAAGCAAAUCUAAUAAAAUGACAAAGAAAGAAAGAAAGAAAAUACAACAAACAGUAUUGAAGUGUUGAUCAUGAGCCAACUGAUAUUUAAACAGAUUUUUUUUUUAAUUUUUAGUCUUUUCUAAAAGGAUUAGAGUUCUUGCUAUUAAUAGAAAGGUUUCAAAGAUCUGACACUAUUAGAAAAGUAUUAAAUAAUGACAAAAAUUUUAUGACAUAUAUGGUUGUAUCUCGAAUGUGUCAUAAAAUUAUGAUAGAUUCAUAAUAUGUAUUCAUAUGCCCAGAAUAUAUGAUAUAUUCAUGACUUAUAACUUAACCGUAGUAAAUAAAUGAUACAUAUAAGUCAUGAUUAAGUUUUGUGACCUUAUAAGAUUGUAAAACAGUGUCGUUUAAAUUAACGACACCGUUCUGUAUAACUUAAAACACAUCAACACUUCAGCCAAAUUUUGGCGGGUAAAAACCCAUUUAGUCCCUAUAUUUUAAGAUUAGUAUACAUUUAGUCCCUAUAUUUUUAAAAAUGCCUCGAAACGUUCCUGCCGUUAAAGUAUUGAUACCCCUACUGUUACUUUUUAUUUCUUUUGGCUUACUUUUACAAUAUUAUAAAAGUGUAAUAUUGUAAAAGUAAGCCAAAAGAAAUAAAAAGUAACAGUAGGGGUAUCAAUACUUUAACGACAGGGACGUUUCGAGGUAUUUUUAAAAAUAUAGGGACUAAACAGACACUAAUAUUAAAAUAGAGGGACUAAAUGAAUUUUUACCCAAUUUUGACUAAGCGUUGAAUAAAUCCCUCUCUCUCCACUGGCGACUACAACCUAAAAUGAAUCAACUCUGAGCCUCUCUCUAUAACACUAUAUAGAACCCUAAACCUAAGAGCAUCUCCAAAAGGCUUUAUAAAUUUUACUCUUUAAAUAUUUAUUUGCUUACCUAUGUGGCUAAUAGAAGAGUGAAAAAAUAUAUUAUCUCUAAAAGACUUUUCAAAUAUAAAUGAGUUAAUAUUAUUUUAAUUAAAUAAUUAUUUUUUAAAAUGAAAAGUCAAUAAUAAUUAAAUCAUCUCUCUCUUUUUCCAACAAAAAUAAUAAAAUAUAAAUUAAAAAGAAAGAAAUCAACUCUCUAAAUUUAAAGAGAUAGAAUAAUUUUUUAUUUAAAAAAUUUUAAUUAAAAUAUUUUAUAAAACUUUAAAUGUUGACUUAACUUUUCAGACAGCUAAUAAAAUAAGAAAUAAAAUCUUAUUUGAAAAGUGUUUUCCUUAUAUUUUAAGUCUCACAUUCGCAACCGACGAAGCUGAAAAAGUUCCCCACAUAUCAAAACCACAGCGAACUGCCUCCGACCCUACGGACCCAAAAAAAUUUAUUGUAUUCCUGCUCUUUCACAUCAAUAAUUUUUUGUAUUAUUCCAUAACCCAAAAGCUUUCCUCUGUUUCAACUAAGCGAAAAUUUACAUAUUAAAGCCUAGCUCAAAUUCCUUUUUUCAAUCGAAAUAAAACGUAGCCCCAAAACCCUAAUUCACCACACCAAUUUAUCUCUGCCCGGUAUUCAUUUAAACCCUACCUCGCGGUUCAAUGUCAUUCAAUACGAUUGCAGAUGCCGUUUCAACUUGUCAUUUAGUUAUUGCCAUCCAGUUCUCUAUGGUAAGCCUUAACCCUAACAACUAAUCGACUGUGGUAGCACGUUGCUUGUUAGGAGUGGGGAUACAUUAUUUAACUAUAUGAAUUGGGUGAUGUUAGUGAUUCAUUCCCCUAUUUGUCAUGAAUUAAGAUUUGUGUAUAAUGCUAGUCAGAUUGCUAAAAAUUUCAUAUUUUGUAUUGUUCCAGUUGAAUUUCUUGCUUGUGGAAGAUAAAACAAAAGUUCAAUUUCAUGUUGAUUUAAUUCUUCUUUUUCUUCUUUUUUUUUUUCUUCUUUAUAGUCACGCUCUGGCUUUGGUGCUAUGCUUAGUGCAGUUUAUGGUUUCAAGAUUAAGUCACGUUUAUUUGAUGGCAUCGAUUCCAUCGUUGAGGAUUGGAUUGUUGAUCAAAUGCACAUAGUAAGCUCUUCUUAUUUUAUCUCAGUUUUAAUUUUCUUUUAUUAUCUGCCUCUACCUGAAAAUGGACGUGUUUUACUAGUAAGCAUAGACUUUGUUUAUUUAAUUGAUAUUUUAAUUUUAUGUAUAAGAAUAGAGGUUUAUUUUGGAAAAAAAAGCAAUAAAAAAACAGACUCUGUUGAAGCUAAUUAGUACUGAAUGUUUUUGGUGGUGCGACCAGAGGUGGAAACAGGGUAUGAAAAUGUGUUACUAGUGAGGUUGCUGCUUAAGAUGAGAAUGCAUUCUUUUCAAAAAUCCUUGGUAGGUGUGAUCUAAUUAUAUUUGAUGGAAUAUUAAAUGGCUAAAAAUCUGUCAUACGUUCAAACUUUGUUUGUGUUUGGAAGAAUGGUGUUGACUGUAUAUUCGUUUGGAAGAAUGGUGUUGAUUGUAUAUUCAUUUGCUUAGCCUUUUGACAGAUGGAUUUGAAACUGACGACAAAUGUGAUUCAAUUUACAAGGUUUUCGAGGGGCUCACAGUGGAAGGGAUAUUGAAGAACUGGUCUAAGAUAAAGCCUAUGAUUGUGAAAGAUUGGAGUGAGAAUAUAAAUGCUCGUUUAAAUCUCUUUGGCAAGGUCAGAGAUGAAUGGAUAGAUAAGGAUUUAUUUGACUACUUGGACUGGUGCUAAUAGGUAUUUUAGGCAAGCUUUUUGAGAUAACACUGAGCAAGUUAUACUACUAGUUUGCACAUGAUGAUCAAAACUCUCAAAAAGUAAAAUAAAAUAAAUUAUUAACUUUUACUUAUCUUUUGCAUAGCAAUCAAUGUGGUGCUUGUUCUGUGACAACUUUGAUAAUCUACUUAAUUAUUGGUUAGCAUUUGGACCAAAAAAGUUCUUAUGAUUUACAUGUUUUGUAGAAAUGCAUGAACCUUAAAUGUGCUGAUCAGGGAGUUUAAUUAUUGCACCUUGAAAUUCAUUUAUUGUUAACUAAUUGGCUUUCCUUUGCAUAAAGCCGCUUAUAAGGCUUGAGUGGACGUCUUUAUGGGCAUAUUAUUUGUAUUUCUAUAUGCAUGCCUUUAUCACUUAAUGUGCUGCUUUUAUUUCUUUAUGCAUGCCUUUAUCAUUUAAUGGCCAGCUCCCUCUCCUCUUUUGUAAUUUGAAUAGUAGUAUGGGCCUCCAUUUUACAAAUCUUUAACAUUUUUUGCUGUAAAUUAAUUUUUCUUUCAAAUAUUUUGGAGGUCAUUGGAAUUCCUGUAGGUCUAUUUACCAGAUUUUAGUAUGUUUAAGGUUUUAAUUUUGCUUAAACUUUAAUUUUUCUGAAAGAUUGUAGUAUUGAUCCUUAAAGAAAGAUCAUGCUACUUCAAAUUAUUUUGAAGUGUUGCCAGUUAUAGCCUUACAUAACAAAUUCCAUUUGUCUGGAAAUUUAUUGAUAGCUGUUACAGCAGCAUAUUUUAUGACUCUACUUCUUAGUUAUGUAAGUUCAUUAUGUUUAGGUCAGAGGCAGUCAGCUGUGGGGAAUCGAUAUAUACACAGAUGACUUUGAUCUUGUUGCUGGUAUGUGGUUCUAUGAAUAAUUGUGUUUGCCUCACUGUUUUUGUUUUAUGAGAUCUAUAAUUGAUCUUGGGAUAUUACUUUCUAGUCCUCAUGCAAGCAAGUUACUACCUUCCCACUGCAUCUCCUCCUUUAUCUGCUAUUCAAGAGUUGCGUGCCAUAAUCUGGUGUUACCUCUGCAAGAUUGUGAAUGAAUAUAAUGCCUCUAAAUUUAUUUUAUACAUAAUGCUGAUGCUGAAUAAUAUAUUGUAGCUCCUGUCAUAUUCUACUUUGACUUUUUAUAUUCUGUUUCAUAUAAAAAUCUUAUUCAACUUUAGUUGUUCAUGAGCAAAUGUCACAUGUAUAAGCCCAAAUGAUGUUUAAAGGUAGCGCGGCUACCUUUAGUUUGAGCUUACAAUGGAUGAAAAAGAAAUUGAAACUGAUAUUUUGCUGUUUUUCUGAUUUUUCAAAGUAUUUUAGAUCCUGAGUUUUGUUUGGACUUGAUGGUUAUAGAUUGUGUCUAGAUUUGUUAAGUUGUUUCCAACACCUCGUGCCAAAUGAAAGCACAAUCUUUCUGAUUCAGAUGUCUUGUUAAUUAUGCUUCAUUUUUUCGUUAAAGAUUGGAUGGUUGCAUGGAUUGAUGGAGUUGGAGUUCAACCAAUAAUUCUAAUUUUUUGGACUUAAAAUGCCUUUUUCUUCUGUAUAAAAACUUUAGUAAGUGCUAUUGAGUUGACGGAGGUUGAAUACUUACAGGUUGUUUCACACUUUUUAAUAGUUUUACAUAUAUGAAUUUCUGUUUUUUGAAUUGCAGAAAGGAGGUGGAACUAUUGAUUUGGAGCCUUAUCUUACUCACUCAUCGACAAUGGAGCCUAUCCUCGCUCCCAUGGCAGUGGAACGGACAACAACUACUAGGGCUGCAACAUCAGUUGGUUUGGGUCUGUUUUGAGUUUAUUUUCAUUUAUUUGGCUAUGUUUUGAUAGCGAAUUUUGAUAUGUCAAUAUAAUGUGUAAUUGUUUUGGGUUGAGCUGGUAAUUAUGCUGGAUUAGAUUGGUUUGGUUUUGGUGCUUCUCUGAUGGAACUCUGCUUUUUUUAGAAAUUUUGAAUGUAAUAUGAGACUACAUUUAGUUUAAUUUAACACUGCAUCUAGUCUAAUUACUAGAAGUGUGGCAUUUGGUUUGGUUUAUCCGAUAUUCUCCAGAAUUUCACUUGCAUCUGGUUUUGUUGCAUAUGUUUGCUUGCAUUUGAUGGCAGUAGCAGACUGUUUGGUUUUGUGACAUUUGAUGGCAGUUUGGUCUGUUCUUGGUGUUGAUUUAAGAUUGUUCCUGUUGUGCUGAUGUUAAUUGCAGGUGCUUGAAUCAGCUAGGGUUGCUGGUUUAUUCAGAUGGUUGACUCAGGCGUUGUUACUGGUUAAUUCAGGUGGCUGACUCAAGUUGUUCAUUUAAUGUUAGGAAGCAAACUAAGAAUUAAUGAAGUAUUCAUUUAACUAUAAUUAUUGUAGUUAUUUUAUUUCAUAACUGAAUUAUAAUCUAUGAUACUUGUGAACAAAUUAGAGAAUUUUUAUAUAUGAAUUAUAUAUGUGUGUGUAUGUACAUUUUGCUAUUUAUAUAAUAAUUUAAAGAAUAUAUUUCAAUUCCCACAAAAAAAAAUGGCUCCAAUUUCAAUAAUUCCCGCCAAAUAAUUAAAUUUUUUUAAUUUACUGCCAAAAUAUAUCUUAAAGAAAUGUUAGUUAUUCUUGCUAGAUUUAACAAAAAUAAUUUGUAGGAUUAACAUUUAAUUAAAAUAAUUAAAUAAUUUUAUUAUUCCAAUUAAAUAUGUCAUGUUUAUACGUCAUACAAUAGUCAUGAAUGGGAAGUAUUAGUUACAUAUUUUUCCUUGGGAUUUCAGGCAAAUGAAAAAAAGAUUGAGAAUGGUUUCAAGAGGACAGGUGGAUGAUAAGUAUUCAUUUUUGUAUAUUUGGUUAGGGGAUUUUUAUGGUAUUGAUCUUUUUUUUUUUUUAAAUUUUCAAUUAGUUGCAGCCUUAGAGGAAGAGCAGGCUGAUCAAAUUGAUUUGUCUUGUUUUUCGGGCAAUCUACGACACGAUGAUCGUGAUAAUGCUCGUGACUGCUGGAAACUUUGUGAUGGAAAUAACUUUAGAGUUCGUAGCAAGCAUUUUUGUUAUGACAAAACAAAGGUUCCCCCAUAUUUUGUUUGUUUGUUAUGGUAUUUAUAUAUCCUGCAUAGGCUAGGUAGACAGGUUAUGAUGUAGUUUGGUUGGCUCUUCUUGUGCUUUGUGCAAUUUGUAACUGCAGAUACCUGCGGGAAAACAUUUAAUGGACCUUGUUGCUGUUGAUUGGUUCAAAGACACAAAGAGAAUUGACCAUGUAGCUAGGCGUCAAGGCUGUGCUGCACAAGUAACUAUUCUUUUCUUUUUAUUUUUCCUUUUCCAUUGAUGCAUUAGGAGAAAAUAUUGCCUGUGAGAUACUUCAAUGUAAAUAACUUCUCAUGGUUCAUUGAAUCUAUAACACACUGACCCUCUUCUAAAAAACGUAGGUUGCUUCUGAAAAAGGGCUUUUCUCACUGAUCUUUAAUCUUCAAGUAAGUUUGUUUCAUUUCAGAAGGUAUUAAGUUUCAAACUUAUUGUAUUGGGAGGUUGUAUAGUUGUAACCUAAGCAUCUGCAGGUUCCUGGUUCGACACAUUAAAGUAUGGUAUUUUAUUUUGUCACAAGGCAAUUGGUUAUGGGAUCACUUUUGCAACGGUUUGUUGAUGGCGAUGAUGAGUUUCGCAAUAGUAGGUUGAAACUUAUUCCAUCUGUUCCUAAGGUAUCCAUCUUGGCCUUCAUGUAUUAGGACUAUAUUAACGUAUACUUACCCUUUUCUGCAUGGUACACUUCAAUUUGUCCAAAGAAGGCAUGCAUUUAGGUGUAAAUGUAUUGAUGGGUAGUACCUUCAAACUUCAUGUCCUUUUUACCCUCUUGAAUUUGUUUUGCACUUGUUCUUGAUUUUAAGCACUGAAUCAUGCAGGGGUCAUGGAUCGUGCGCCAGAGUGUUGGAAGCACCCCUUGUUCAUUAGGGAAAGCGGUUAAUUGUAACUAUAUUCGCGGUUCCAAGUACUUAGAAGUAAAUGCUCUUGGAAUUUCUAUAGUACAUGAGAUGUUCAUCUUUCAAAUAGCGUCCGAUACCAUUAACAUGGUUUAACAUUGUUCAUCUUUUUGUAGAUUGAUGUUGACAUUGGUUCUUCUACUGUUGCUAAUGGAGUUUUGGGCCUUGUAAUUGGUGUAAUUACGACAUUGGUGGUUGACAUGGCUUUCCUUGUACAGGUAUGUAUGAUUGUUUUUUUCCCCCACUUCUAAAUGGACACAAGGGAAAAGACAUGAUUUUGAGAUAUUGCACUGCAAUUUGCAUUUUUGCAUACUUGAAUGUUCUCAGAAUAGUAUAAUGCUUCGUGUGUGUCUUCUUUAUCUUGCUCUUCUGUAUGCAGGCAAAUACUACAGAUGAAUUACCGGAGCGGCUGAUUGGUGCUGUACAUGUUUCUCAUAUAGAACUCAAGUCUGCUGUUGUCCCAAAGUUGGAACCAGAGAUAUCAUGACUCUGGUUUCAUUUCACCUCAACUGUGUUUUUUUUUUUUUUAAAUUAAAAAAACAUUUGUUUUAGGUAUACAUACAUGUAUUUUGAUCCCAUUUUCAUGGGAAUUUUGCAUUAAAAAAUGAAGAAUAGUGAAUAGGAAAUUUCUUGAUUCUUUAGUUACUAUUUUUGGUAUGAGUGUAAAUAGUAGUAAAGUUGGUUUCUACUCGCAAACAAGUGAACUGCUCGAUUCCUGAGUGGUAUCAACCAGUUUCCAACUUUUUAAUAUACACUAAUUGUUAUUGUUUAAUAGCUACUACUAUUAAAACUCAACAGCUGACAAAAAUACUUAAAAAAAAUGAUUUUACUUCUUUCCACGAGAUCUAUAACAUGGUCUUGACUUCACGAAAUUCUUUUAAUUUAAAACGUGCUGGUGUGAGAAGGUCAGUUUGACGGAUUAAUUCUUUUUUAACAGUGGUCGAGAUAAUUUUACUAUACUCAAAAAUAUUCUUAUUCUGAUAGUGCCAUAAAUGUUAUGCUGUUUUCUUCGGCUAAUGGUCUUCUAUCAAGAGAGGGUAGAAAUCAAAUGCUUAAAAGACCAAUUGAAGGAAUAAUACAGAAAUUUAGGCAGAAUCUAAUCGAAUAUUGCAUGAAACAGGAAACAUCAAUUCAAGUCCUUUCUUAAACGGAGAAUGCAUCAAACAAAAUCCAAAGUGUCUUGCAAGUCUGUAGCAUGAGCAAAAAAUUAUUCAAGUACAGAAGAAUGAGCAAGCUAAAUCAUGUAUAAGAGAUUGGUCUGGUUCGGGAUAGCUUCUUCACUGUACCUAAAGGGUUGGCUCAAUCUCUUCUUUAGAAUUCUGCAGAUUUUGUAAUUACUCGUGUAAGCAAGCAUACAUUGCCACCAUAAGAAUAAUAAAGCUAGAGUAAUGAUAUGACCACCACCUCUCGUGCACAAACAAUAUUGUAUAAACUAAUGAGACAUAAUAUGAUUGGUUAAACAAAAACAUUACAUGGCCCUCAUAAUAAUAAUAAUAAUAAUAAUAAUAAUAAUAAUAAUAAUUAUUAUUAUUAUUAUUAUUAUUAUAUAUUUUCAGUCAACCAAUCAUAUUAUAUCACAUUAGUUUCUAUAAAAUAAUUAGCUAAAUAGCACCAAAACUUAAUUGAUACUCACCAUUUCAUUGAACAAUUUUUUUAUGGUGUCAUUGAGGUUGCCUUCCCAACAUCCUUCAUCAUCAUCAUCUUCUUCUUCGGUGACGUUCACUUUGUUUAGCAUUGGUGUGUCUAAGAGUCCUUGAGAGAAGAUCUUCAUUUUUGGACACUGUCUCACAACUACUUGUUUCAAGGACGGGAAUUCAAGAGCGUAAUUACCUAAACAAAAGCUUGUUAGGCUUGGCAAACAAUCAAGUCCCAAGUACUCCAAUUCCUUGAAAACAUUGCAAUCUUUCGCUUCUUCUCCAACCUGCAAUUGUAUGAUUUGUUCUAUCAUUUUGCAAUCAGCUAUCAUCAUUCUUCCGAGAUUCACUAGAUUUUUAGAUGCUGAGAGCGUCAACACAUUUAUCAACUCGUGACACUUCGAUACUUUCAAAGCCUCAAGAUUUUCCAAAUGCCACGAAGGUGGUACUAAUUUUUGCAACUUACUACAUUCCGAUAUUUCCAGCCUUUCCAAGUUUGCAAACGCUUUGUUGGAUUCGUCAUUUUCCUUCCAGAGAUGCUGCACUUUGUGUAAUCCAGACAGUCUUAAAUUCCCCAAUUGAGGGAAAGCAACCUGAAAAUCAACAAAAUUAAGUUGUAAAUGAAAAUAUGUAUCCAAUCUCUGCAGUCUUCCCCUGCAUAUUUUAUGGACAAGAUUAAUCACGGCAUUUUAUAUUUUAUUUCCAAAUUAGUAUGCUUUGCACUAGGAUCCCAAAUAUAAGUAUCAAAUCGAUUACCCUUUGAAACACAUAAAUGAAAACUGAUACUAAAUCCAAUAUGAAUUGAUAAUCAAUACUAUAAAGUUACCAGUUCAUCACCUCAUGUUACCAGUCAUCAAAAUAAUUUAGGACUUUUUUAAUUUAUACUAUAAAGUUAGUUAAUAACUGCGGUUAUAUUGUUAAAUCAUAUAUAAAUUAAGACGACGUGCAAAAAGAUGUCAUUAAAUUUGAUUUGAUUAUAAUGAAAUUACAUAUGUGCGAACGAAAGUGAAGGGAAAAUAAUAAUAAUGAUUACCUUUUCAUCGAAGAGAUGUUGUAUUUGAUUAGCUACCAAGAGGUUCUCUUCUGAUUUUAAUUUUUGAGGUUCCUUAUUAUCUGCUGUCAUGUGCAGUACAAAUGUAGAAUUGGAUGUGAAUGUUUCCAUAUCAGGGCAAUUCUCAAUAAUUAGAUAUUCCAACUUAGGCAGUUCAAUUAUAUUCCCAGUGAAGUUGCAGAAUCUUUUGAGUUUUGGAAGAUCAAUGAGCUUUAGGCUUAAAAGCCUAGGAAACAGGGGGCCUAUAUGUUCUUCCUUAGCACUUAGCUCUUCCAAAUGAAGCACCUCUUCUAGUGAAUCACAAUUCCUCACUGCCAGCCAUUCCAAAUUGUUCAAGCACCGUAGCAGAUUGGCAGGAAUAGCACUCGACAUAUUCGUGCUGUCAUCCACCACCAGCUCCGCUAAAUUGUUGAAGAAUCUGACAGGCAGUGCUUGGCCAUGCCAUAUUUCUUGCAAGCGUGGAAAAUGCGAGAGUUGCAAACGGUUUAUAUCAAGGAAUCCAAUCUGCACAAACCAAAACAAUUGCACCAGAAAUAUACAAUUUUUUUUUUUGAAAGGCAUUAUAUAUAUACACAUUAAACUUACAUUUUUUGUGUUUUAACUUCUAAAAAUAUAUAUACAAGGGAGGUGUAUAUGCUUAAAUGUGCAAGUGAAGGGAGAUGCAUGAUGAACAAUUUGGGUGAAUUGAUUAACACAUACCUUUUCGUCAUAACACUUUUGUAUAGUGGAAUUAAGGUUAUUGCCUUCCCAAUGGUGUAGUUCACCCUCUUCCUUUUCAGUCACUUGCACUUUGCAUGGCUUUGGAAUGGAUAAUAUUCCCUGAGAAAAAGUCUUCAUGUUCGGACAACGUAUCAUAGAAACUCGUUCCAAUGAUGGGAAUUCAAGAGUGUAAUUCUCCAAACAAAAGCCGGUAAGUGUUGGUAAAUAAUCAAGUAUCAAAACUUUUAAUUUGCUAAAAGCAAUACGAUUCUCCUUCACUUCUUCUCCAACAUGUCUUAUGAUUUCUUCUAUCUUAUCACACCACGAUACAUUAAGAUUCACCAGACUACUAGGAAUUCCAACCUGAAAAUAAGCAGAGAGUGUGUGUGUGUGUACGUUAAAAAAGUAAAAAUGUAAGAAUAUCAUUCAACAAGGUUCAAAGUAUGUUUAAAUCAUACAAUUAUACAUUUUAUAAACAUAACAAACCAUGAAAUGUCUACUAGAUAAUUUUUUGUUAAACAAAAAAGGCAACAAGAUAAAUAAAUAAAUAAAAGCCAAAUAAACAAAAGAUAAUAAAAAUGAAUUUACACUAUUUAGUAUUAGGAACAUAGAAAGAAUUUAAUGCAAUUUCUAAAUAUUUUAGACUUAUUUUGCAUCUUGACGCCAGUUUUUAAACAAAAUUUGCAAAUUUCAACUAUUCCUUUUGGGAAAAAAAAAAUCAACCAAAAUGCCGCUUUUUCCCUUUUUCCUUGGUCCCUUUUUUUUUAUGUAUAUUUAAUUUUGGAAACAAAAUUAAAGUGGAUCUUUAUUAAGUACUUCUAGACUCGAGGAAAUUUCUUUACAAUCAAGGAUCAGUUGUAAAUAAUCAUGAAUUUGUGGUUAAUUAAUGGCAUAAUCAGUUCGUAACUAAACAAGAGAUAUUAAUUAAAUUUGAAGACUUUUCUUUUCUUUUUUUCUUUUUCCAAUCGAAAUGUGAAGAAUUAAGGACAAGAGAAAUAUAUAGAUGAAUUUGUGAACCUAUAAGAUGAGUGACUAUCCUUUAAUUUUUGAAAAUUGUACUUAUUAAGAUAUGAGCAUAAACAAUUAAAUUGAAUUAUAUUAUGCUGUUGAAUCGUGAUUAAAAAAAUUACAUUGUUGAUUCUAAUGCUGGCGAACCUAAGAACUGGACUUAAAAUGUAGAUUUGAGAGUGGUGGUUCGAAGUACAAUACUUGAAAUAAAUAAUCAGUGGCUGAAUAUCAUUUGUAAACCCAAAAAUGGUUAAAAUAUUGUUGGAUGUAAUUUGAAAAAAAAAAAAAAAGAUUCGAAAUGAAUACAGCAACCUUACCAAUGGAGGAAAAAUAUUCAUUAGGUUAUCACACCCAAUUAUCUCCAAAUUCUUCAAUUUGCUGAAAGACUCCGAAGCAAGUUGGUGGUGCCAUAUUCUUCUCAAAUUAUCGAUCGACCUAAUAUGUAAUACCUCCAACCUAGGAAGUCGUACCUGGCAGUUAAAGAUUAAAUAACUAAUUAAUCAAUUAAUGGCAUAAUCAAUUGAUAACUAAAUUAGAGGCGGAUAUUAACUAAAUUUGAAGACUUAAGGAAGAGACAAAUAAAAUAUUGUGACUAAAAUAAAUUUAAAAAAAAAAAAAACCUUUUCGUCAAAGAGAGGAGGUUGCAUUUCAAAAUGAAUGGUGUCUUCUGGUGAGCUCGUGGAGAUGAAUCUUAACAUAUUACUGCAACUCUGAAUCUCGAGCUUUAGCAAAGAAGGGAAUUCAACAACUAAAUCUGAAUGAAUAUGUCCCGUAUUGGCAAAGCUUGUUAGCUCUGGAAGCCAAUAGAGCCGCAGGAAGUGUAGUUUAGGAAAAACCUUUAAUUCAAUCAACUUUCCUUCAUCUCUUCCUAACCACCCCGUCGUGUCGACUACCCCUUCCAUUGACUUACAAUCCCAUAUUUGAAGACGUUGGAGUUGCAAAAGACUAUUAACCAUAGAAUACGAAAACAGAUACUUCAUACGAUCACAACCGAACACGUGCAGCUUUGUUAAAUUUUGACAACAGUACAUUCCUUGAUUAUGAUCGGCCCAUAAUUUUUUUAUGUUUCUUAAUCUCGUGAGAUUCAAUUUUUCUAAGCUCGGAAGAAUAACCUGCAAAGAAAACCCGUACAUUUUUGUUCCUUCAAGUACAACCGUCUAGUAUAAUAUUCUUUUCAUGAUCGAAGAUUAAUCGUGAUAAUAAAUUAAUCAAUUAAUUAUUGAACGGAAAAUUAUCACCUUUGGAGCAGGAUCAUCAUCAGCAAUGAUUUCGUUGAAUCCCAAAGAAGUUGUUGGUUUCUCCCUGUCGGGUCCUAUAAACAAACAAAAACAAUACACAUAAUUAAUCUUUGUCGGUUUUUUUUUUUCAAAAUAAUUGAGGCGAAGUCCAUAAAUCCACCAACACUUAAUUUCAACACUUACCAAAAAUCAUUUCCAGAUCAUCGCAAAGACUUAUUAAUACUUUUUGAAGCCGCAGUAGGUUUUUUGCCAUGGAGAAUGAGAAAAGAUGCUUCAAUUUGUGACAGGAUUGUACUCCUAUAAUCCUUAAGUUGCUGAAAGAUUGAUCUUCUGUGAGUUGGCUGUCACAUAUUGUCUCCAAAUUGUUCAAAUAGCUAAGAAACAAUGACUCCAGCAAGGGAAAGACUGUACAAUGAACCCGUCCAACUGAACCGACAAUAUGCAAAAUCUCAGAACAACUUUCUACACGAAGAUGCUUCAAUCGUGGAAAACCUUCCCCAUCAUCUAAUUCAUGAACAACAUUCUGAACACCCUUAAGUUCGUAUAGAUUGAUAUCUUCAGUUUCCUUCAGUAACAUUUUCAUCCCAUAAUUCUCCAAAAGACUGCUAACAUUUUCUAGCCCAUGGAGCUUCAUCAAUCUUGAUGUUUCAGAAUUAACGGGCCAGAUGUCCCACACUUCUCCUAUGCAUAUCCUGUAUCUUGACAAUUCCACAAAGACCAAAUCCUGCAGCAGAAUUUGGGCAUCCCGAACUUGUAUCUCCAAAGUAGUUAGCUUUGACAACCCCUUCAACUCAGCAAGACUGGCGUUACUUCCUCCUUCAACCUUAUCCCACUGCGAAAAGCUGUCACCCAUAUAUAGUUCUUCCAAUCGAGAAAAUUUUGAUAUGACAUUUGGUGCUAUCACCAUAAGGCUGCUACAAUUGCUCAAAUCUAGCAACAAUAACCUCGUCAAUUGUCCAAUUUCAAGGGGUAACUGCUUAAUGUCGGAAUCUCGAAGGCUGAGAAUCUCUAAUUUCUUUAGCUGUCCAACUAUUGCUAUAUCUUCUAGUCCGCAACUAUCUAAACACAAUGUUUGAAGGUUAAUGAGGCGACCAAGUGAUGAAGGUAAUGAAGAGAAAGGAAUUCUAGUAAGACUUAAAACUUUGAGUUCUUCUGUCCCUUCAAAAAAGAGGUCAGAAAUUUGCAUAGAGACGGGCGCCAUGCCCCUUGCUAUUAACAAAAAUAACUUGAGUUGGGGACAUUCCAACCUUUCGGGAAGCUCUUGAAUAUCUUCGUAAGGUAAAGAANNNNNNNNNNNNNNNNNNNNNNNNNNNNNNNNNNNNNNNNNNNNNNNNNNNNNNNNNNNNNNNNNNNNNNNNNNNNNNNNNNNNNNNNNNNNNNNNNNNNGCAUUGAUACAGCAACAUCAUGAAUGAUGUCAUGCAUUUUAACUUCAUCUUCAGUAUCGCCAUCUAACAAUAAGCAUGAAGCUUUGAGAUUGUCGAUCAAUGCAUCCACUCUAUUCCUUGCAUCUUCCAAUGUGUGAACAUUUUUAAACAAACCCAAACCCAUACCAUAUCUCAACAGGGAAACAACUUCUACAGGAUUACCUUCACCAAACAGAGUACAAAGAAGGAACAAAGAUUUUGCUUCAUCACUUUCCAAGAAAUCGUAACUCAAUUUUAUGGAAGAAUACACAUAUGCAUCCAUACCACGAAUUUCUCUUAGAUUGGAACUUCUUAGCUGAUUCAAUGCAUCCUUCCAAAUGUUAAGACUCUUAUUUUUCAGAGCACUUGCAACUGUUCUCAGUGCAACAGGCAAUCCCCCGCAUUUUUCAACGAUCUCAUCUGCAGUGGGUUGAAAAUCAUAUGUUUUUUUUGAAUCACCCACAAUCUUCUCAAAUAACUGCAAUGCUUCAUCUUUGGAUAAAGCAUCGAUCCAGAAAUUUUUCUGAGAAUUCAUAUCAUUGCACAAUAAAUCUCGACUUCGAGACGUCAAUAUUAUUGUGCGUCUACUCCGAUCGUCCUCUCUAUCAUAAGGAAUUCCAACUUUAUCGAACUCAAGUUUUGUCCAAAUAUUAUCCAGUAUAAUGAGGAGCAGCUUCUCUUGCUUCAACCUUUGACACAGUCGAGAAGCUCUUUGAAAUUCAUUCUCAUUCAAGUCAAAUUCCAUGCCUAAAUCAAAAGCAAGUUUGUCUUGAAUUUUAUGAUGAUCUGGUGUCUGUGUUACCUCAGCCAUAACGACCUUAUCGAACAACUUAUCUUCCAUCACUUGCUUUCUAACUUGCUUGACUAGCGUGGUUUUACCCACGCCGCCCAUCCCGUAGACCCCAAUUAUUUUGAAACUAUCAUCCUUCAACGCAUCCAAAACAUCUUGAAAUACUUUCGUUCUUGAAUCGAACUCCUCGUAAUCUUUCACUGGCAUAUAUUCUGUACUCUUUGGAGCAGGACGGUAGGAAACACUAGAGAAGUUGCCUUUUCCCACGAGACUAGCGGCAGCUUCUGCGGCCUUUGCUGCUUGUUUACUAAGCUGGUAACGAGAAAUCAAGUUGGGGAACAACCCUUUGAAGCAGGACUUCUUAGCUCUAUCUUCAUCAUCAAUGAUGGAUUUUGCAACCCCUUCACUGAUGAAUUCAUCAACUUUAUUUAGCCAGUCUAUGACACCCUCAUAAAUCUCAUCCCCUUGUAGUCUAGCAUGAUUAACAGGUUGUUGCACCGUUUCUCUUCUAUAUCCCAGCUGCUUCACUUGAUCUUUCAGGCCAUCUAUGUAGUUCUGGUGCUUGAACACAUAAGAUAUCUGCCGUAUAAUCGGUUUGAACAGUGACUUUGAACCUUCUGAUACAAUGCUGGAAAAAGCAGCCAGACCCACUUCUGCCAUUGCCUGCUGCUUAACAAAUCUAAUAAUAUGUCAAAGAAAGGGGAAAGGAAUAGAAAUAAAUUAAAAUAAACUAGAGAGUGACAAAAAAGGAAAAGACAGCAAACAGAAUCGCAAAAUUGAUCUUGAAUCAACUGAAACAUGAACAGAGCAUUUUUUCUUCUUUCUUAAGGAUCAGAGUUUUUGCUAUUAACAGAAACGUGCUUCAAGUGUCCCAAAAAAAAAAUGAUAAAUGAACAAGCCAUAGAAAUUUUAUCUUGGAAAGUGGAUGGAAAUUAAGAAAGAAAUGGUAUAGAGAUCAAGCAUCAGAGAUUAUAUUAUUAAAAGAAAUUAAUUGAAGGUUGUGGAAAACCUGUUUAAUUAUGGAAAGUUGAUGAGCUUCUGUAAUCGCCUUGAGUAUUUAAGUGCAAUUUUGAUGAGCAAAAAGUUACUGUUACCUGCAGAGGAAUGUAAUUAUAGAGAGCUUAUGAGAGUAAUGACAAUGAUUUGCAAAAGAAGAAGACUCAAUCAUGGAGCCCUUAAUAUUUCUUUUAUGAAUAAACUGCCAGCAGGAAAAAUAAAAAAAAGUGGUAAAUUUACCAAGUCUUAUUUUAUUUUUAAUUUCUUUUAUUUUCAUUCGCCGAAGAGGGAAUCUCUUUUUUUUUCGUAAGGGAAAUAUCCUUUCCUAAUAUGUCAUGAUUAAAGCAAUCUAUAAAUAAUACAAUAAUCAUAUAAUGUAAUAAUUAAAAAGACCCACAUAUUUAUAAUAUUAAUGAUGGGAUCCAUACGUUCCUACUGAUUAAAUUGGUGGACCAGAAUUUAUUUGACCUUACUUGUUUUAUAUUUAAUUAAAAAUUGAAACGACAGAGAAAAAUUGUCGUAAUGAUGGUUUCGAUUGUGGAGUUCAGCUGUGGAUAGCACUUGCAAUACUGAAAAAGAAGCUUUCGUCAACUUUCUCACAUGGACGCGCACCAUCACGCAUAAUUGCAUAUUGCAUUAUUUCUCUAGAAAAGCAAAAGCAAGAUUUAUUCUUUUAAUAAGCAAACGCGUAGGUGGGAAUCCAUUCAUUAAACAAGUGGAACAGCAAUAUAUUAAACCAAUGAUAAGCAUUCUUAAGUGGGAAACCAAUUAUGACGGAUAGUUCAAAAUCUGAAUCCGCCUGAUGGACGGGUUUGACCGCAGAGCUCAAGAUAAUCUGAACCAUUCUCCUUUCGUAACUUAUAGAUAAUUUGAAAACAGGGGAAUGAAAACAGAGGAGCCCUGUUUUUCCUUCCUUUUUUUUUUUUUUUUUUCUUACCCAACUCUUCUUCUUUUGUAUAUUUUCCUUGGAAUUUUAGGUAAACCAAAAAACUUUGAGAAUGAUUUCAAGAGAAUAGGUGGGUAAUAACUAAAAUAUUUAUCUAUAUAUUUAUAUAAAGUUGGGACUACAAGAGAUGAUGUGGCAUCACCAUUUCUAAUUUUUGUAUAUUCUCUAUUAUCUAACAAAUAGAGAAAUUUUCUUUCAGAUUUUAUUUUUCAUCUUUUCAUAAUUAAUUUGACUGUUAUUAUACAAUCAAUAUGUAACAGUUCAUCAAAAGACCCACUAUCUUCUUUAAUUGAAACCUUCUUGAUCAGGACUACAAGAAGUAAUGUGGCACUACCAUUUCUCAUCUUUGUAUAUUCUCUAUUAUCUAACAAAUAGAGAAAAUUUCUUUUAGAUUUGGCUUUUUAUCUUCUCACAAUUAAUUUGACUGUUAUCAUACAAUUAAUAUGUAACAGUUCAUAAAAAAACUCACUAUCUUCUCUAAUUGAAGCCUUCUUGAUCAUAAAUUAAGCAAUAAUUUAUAAAUAUUUUUAAUCACUCUUCUCCUCUGACUCACCUAAAUUUAUAAAUAACAACAAAAAAUAUGAUAUCUCAUGUAAAUAUAAAAGAAUAGAAAAUAGCAAUAGCUCUAAAACAUUUUUUUUUUCAUUUUGGCCCUCACUUGCCUGAUCAUGGCAAAUAUUACAAAUGCAACCAGUAGGAAUGAUUGCCUCAACAACAAUAUGAAACCAGGCUACAAUCUUGCAACAAGACUUGAAGUUAGUGGAGGCCAAAUGGAGUGUUGGAACGUGUUAAUGGAGCUGAAAUCAUGCUCAAAUGAGAUUGUUAUAUUCUUCAUUAAUAGUCAGGCUGAUAUUGGCCCUGACUGUUGUCGCACUGGCCUGCAAUGCUCACCUCUCUCGGAUUCACGGCUGAAGAAGGGAACAUACUGAGAGACUACUGUGAUGCAUCUUCUGCUCCUUCUCCAGGUGGCCUCGCGGUGAUAUAUCAGCUUCAGGUUUCCAAGGUUUUUUGGCUUAGACAGGGUGCAUCUAUGGUACUUCAUAAUUAAAAAAAGUCUUUUUGGUUUUAUCUUUUCUUUAUUUUUUUAUUUUUUUUUUGGAAGUCUUGCCUCUUAAUCGAAUAGAAUAAAUUGUUAAAAUUAGAAUAAGAAAAAAAGGAUAAUAUUAUUUUUUUUCAAAGCCGCGCAAAGGGCGGUUCUAUUUCCUAGUUUUUAUAUAUUUGAUAAGCACGCUCACUAUUAAUAAAACCCAUUAAAUGCUAUAACUUAAAUAACUUCUUGUAGUUGAUUGAGAGUAUGUUUGGAAUUUCUUUUACUUCCCAAUAAUUAAUUUUUACCUUGAUUAUCAGAAAAUUAAUUUUAUGAAUAAUUUAGCCGGGUGUUUGGUAAAUGAUGAUUAUUUGACAAUCAGUUUUUAAAUAAUCUAUUAUAUAAAUAUAGUAAGUGAAAAUUAGAAGUAUAAUGUUCAUGUAGAAAUGACAAAAAUGUACUCAUUUACUUAUUUGUAAUUUAUUUAGAAUAUUAUUAUUUAAAUAAUUUUUCUUAUUCAUUGGAUUUUUUAAGAGCAUAUUCUAUUUUCUUGAUUACACAUUUAAAUAACUUUUUAUUAACUAUUUUAAUCUGCAAUAAAAAUUAACUAUAUUAUAUUUAACUAAAAAAUUUGUUAUGUAGUCCGUAAUAUACACAAAUACUUGAAUUUAUUAAUAAACUUAACUGCAAAAAAGAAAAUGCAUUACAUAUAUCUAAUUUCUUAUUUUCAACGAUUGAAAGAUGUUAUUUAGGAAACUUGUACGAGAUAAUUUAAUUUUGGACUAUUGACAUUAUAUUUACUUAGAAGUGGAAAUAGUGGGUGGAUAAAUUUAAUUUUUCAUUAAUUGCUCAAGAAGCAAGAGGAUUAGUGAUGGAUGGAGAGUUAGUGUAGAAUUGUGAGGCCAUUUGAUUACUGCAAGCAUUAUAAAUUUCUUGUUGCUGAGAUUAAUCUAAUUGAAUUAAUGACUCCAUGAUAGACUUAACAAAGGAUUCUUGUGGCAAGAUUUCUAUUUAUGAGGCCAUUUGAUUACUGUAAGCAUUAUAAAUUUCUUGUGGCAAGAUUUCUAUUUAUGACUCCAUGAUAGACUUAAGUUUUAGUGAGACAAUUGCUGCCUGUUGCAGACAUGAUACCUCUAGUACUUCAGAAGAUAGCAUAUCACGAAACACAUCCAGACUAUACUGAGGUUACAUCGAAAAUUCCUUGGCCCAUCGUGCGAGUGUGUGACAUCCCGCAACAAAAAUUAGGGUAUGUACUAUAUAUAUAAUGUGUUUUGAACAUAAUAAUAAGAAUGCUGAUUUUUAACAAUUAAUUUAUUUUACUUUUUUUAGUGGUGAUUGUGGAGAAUUUUUGUUGCGGUACUUGGAGGUCCUAACCCAUGGACUUGAUGUCAAUUCAUAUUGCAAACAAGAUCAUGUUAUACAAUUUCGAAAAGCCUUGGUUGUCAAAUUAUUUGGGCAUAGGUCAUGGAAAAAAACUUUGUAGUGUACUACCCUUAAAAACUUUGUUGGUGUGUCAUUUUUGGACCAUGAGAUGUGAUAGUUAUAAUGAGGAUGUUGUUGAUAUUUGAUGUCAUUAAAGAUAACUUGACAUCAUUAAUAUGUUUUAUUUCUUUGUUAACUAUAUUAAUGAUAGUGAAGAUAGUUUGUACAAUCUAUGUAAUGUAACAGGAUUGCCAUAUAUGCUCAGGGAAUACUCUGUAAGAAAAUACACGACUGCUGUUAGCUAUUUGCACGGAUACAUGACUGCAGUCGAGUAUUUACAAAUAUACAUGACUAGCUCUCUGUAAGAAAAUACUCGACUGCAAUUGGGUAUUUACACAGAUACACGACUGCAGUCAAGUAUUUAUAAUUGUACAUAACCAGCUCUCUAUAAGAAAAUACUCGACUGCAUUCGGGUAUUUACACAGAUACACGACUGCAAUCGAGUAUUUAUAAUUAUAUUUGACCAGCUCUCUGUAAGAAAAUACUCGACUGUAGUCGGGUAUUUGCACAGAUACACGACUACAGCCGAGUAUUUACAAUUAAAUAUGACUAGCUCUCUAUAAGAAAAUACACGACUGCAGUCGGGUAUUUGCACAGAUACACGACUGCAGUCGAGUAUUUGUAAAUAAACAUGACCAGUUCUGUAACAGCCAAAAUACACGAUUGUACUCGGGUAUGUGGACACGGAAUAAAAAAUCAACUAAAACAUUCAUUAUAUUGAUGACACAAUCAAUAUAAACUUUAACAUAUUAAAUUUCAAAUAAAUGAAACUAACUGUAGUCUGGUUGCCUAUCAAACAACAUAAAUCCAAUACUUAUUCGAAUCGUAAAUAAGUCAUAAUACAAUAAAAGUUGUUUAACAAUCAUCAUAAUUUUUUUGCAUUUUCAACCCAAACACUCGGUCCAUAUUUUAUAAGCCUCUAGUAAUUUGGUUGCCUAUUAAAUAACCCGAGAUACUAUUUCUAUCAAUUGUGCAUACGUUGUAGAAUAGGGCACUAUGAUCCCUCUUGCCUUUGUACCAUUAAAUCUAUAAUGGCCGUUUUGCUCAAUCCAUUCACCACAAAACAUAAUUGGCACACGUACUGAAGUCAUUUCCUGUAAUAAUACAACGGUUGAUUAUACAACAAAUACAAAAAUAAAAAUCAAGCAAUGUAUAUAACGAAGUGUGGAUCUGUCUGCCUAUUUACAUGACUCACGUCGUGUAAUUGGUAGUUUACACGACAAUAGUUAUGUAACUUGCUAAAAUACACAACUAUAGUUCUAUAAACAGUCAGAUGAUAUAUUUAGUAAAAAAAGCUGUAAUCUUUGUACUAAUCGAAUGGUAGGUGUCAUAACAGCUACUAUAUCUUCCAAACUUGCACGAUUGUUGUCGUGUAAAUUCAUACAUACAUGACAAAAGUCGUGUAAGUUGCAAAAAUAUAUGACUCAAUAAAUAAUCAGAGGACAUAUUUCUUCUUAAAAAAAUAUUGGGAUCUGAUAACAAUUGGAACAUUUUACAUAUAUACACAAUUAUAGUAUGUAAGUUCAUACGUACACGAUAGUAGUCGUGUAACUUAUUAACACACACGACUAUAGUCCAGUAAUAGUAAAAGGAUAUAUAUAGUGAAAAAAAAAAUAUUUUUUGCACCAAUAGAAUGAUAAAGUGUCAUGAUAAUUGGAAUCUUUUGCACAUUUGCACGACUACAGUUAUGUAAAUCCAUACAUACAAGACUGAUGUCGUGUAUGUCGGGUGCAGAAAAAAAUUUUGGCAACAACUUCAGGUUUUAACGAAUGUAGUUAUAAAAUCCAUCAAAUAACAGUCAUAUGAUGCAAAUGUAAUGAAAUAUGAGUUGCUUUAGUGUUUAUCACAAACCAAACAAAACCCUAAAAAUAAUAUAAUGUCAAUUAAAUGAAUAAAUAACACAAAAUAAAAAAAAAUUUCAAAUACCUUAUUCAUGGGAUGAAUAAUGCACCCAGCUGCAAAUUAAAAUCUCAAUGCAUUAGCUGUUUGUGAGUGAUUUUGAGUAUGGAGUGAGUUUUCGUUGUGUGGAGUUAAAAAAAGUGAGAAGUAAAGAGUGUUAGAGACGAGUUGUGUGUGUUUUAUAUAUUUUUUUAAGGAUAUUUUAAACAAUGUAUCACAUAAAAAGGUAUAUCUAGAUAAUUUUCAAGCAUGUGAUAUAUUUAACUAAAUACCCUACUUUUAAGGUAUCUUUAAUUAAAAACCCUCUUAUAGUUGAUUGAGGGUAUGUUUGGAAUUUCUUUUACUUCCCAAUUAUUAAUUUUUACCUUGAUUAUCAGAAAAUUAAUUUUAUGAAUAAUUUAGCCGGGUGUUUGGUAAAUGAUGAUUAUUUGACAAUCAGUUUUUAAAUAAUCUACUAUAUAAAUCUGGUAAGUGAAAAUUAAAAGUAUAAUGUUCAUGUGCAAAUGACAAAAAUGUACUCAUUUACUUAUUUGUAAUUUAUUUAGAAUAUUAUUAUUAAAUAAUUUUUCUUAUUCAUUGGAUUUUUGAAGAGCAUAUUCUAUUUUCUUGAUUACAUAUUUAAAUAAUUUUUUAUUAACUAUUUUAAUUUGCAAUAAAAAUUAACUAUAAUAUAUUUAACUAAAAAAUUUGUUAUGUAGUCCGUAAUAUACACAAAUACUUGAAUUGAUUAAUAAGCUUAACUGCAAAAAAGAAAAUGCAAAAAUUUAAUCUCUAUAUAAACUUUUAUGUACACAAAACUAUUGUAAUAAAGUAAUUCAUAGAAAUAUAAUAUUAUAUACAUGUGUAAAGAAAUAUAUAACUAUAAUAUUAUCCACUUGUAGCACUAUUAUUUUUCAAUCUCUCCAUCUCUUGAUCUUCAAGAACGUUAGUACCAUGAUCUGCUUCUUGAGUUCGACCUCCAUUUCCACAGCAUCAACAAGGCAAUCAAUUUGCCGUGAAAGCCUUACAGCUCCUCCCACUUUCCUCCUUUUUGUAGCCACUCUUUUUCCCUUUCUUUAUUUAGUAGCUUCUAUGGAAAUGUUGUGAAAAUUUUAAUAUACUCGCAAGCGCACGAAUCUAGAAAUAGAAUAGUAGUAACGAGGUCGAUCCCACAGGGAUUGUUAUAAAUUAAAAAGUCUAAUUUAAAUCUAAAAUUAAUAUUAAUUCUAACCUAGUUGAGCAAAUUGAGUUUUUAAGAAAAUUAAACCAAUAAAACUAAGGAAGCAAUUAAAAUAAAGGAGAAUUCAAUAAGAUAAGAAUUACCAAGGUUUUAGAAUCCACCACUAUUCAACUAGUAAUUAUCUAAUUAUUAAUUAAUCCCCAAUUUUGGAGUGACAACUCGAAAUCAAUCUAUGUCAUCUCAUGGAUAUAACAAUUAAGCCCAAGUAAUUAAAUCUAAUGUAAGUUCUUUUUCUGCUUAAUAAUAUGACAUCUAAGAAUCUCAUGUAAACAUAUUGAAUAACAAAGAGUCAAAGUUUUCCUAAGCACUCUAUGUAAACAAUUUAAUGAAAGACAUAGAAUCAAAGAUAAUCAUGUAUAAACUUUAUAAAUUCAAGCAUAGAUUUAAUUGAAUAUUAAUCCUAACAAUCAAUAAUGCAUGACAGAAUUGAUGAAAAGAUUUUAUUAAUAUCUAAUUAAUCAUGUGAAAUAAAAACCAUAAUCAUCAAAGAACAUAUAUAGGGAAUUAAUUAAAUAAAAAGAUAAUUAUUUCAUUGAAUAGGGUUUCAUCCUUAACCUCAGUAUAAGAAAAUUAGUUAGACAUACUUGAAUUGAGAGCAACAAAAUAAAUAAAUUCAGCCAUGGGGAAGCCGAAUUGCUGCAGAUUUUCUUCUCUGUCUUGAAUCCUUGCGUCUCCAGUUCUCCCUUCUGACGGCUCUCUUGCCUUUAUAUAAUGUUACUAACUUGCUUAAUCCUUAUUGGAUUCUAAUUGCAUUAAUUCUUCUCCACCGACUUAUAAAGCCCACUCACCAAGGCCUUUUAAAAUUAUUUCCUUACUAAACUUUGAAAGCAAAGCACACGUUUGACCACAAAAGCAAAAGGCCAAUUAAUGAUUUCUUCUUUUAAUGCCCAGCACAUGCAUUCCAAAUUGCCAAAUCUUUGCUUUCCAAAUGCAUGCCCACCGUUCAUCCUUUGAAGAGAUUGACUUCCAAUUUUGGUCUUCUUGACUUCCAUUAAUUCUUGGUUGCAUUUUUGUCUUCCAAUUUAAUCUUUAUUCCUUCUCAAUUUGAAGUGUUUUCAUGCCCUUUUUAUCAACAAUCUCCAAUUAAUUCCCUAUUCAAUAAAACAAUUCAAUUAAUUAAAAAUAACAAAUAAAUAUAACUAGCAAUUAUAUUAUUAAGGGUAAAAUAUGUAUAUAAAUUAUGCUCAUCAGGAAACAAACUCAUCGAACUACCAGUACAUUUUUCAAUUAGAUAGGACUGAUAGUAGAUAUUCAGUACUCUCAGAUGGUGUGCAAACAUGAUCAUCAGUGAUUGUUGUCUUAAAAAGCAUUCUAUUUAAUUGUUCCUCUGACUCUGGCAUGCAAAAUUUCUUGAUUCACGAAUUUCCUACGUAUGUUGAUAUCAUAUUAAAAUGAAUUCAAUAUCACAUNNNNNNNNNNNNNNNNNNNNNNNNNNNNNNNNNNNNNNNNNNNNNNNNNNNNNNNNNNNNNNNNNNNNNNNNNNNNNNNNNNNNNNNNNNNNNNNNNNNNGCAUGUUGUGAGCUUAUUACCAAAAAUGAGACUAUAUAUUUAAGCCGAAUGGUAAAAAACUUCGGAUGGAGGAUGUGCCAUCUUUUUAUUUUAGAUGCUUUCGGAUGGAGGAUGUGCCAUUUUUUUAUUUUACAUGCUUUGUAAGACUUUUAAUGAUCGAGUGCAGUCAAUUAACAAAAGCUUACAUAUUAUUUGUUGAAAAUUGAUUUUAAAAAAAGAAGUCAAAAUGAUGGGUGGUUGAGCCUGUUGGGGAAAAAUCAGGUUUUUAAAUUUUUAUAAAACCUUUUGAAGAUCGCUCUCAUAUAAUAUAUAAGAAUUCGUAUUCUAGAAAUCGUACCUUGUAAAUCUGAGUUUGCUUUUUCCGCUGAAGUGAUUUAGGCUCCUAGAUCACGAUCCGCCACCACCACUCCUGUUAGAUCACGAUCCGUCACCACCACGCUUGUUAGAUCACGAACUGUCUCCAAUGAUCUUCCAGGUUAUGACUCAGGUUCGAUCUGCACUUGACGUGUGGGCGCCUUUAUCACUACCAAAGCAACUAGCACGAGAAAAUUUUUCUCUCAAAAAUGGAGAGAAAAAUCUUAUUCUCUGAUUUGUAUAAAGUGGCUUCUCCACUUUUUCUUUAGAGAAAAAUAAGCCUUUUAUAUCACUCUUUAGUGAAAACCCUAGGCUCCAAAUAAAAUAAAAUCAAAACCCACGUUAUUUACUUUUUCAAUAGGGGACCCACCUUGUAAAAUAACAUAAGGCCCGUUAUACAAAAGCUAAUUAAAUGGAGCCUCCCACUAAAUGAUAUAUUUAGGCUUUUGACCCAAAUUGCUAGUUAUCUUACUUAUUAGUCCAGUAGUGGUGCAAUCAAUUAAAUGAGCUAACCCGGGGAUCAUUUGGGAACAUACAAUAGUGGCUACAAUAAUUAGGCAUGUAAUUAAACUAGCCCAAUUAUUUAAUUCCAAAUCUACUCCACUAAAAGAUUGGAACUGACUUCCAUAAUUGUAUGCUCGAAUAAUAAUUCGUCCCAAGCCACAUUGAUUUCUUUACUGCACAAUCCUUUGUACCACAUCGUUAAUUAAAUUGAUAUCUCAACUGUCCAAUCAAUUUAAUAACAUCUUAUUCCUUGAUCCUUACUGGUUUUCUCUAAUGAUCAUUUUCAACAUACUAAAUAUGUUGACACACUCUGGCCAGAGAAUUCUAUGAUCAAGUACCGAAAACCUAUCAAGAGAUGUGUUGUACAAAUUCUAUAUUGUUAAUCCAUAACUCCAAUACUCAUAAUUGCUCCCACCAAGAUACCGGGUAAUCUUGACCACAAGGAUGUGUCGUGCCCAUUGGUAACUCAAAUGGAAUAACAAUCACAAUCAUGAAAUCAUAAUUAACUCAAGAUUAAGAUUACAGUAAAAUCAAUGCCUAUGAGAUUUAAUAAGUCUGACAGUUAUUACAAAGUUAAUUAAAUCUCAUAUGUGAUCCUGUUCAAUGUAGUCGUACUACAUCAAUAAAUUCAUACAUGAUUAAGACAAAUCAUUCAAUGAAUUUAUUACAGUCUAUACCUAAAUAAAGUGCCCAACUUUAUUUAUCAACUGCGAACUAAAUUUAUUUAAUCAUAAGAUAACUUGUAUUUAUGUCUUCUGUGAAUCCACAUGGUGAUCACAUAAAUACAUAUAAUAUGAUUAAAUGGACUUUAAUACAAAUAUUAAUGCAAUUAAGAUAUUUGAAUAAAAUACCUCAUUAAUUUUAUUAAUCAGAAAAAAUGUUUAUUACAAUUAAAUAAACACAUAUGCUUUUAAAGAGCAUAUUUUCCCAACAGAGCCAUCAUCUUUGAAUUCAAAGAUGGUGGGUGGCCAAGUUAGCCACCAUCAUUGAACAAGAAAAAAUGGGUGGGUGCCGCCCAUGCAAUGAAGAAAAGGGAGAAAAUGAAGCCAAAGUUUGGCUAUAAAUAGAGGGGUUCUCCCUCUCAUUUUUGUAUCCCAGAGAAGAAAUCCCAAAAUUUGAGAAGCAAGAAUAUGUAAGAGAAGCAUUGAGAGCUUCCAACAUGGGAGAGAAAUAUUCUUAAGCAUGUAUUUAUAUUGAAAGAGCAUUUGGCUCCUCAAUAUGGGUAUUACGGGUUUGAUUUGUUAAGGAAUAUUUCUCGCAAUUAUGUAUUUGGGGCUUGGGUGAGAGAAAAUUAUUUAUGAGAGUGUGGUUGUAAUAAUUUUCCACAUAGUGAAAUUUUUUUUUUCUGGUUGUCUCUUGACAACGGCUAUGGUUUUUCUCCGGAUUUGGAGUUUUCCACGUAAAUCUUGUGUUGUGUGAUUGUUGUAUUCUCCAUUUAAAUUUUUUGUUAAUUUGUUGCUUGACAAAUUGCUUGGAGUGAUCUUGGAAGGAAACUCAAUUUCCUAACAGUGGUAUCAGAGCCAUUGAUUGAAGUUUUGAUGUCGAGGUACUGUUCACGUAGACAUUACUAUUUCACGUAUACGAUAUUGUUCAUGUAUACGGUAUUGUUCAUGUGAAGCAGUGGGAGCCAAUCUAAAUUGUCCGUGGUGAAGAGUAUAGGGUCAUUAUAAAGCAAAUAUGUCAGUAGCUGGUAUUUUUCAAACUUGGUGGAGUUUGAUGUUGUUCAAAAAUUAAUGGGAGAAUGAUUUUUUGUUGGCUUGUGGAGAAUUCAAGUCAAAGGUGUAUCCAAUCUGGUAUGCACAAAGAUUUGAAGGUGUGGACAAUUUUGGCACCUCAAGAAAAUUGUCAAGAAGGUGGAGCGGGCUCGACAAAUUACUCCAGAAUCAGUAAAAGAAAUACUGAUAUUUCUCGCAGAUGGUGAAUUUGUUUUUGAUAAGAGAUUGGAUUAGUUCUUUUGGCAUGUAGAUCUCCAAGUUACCAUAAAAGAGAACAUGUUAUUAUCAGUGGGGUCCACAAGUUUGCACGAGGGCAUUGGCUUGGUAUAAAUGCAAGGUGUGUGGUGGAAAAGUUAUGUCAUGGCUGAAGAAUUCUCAGUGAAACCAAGCAUGAGAAUUGCACUAUAAAUUUCAGCAGGAUAUUUUGAUAUGUGCCGAGAAAAAUCUUAGAAUAGUUGAUUCUAAGUGGUAUACUCAUUAUGGUGUAGUGUGAUAAUUCUUUAUAUUGAGAAUUAUAACUAUUGGUGAAGACAAUGUUUUGUAGUAGUGACUAUGAAAUUCUUUUUUUUAAUCAUGGUAGAGAUUGUUGAAAAUUGAUUUUAAAAAAAGAAGUCAAAAGGAUGGGUGGUUGAGCCAUCAUCUUUGAAUUCAAAGAUGGUGGGUGGCCAAGUUAGCCACCAUCAUUGAACAAGAAAAAAUGGGUGGGUGCCGCCCAUGCAAAGAAGAAAAGGGAGAAAAUGAAGCCAAAGUUUGGCUAUAAAUAGAGGGGUUCUCCCUCUCAUUUUUGUAUCCCAUAGAAGAAAUCCCAAAAUUUGAGAAGCAAGAAUAUGUAAGAGAAGCAUUGAGAGCUUCCAACAUGGGAGAGAAAUAUUCUUAAGCAUGUAUUUAUAUUGAAGGAGCAUUUGGCUCCUCAAUAUGGGUAUUACGGGUUUGCUUUGUUAAGGAAUAUUUCUCGCAAUUAUGUAUUUGGGGCUUGGGUGAGAGAAAAUUAUUUAUGAGAGUGUGGUUGUAAUAAUUUUCCAAAUAGUGAAUAUUUUUUCUUUGGUUGUCUCUUGACAACGACUGUGGUUUUUCUCCGGAUUUAGAGUUUUCCAUGUAAAUCUUGUGUUGUGUGAUUGUUGUAUUCUCCAUUUAAAUUUUUUGUUAAUUUGUUGCUUGACAAAUUGCUUGAAGUGAUCUUGGGGUGAAACUUAAUUUCCUAACAUUAUUUAGGUGCUGAGAUGUCUGUUCUUGAUAAAGUAGAUUUAUUUACACCCAAGCCAACGUAACAAAAGCCUAAUAUACACAAUAAUUAUUUUUGUUAGACUGAUUUCUAGCUAAUGAGAUCUUUGAAAGCAUUCAAAGAAGCCACAGAACUCAUAGGAAAGCCCUGAUAAAAUAUACGGCGAAGCAUGUGAGCUCGUUUUUUAAUCUCUUGAUCACUCAUAAGCUUUUCUAUACCAAUGACUAUAUCAUUCUUUUGAAUCGAUUUUGAUUGAUCAUUAGAAAUCAUGUACCCCACCUUUAGAUGAUUGAUCACCAAUUUGGCAUUGUAAUGUUGAUCAUCUCUAAUUGGCCAUGCUAAAAUUGGAACCCCACACCAAUGGCUUCUACCAUUGAAUUCCAUCCACAAUGAGAUAAAAAUUCACCCAUUGAUUGAUGAUUCAAUAUCAAUAAUUGUGGCGCCCAUCCAUCUAUUAUCAAUCCCUUUUUACUGGCUUUACUACCCAAACCACUAUGAAAAUAAUUGCCUUCUGCUGGUCUGUCUAAACCAGUUAAAUGACACGGAGGAUCCAAUCUACCAGCACCAGUUUGAAUUACCCAAAUAAAUGGUUCAUUUGAUACUUCUAAAGCAUUGGCUAGUACUAAAUACUCAUCUAACUUGGACCCACUUCGAUACCAAAUGACACAUAUAACACAGAUCCUCAUGAUUUCAAAUCCAACCAUUGAAUGAUCUCAUCUUCGUUCAUGUUAGAACUCCACCGAUUGGUUCUCAUCUCACGAUCACGAAGCACUGAACCCGCCCCAUUUGUAAAAUUGUUCAAGUAAUAAUGGGCCUACUCCCCACAUUGGCUUUCCCAUUCGAUUGACUAAAUAAUGGGAGAUUGCCAAUUUUCCCCUACUAUAAUCAAUAUAUAUCAUUUAUUCAUUUACUAUUUUUAUAAUGGUCAAAAAUCCCCUUGACAGUAUAAGUUUAUAAUAUUACUUUUAUUUUUAAUUGCUCUUUUAUUUAUAUUUAUUAUAAAUAAAAUAAAUCACAUGAAUAAAAAAUAAAUAAAUAAUUAAGUAUUAAAAACAAGAAAUAUAUGUUUUAAUAUGAGCAAAAAAUUUAAUAAUAAAUUUUUCUUGUAAUUAUUUAUUUUGUGAAUAUUUUCUUAUAAUAAACAUUUAUAAUAUUUUAAAAUUAAAUGUAAAAAGAAUAGGCAAAAUAUUUUAUUAUUUAUCUUAUAAUAAAUUUUUAUUUGUCAUUCAAGUUUUCUUAUAAUAGUUUUUUAUCAUUUUAUAAUAAUUUUCUUAUAUAUUUAUUAUAAGAAAAUUUUCAAAAAAUAAAUAAGUACAAGAAAAAAUUACAUUAUUGAUUUUUUUGCUCAUAUCAAAACAUAUAUUUGUUAUUUUUAAUGCUUAAUUUUUUAUUUAAUUUAUAUUCAUGUGAUUUAUUUAAUUUAUAAUAAAUAUAAAUAAAAGAGUAGUUGAAAAUAAGGAUAAUAUUAUAAACUUAUGUUAUCAGGAAGAGUUUUUGGUCAUUAUAAAAACAGGAAGGAGGUAAAUGGUAUAUAUUGAUUACAAUAGGGGGAAAAUUGGUAAUCUCCCCUAAAUGAUUAAUAAAUGGUCCCUCAAGAUCAUCACAGGUGUUGAACAUCAAAGCCAUCCAUUCCUCCACUUCCUUCAUCCAGUGUGGUUGAUCACGGGGUUCGAUGGACUCAUUUUCUCUGAACCGGGCGCACCUCGCAAAGGUAGUGGACCACGAGGAAGGGGCCCGUGAGGCCCGUAUUUAAGCUACGAUUCGAAUAAAGCCAUAUCCUUGGGUAACCCAGGAAGUAAAUGGGCCUCUCCCGGUUUGACAUCUUGGAUGCGAGCCUGCUACAUGGCACACUCCACGCUGCUGAGCAAGCACCAGAAGUGAAGAACCCAACAAUGGGACCUUCAAAAUUCUUGAAAACAUCAGCCGUCCAGCCCAUCAUAACGUCGAUGACUGCACAAAUGGGUCGGGUUUCGGGUUCCCGGGUUGAAAGGGGUUUUGAAGGCCUUGAAGCAUUUGACUGUGCAUGACAACAUGGUGGUGGUGGUGGCAGUGGUGGAGAUGAGGAGAGUAUUUCAGUAAUUUCGAAUAGAGGGUAUUGGUGAAGAGGGGAAGGGAUGAUGCCGGUGCCGGAAAUGUGAGAGGGAACGAAUAUUUUAACAGGGACGGAGCCAGCGUGGGACGAGGUGGGGCACAGGCCCCAGCUGGCUUUUAAUUUUUUUUUAUAAUUAUACUAAAAUAUGUAUUUUAUUUGUUAUUUAUGAAAAAUGUCUCAGCUGAAUUGUAAAAUUUAAAAUUGACUCCAGUAAUUUUAAAAUAUUUCAUACUGUCCCUAAUUUAUAUUUUUAAUUAUAAAUUAUUUAAUUAGUUAUUAACAUUUCAUGAAACUUUAUUAAAGACACGAGAACAAAUAUUAAAAUAAAAAAUAAUCAUAACAAAAUGUUAGUAUAAUGGUUAAUGGACUAGUUUUUAAUCUUUUUAUUUUUUAUUCAAGUAAAAUUAAUUAUUUAGUCUUUCAACACUGACCAUAAGUUGUAAGUCUUCCUAAUUCUAAUUUAUAAUUUUCUAAUUAAUCUUUUAUCUAGUUUUAAAAUUUAUAAUUUUAUCAUGCAUUUCAUAUUUGUUCUGUGUGUUGCAAUAUUUGAAUAUUUUUGUUAUUAUUAAAAGAUUUUAAGAGCAAAUUAAGUAAUAACCUAGUCUUGUAUAUUGAAAAAUAUAUUUUUGCUUAUAUUGAUAAUUCAUUAUUUUCAACUCAUAAAAUCCCAUUGAGGAGAUUUCGCGGAGAACCAUUGUAAUAAGUAAAUUUAUUAUCAAUGAAUAUUAUAGUUGUAAUGCUAUUUAUUGAUAUCUAAAUUUUUAAAAAUGUAUUAUACUUUAAAUAUGCUUUCAAUUAGAUGCAUACAGACGCACUCUAUAAGAAGUACAAUUGUACAUGUAGCAAGCUCCCAUUUAGAGUUUAUAGGGCCCACAAUACAGUUUCUCAAAUGACGACUUAUCACACGAGCAAUCGUACAUUCGAGUCAUCUUUAAUUUUAAAUGUGCCCCAGCUCUAUCAAAAUCCUGGCUACGUCCCUGGGAACGAUGAGGGUAGAUUUGUAAUUACGUGAAGCGAUUUACUUGCAUAAUUCAAUGCAUGGAAAUAGAUGUCCCUGACCGAAGAAUGAGACAAUCCAAAUCUCAGCCUCAGCAGCAUUAACGACAGAGCUUGACAUAUUUUAUUAAUCAUUUGAUACUUAAUUAUUACUGACUGCUUUUGCCACCUUUCGUAAAACAUUCUUGGUUAUAUAUAAAAGAGAUGAUUUGAUGGCGAAGUGUGUGUUUUACUUUUACAGUUUUACUAGUCGGUGAGCUAUGAUUUUGAUAAUUUGAUUGUUAGUUUCAGUUGGUUAGUUAUGAGAAAGCAUCUUUCAAAAAAUUCAUUACAGUUUCAACUAAAAUUAACAAUACUAUUCAAAUUAAUUACUCGAUAAAUAAAUAGUCACAGAUAAAUCUAUCCCUAAUCACACAUUUAUAAAAUAAGGAUUGAAAUGAGUUUCUGUGGCUUCGAACCCACGCCCUCAAGCCCAGCGGCUGGAUCUUGACUACUUUGACAUAAUUAUUAUUAGUUUUUGUCCAUCUUUCACCAGGCAUCUUUUGUUAUAUAAUGAAGAAGAUAAGUUGACGGAGAAGAGUUCUACUUUUACUAGUAGAUGAGCAUUGAAGGUUAGUUUUAGUUAGUUAAAUAUCUACCAUCCAAACCAAAGUUCCUUAGACUAUUAUUCAAGUGAGAUGUUUGAGUAACAUAUGCUUGAGUUAGUCGGUGCCUAACAAUUCAUGUGAUACAUGAAACCAACCAAAUGAAGUUGGUAGGAUUAGAUUAAUUUAAAUGAAAAUAAAAAUUAGUUUAUGCUAUUUAUUUAUCUUAUAAUGUUGAAACUUGAAAGUUAACUCUUCAACCUGUCAAUUGGUUCAUGACAUGAUCAAAUAUUCAAGUAAAUAAAUUUAUCGGUUAAAAUUAAUUUUUCAUGUGGUAAAAGCAAUACUAAAUAUGGAGUGGAGAGAAUCAUUUGUAGGUUAUACCCCCACCUUUUAUUUCAUUUCAUUUAAAAAAAAAAACAACAACAACAACAAAGGCUUGGUCAACAUCCAAGUAAAAUUAACAAUUCCAUGAUAAAAUUGCCUGAGAAUAAAAAUUAAAAAAAAAAAAAAACAGCAACUCGAAAACGAGAUACAAAUACCGCACAGAAGUUUUUCGUCACGAGAUAUUUUUGGGUUGAGACAACGCUUGUAUAACAGAGCAUACAGCUUGGAUGACGGUGAGAAUAAGAAGGAAAACGGCACCGCAGACCGAAAUUCCAGCCCAUGGAGUAUUGAAGUAAUUUUGUUUCAAGUUUGCCCUCCAUUUGUAGCACGUUCUUUUGCAGUGAUCAUUCAAUCCUUUGCAUAGCCCAGAAAAAUAGAAGCUAUCAGACAGCAGAGUAGUACCUCUAGAAAGGUUAUUUAUAAGCGUUGACGCUGCCUCUUUAUCCGGCAACCAGUUCUCAAUGAUUCCGUUCUGAACAAGCAACUCGACGUCCUUCGCUGUGUUCACGAGAUUAUGAAUAAGGAACACGUAAUCAUUUAUGUAAUUCUCUGAGUAAUGCCGUUGUUCAAAGGCAAUGAGAUUACGAAAUAAGGAUUCCGUUUCCAGCUGUAGCUUCAGUUUCGGAAUAUGCAAUGUCCUGUUUUUGAAUUCUAUGGCGAACAAAUCAUUGCUCUUGCUCAAACUGAAGUGGACUCCAGCUUGGUGGAGAUCAGUCACACUUGGUGCGGUUUUACCUUUGUGGUAUUGCUGACCUUCUUGUUUUUCCUGAUUCCUUGAUGAUGGUAGAUGACAAAUCCUUAGAAAAUCAAGGAAAUGCUCUACCCUAGCCUCAGUGUAAGGAGGGAAUUUUUGCCGAUUACCUUGUACUGCCUCUAAACCCUUGAAAUACUCGUAUGUGACUGUGAUGAUGGUUGGAUUUUCAUGUUGGUCGGGGAUUUCAAUUGCCGCUAGAGCAAAAAGAUCCUCAAGAGUGAAGAAAGGAAGCUGAUUCUCAAGCAACCACAUAUCAUACCAUAUAUCCUCUAUUAAAUAGGGUUUUAUGAAAUAUAUGAUCAUCCUUUUUUUGAAGUUGACGGAAAUGAUACCUCAAUAAGAGUUCAAUGAUGAAGGCAGCAUCCAGCAGAAUCAUUUCAACAAAUUUAUCACUACUUAGUUCGACUUUUCUGCAUAAGAACCUCGUAAUUCUGCUUCUCUGAACUUUAUAAUUUGAACAAACUCGUCAAAGCUUAUUUUGGUCCGUUGAAGAAAGUAAUGCAGGUACCGCUGUUUAUGUUCUUCCAUUAACUGUAAGUUUGCUUUGCCAUGGUGAAGAGGGCCAAUUGAGACUACCUGAGGUGUGUAUACCUUUUCAUUUAUCUGACGUAAUCGCUCUGGAACUCUGUAGAUGCAGCAGUUUGAGGGCAAUGGUGAUAAUUUUUUCAACUUAACUUGCAAGCAUUCUUCCAUGUUAUAAACUGAAAACAUGGCGCGAAAUUUAAUCAAUUCAACGCUUAAUAAGGCAUAGUAAUUAAAAAAGAAUUAAAAAAAAAAAAUACAAGAGCAUUCUUACAAGUACAGAAGCACCUCAAUCCCUACUAUUUGCAGAGCUGUAGCCAGGAUUCAAUGAUAGACCGGACUGAACUAAAAGGAACAACUUUCUUAGGAAUAUGUUAUCGGCAUUUUCUCUGGCCUCAGGCCAUCAACAAAGCAGUUUCAGUGCUUCUUAUAUAAUUCCAUGGAUUAUUCCUUGCCUUUACAGAUGAUAUAAGUCACAAUUCAUAUAUUAAUUUCUCCAGAUUCCGUACAAGUGGACCAUAACUAUGGAAAAAUUCAAAGAAUGCAACAGCCAUUUGAUUGGUCCAUGUCAGAAGUUAAUCUGGGGAAAGAAGCUUGAUCUAGCUGUAAAAUUCUCUCCUUCAAUCAGUCAGUUUGGGGCAGCAACAAGAUCAAAGCCACCACGCAAACAUUUACUAAAGUUUAUAUAAUAUUCUUGAACCUCAUCUUAAGUAAAGCAACAAAAGCCUUCACUGUUUCUUAACAACUUUAUUGCUCUAACACAUAGCAUAACAUUUUUAAAUUUGCAUAAAGCACAAUAGUACUUCAGUUUGUAACAACAGCACGGAUAAUAAAUAGCAUUUUAUAGCUUUAACAAAAGCAUACAAAAUUCUUAAACCUUGUUUCAAGCAAUCCAUUAAUGCCACAAGGAUAUCUUUUUGCUUCCUACAGUUUUUAUUGAAAUUCAUAUAUUCUUCUUUAUCAAAUUAAGUAAUUUUCCUUUUUCAAAAAAUCAAGAAGGUUUCGACUGCAUGGAAAUACAGCACACAAUUACUACUAUUCCCGGAGUAAGAAAUUCAUAAAUGCAAUAUAAACAUACAUUUUCAUAAGACAUCAGAAUCAAAGAAUCAUCAAUGCAUCAAAUCUGUACACCCAAAAAAGUUGAAAGCAUCAAGAGAAAAUUAUACCGCAUGGACCCUUUACAACCCUUAUAACGAGUUCAGACAGCCUAAUCCAAUUUGAUAGAUUUGAGGACAGCUACAAUGUGCAAUACAAAAUUUCCCAAUACUAUUUAGAACAAAGUCUAGAAAACAAAACUUAUAUAUUGUACAAAAUCAUGAAAACCAGAAAUGACGAAAAACCUGCAAAUGUAAUUUUUGGGUUUCUUCAACAUAUCUUCCAUCCAAAUCAAACAAGAAUCGAUAAAUCAACAACAUUCAUCUUUAAACGACAUAUUACCACAAUAAAAUUGUCAACCAAGCCUCAUAUAAACCUUUUUUGUGUUUUUUGGUAAAUAUGUUUGUUUUUCUCUAAGAAUACUAGGGAAAAAAGAAACCCACUUUCUUAAUCAAGAAUCAAAUAAUAUAUAUGAAUCUAAGCUGAAGUAAGUCUUGGGUUUGAUGAAAUAGCUUGCAUUGCGAUUUAGAUUGGAAAGGAAGUUGAUUUUUACUGGUUGAGAGAGAGAGAUUUGAGACUUAAGAGAGUGUUGCUAAUCUUCAAUCGUGUAAACAAGGGUAACUGGGUCAUAGUUCAAAAUAAGGGUCCAAAAUUUACUAAAGCUAUUAAGGAGCCCAAAACUCAUAAUGGCUUCCCCAAAAUAAAUAAAAUUUUCUAGCAUUAAGUUUUUGUUUCUUCUUGAGAUUUCCUUGUCGUACUUACCCAUAUUUCGAUAUUGCCUCCAAGUAAACUUAUAUAUAUUGAUUAACAAUAUAAACAAGCACUAUGAAGUUUUAGGCCUGAAAGAACAUUAGGAUUGAAAUGAAAACCAUCUAUUUAAGUAACAAAUUCUUCUGAUAAUCUGAUGCUUAAUUUAGAGAAGAGAUGACAUAUCAAUCACGUUAUGAUGUGGAAGUUAUGAUUAUAUUCAUCUUAGAAUAAGAUCUUUCAGGCACUGGCAGAUUAGUAUAAAAAAUACUCAGCAUAAGACCUACAAACUAGAAAUCACGCACCAAUUAUUGAACUCAGCACAUAAGUUGAUCUUUUAUAAGCUAUAAAACAAAUCUGCUAUAACAUAAGAAAGUGGGAUUUAUCACCAGACAAGUAUUUUGGUGAAACUCAAGCUGACGGAAGGAUAUCCAAAGCAACCUCCUUAAGGGAAGGCAUCACUUCCUGCUGAUGCAAACAUAUAUAUUUAUUACUCACUUUCUUGAGGACCUUCUAGGAACCUGGGUAGCACCUAACAGAAAGUGGAAAAGAAUAAAAUGUAAAAUAUAAGUUAAACAGCAGGAAAACAGUGAGUGAUACUAGGCAAGCAUUAAUAUGUUGCCGCAAGAAAAGUGUCAGUAACUAGCUAGCAAACCUGAAAAGGGUUCCUCCAUUACGACCCUUAAAAUUGUGAAUGUAAUAUAUGGUCUCCAUCACAGGAAAAAGUGUUUUGGAUAGUGCAGCCAGCUUAGGGUAGAAGAAUGACGGAUAAUCUUAGCUCAUUUAAGGAAAUCCUCUCUGAUCCUUUCAUUGCACAUUCCAAAACAACUCUACUACAACCAAGUUACCAAUUCUUUUUGUUAAGUCAUUGUUAUUUGUUAAAAAAAAAAAAAAGUCUUCCUUGUAACAUUUUAUUGAAAGAUAUAACAUGAUCAUCCCUAUUAAUUCCCUUUUAGAUUUCUGUGAGUGAAUUUCAAAUUAUUGUAUUAAAAAAUAGAAGCAAAAGACCCACUUUACUUUCAAUUUCUGCAACAAGAUACCAAUUGAAGGACCAAAAAGUUGUAAACAAGCAAUUCAAUGAGUGGACAUCUAGAAACUGCUAUAUAGCAUCAAAAUCAUACUAAAUUUACAGAAAGCACGAUAAGAAUGAAAGAAUGGUGAAGGAUACACCCAGACCUUAUCCGGUCAAGUUCUCCAUUGAAUAUAAUCAGUUUCCGGGCAGUAUUGAAGACAGCUUCUUUGUAAAGCUCUUCAACGACAAGCAUUUCUACAAGACAAAAGAAAAGCAAAAUUAAUUACCUUAAGGAAUGAAUAUCAAUGAGAAGACAAGGUGUAAGACUACCAUUGACAUUAAAAUAUGGAUAGGCGACUAGAAACAAUUCAUCUUCCGGCUUCACACGGUCUGCCAUUUUAACCUUCUCAGUGAAUCCAAAAUCCUCAAAGAAUGAAGGUUUUGUUAGAUAGUCCAACUUAAAUGAUGAUCCUUCAAAGACCGAUUUUCUUGCAAAUUUGACUUCAUUUGCCUCUGGGAAAAACUAAAAACCAAAUGACAGACCAAGAUCACGAAACGAAUCAUGAACGUAGAUAUCAGAUAAUCAGAAAUGGGCAUUAAACAGACUACUAACAAGUAGGAAAUGCAUACAGAAAACAUUAUUCAUACACCUUAUGCACAUGAAAUAUAUAUGCAGAGGGAUCCUCUUGUGAAUUUAGUUUAUAUCCUAAUAUGAGACGAUGAACAAUUGGAUGCCAUCUAAGGGCUAACAUUUGUUUGAUUAUUAUAUGAAAAAAAAAAAAAACAGAGUUGAUUGAUGGCCUUUGAUGGAUUGCCUACACUCCUAAAGUGCAGAGAGCCUGAUUGAUUGCUUUACCUGCCCCCCACACACACUUGAUUUUAUUAUCUCUCUUUUCAAAUAUAUAAUCAUUGCCUGUCUUUCAUCCUGAUCCAGCUCUCCUUCCAGGCACCAGCUGUGUUUUCUUCAAUUCAGUGAAACAUUCACUUUCAGGUAAGAAUAAACUUGUCCUUCCUCAAAAACCAACUUCUCACCAUGAAGCUUUCUUUUUUAAAACAAUUACUAGUCUAGCAUAAUUGAAGACAACUCAGAAUUGAAAAAGCCAUACUUUAAUGUCUGCUGUUGGGACCUCAAGACCAGGAACAAAAAGCUUCUUUCUAACCGUUGGAUUAACAAGUAGAAAUAGCUUUUUUCUGAAGGACCCAACAUUGCAUUGAAAAAUUCAACAAAAUGACUGGCGUCAUAUUUAGUCCUGCUAGAAUUUUGUGCACUUAACACAAUGGCUAAUAAUUGGCCCAGCGGACACUUUGUCGAACUACUGGCAACCUUGACUGUGGAAAUGCAUAUUUCAAAUGUUGGCAGGCUCUAGCUUCUUGAUGUACUGUUGAUAGAAAUGCCUAUUUCAAAAGUUGGCAGGCUCAAACUGCCGAGACUUUGGUUUCUUACAUUUCAAACCCACAAAUAAAACUUUGGCAGAACCCCAGAAAGAGCUACACCUCCCAAAUUUGAUGACAUAUGAGGAGACCAUGCCUAGUGCUUGGUUCGGCAAAUGAGUAAGUUUGAAAGAAAUUGAGGGAAACCUUUCCCACAGAGAGUCAUAUUGAAGGUUACAAUUUGAAGACUUUGUCCCCUGUCGCCCGUAACCUUCUUUGAUCUCUUUUCUUAGUCAUAAAUAAUCAAACAUGUGUUAGUCGUUGGAUGCAAUCCACUCACUGACAUCUCAUGUCCACAAUCAAUCAACCAUAUUUUAAUAGAAAUGAAAACAUUUUAAUUAAAAAAAAUGAGAUAGGAACAAAAUCAAACUUGGCAGACAUGGUCUAUGAGAUUUUAAAGAUGCUUGGUGAAAGUUGUAUUCAAGAGUUCAACAGUCAGUUCUAUCACCUAUGGCAAAGUAACCACCGCAACUAAAGCAAUUACAAAACAUCAAGAAGCUUGAACUUGGCAAGAGGUCUCAUUAACAGUAUACCUCAGAAAUUAAGACAGACUUAAAGUGCAAGCUUUUGGAUUUAUUUAAACACUGAAAAUAAUAUGGGUAGAAGCUCCUAUGGUCACAGCAAACAAUUACAAAGCACAAAACCCAAAAAACAGAUAUGCAAAAAGCUGCAAAAGAACAUUAUUAGCAAUUGACAUCUGCUUUUGCUCAGACAAAGGUUCUCAUAACAAAGGACUUAGUGAUUAUCUGUCAUAUGUUUAUGUUAAGGGGAAAAAGGAAGUUUGUUUUAGUCAAUCUCACGUCUAAUGGCAUUUAUAAGGAGCCCAAAAAUAAAAGAAAAAAUAAAGAGUUAGUAGGUGUUUCUUGCAGCACAAAGAAAAUUUAUCAUUCAUGAAAAACUUAGUAUGGAAAAAGCUAACUCAUUUAUCUGCCAAUGGAGAAAAACUUGUUGUCCACCCACUAAGGACCCACCAUUGGCAGGUCUGAUGGAUCCCAUGGAUGGGAACCGCAAAUAUUUUAUUCUAAAUGACAUGUGUAUUGUACCCAUAUCAUUUAAUUUGUAGAUUCCACUGAUGGAACUCAUCAAACUUGCCAAAUGGCAGGUCCUCCGUGGGUAGGCGCAUCACUUCAGCAUCCUUCUCCACCGAUGACCAAAUUUGGACUCAUUUAAAAAGAAUACAAAGCAAAACUAACUGACAUAAAUUGCAUAGAGAUCUAGGAGCCAAAUCAAUGUUGUUAACUCAUCCAAUUAAUACAUUCUCUUAGAGGCAGGGACGGAGCCAGCGUGGGACGAGGUGGGGCACAGGCCCCAGCUGGCUUUUAAUUUUUUUUUAUAAUUAUACUAAAAUAUGUAUUUUAUUUGUUAUUUAUGAAAAAUGUCUCAGCUGAAUUGUAAAAUUUAAAAUUGACUCCAGUAAUUUUAAAAUAUUUCAUACUGUCCCUAAUUUAUAUUUUUAAUUAUAAAUUAUUUAAUUAGUUAUUAACAUUUCAUGAAACUUUAUUAAAGACACAAGAACAAAUAUUAAAAUAAAAAAUAAUCAUAACAAAAUGUUAGUAUAAUGGUUAAUGGACUAGUUUUUAAUCUUUUUAUUUUUUAUUCAAGUAAAAUUAAUUAUUUAGUCUUUCAACACUGACCAUAAGUUGUAAGUCUUCCUAAUUCUAAUUUAUAAUUUUCUAAUUAAUCUUUUAUCUAGUUUUAAAAUUUAUAAUUUUAUCAUGCAUUUCAUAUUUGUUCUGUGUGUUGCAAUAUAUGAAUAUUUUUGUUAUUAUUAAAAGAUUUUAAGAGCAAAUUAAGUAAUAACCUAGUCUUGUAUAUUGAAAAAUAUAUUUUUGCUUAUAUUGAUAAUUCAUUAUUUUCAACUCAUAAAAUCCCAUUGAGGAGAUUUCGCGGAGAACCAUUGUAAUAAGUAAAUUUAUUAUCAAUGAAUAUUAUAGUUGUAAUGCUAUUUAUUGAUAUCUAAAUUUUUAAAAAUGUAUUAUACUUUAAGUAUGCUUUCAAUUAGAUGCAUACAGACGCACUCUAUAAGAAGUACAAUUGUACAUGUAGCAAGCUCCCAUUUAGAGUUUAUAGGGCCCACAAUACAGUUUCUCAAAUGACGACUUAUCACACGAGCAAUCGUACAUUCGAGUCAUCUUUAAUUUUAAAUGUGCCCCGGCUCUAUCAAAAUCCUGGCUACGUCCCUGCUUAGAGGUCAUACCUUGGUAACUCAUUUGAAAAGAAAUUAAAAGAAAAACGACUGCACAAAUUGUACUGAGCUCAAGAAAACCUGUUCAAGGUGUUCACUUGUCCAACUAAUAAAAGUCAUCAAGGAUUGUAUCGGGGACUUGGGACCAAUCCUGCCUUAACGAGAGAAAGGGAAUUUAGGAGGAAGAAGAUAACCUCUUUUCCUAGAACCCUUGAGAAAAUUAUUGAAGAAAUAUGUAUCUCCUUUUCUUAUUUUUACAAUAGGGUUACACAAUACAUAUAUAUAUAUUCUAAACUACAUAAUGUGCUAGAGUAGGAAAGUAAACAACUAACUGCAGACCAAGAAACUAGGAAACAAACUCUAUCUAAAAAACUGAAAUUCUAUCCCUAUCUUUUUUCUUUUCUAUCCCUAUCUUUUUUCCUUAAAAACAGGAUAGAAAACAAGUGACUUUUCCACACUCCCCCUCAAGCUAGUUCGAAGAUAUCAAUCAUUCCCAGCUUGCUAGUUAGUGACUCAAAGCUUGAUUUAUGAAGUCCUUUAGUAAGAAUAUCAGCUAGCUGCUUUGUUGUUGGAACAAAGGUCAUGCAUAUCAAACCACUUUCUAUUUUCUCCUUGAUAAAAUGACGAUCCACUUUGUUGAGUGUUAGAAAAUGCAUAUUUAUAAAGGAGAAAACCAUCAUUUUACAUUUCAAGUCGUACUAACAACUCUUACUUUUAUGUAUUUAACCUUCUUGUGAUAUAAUUACGUGUGUUUUAUUUUAAUUAAGUAUUUUAUGUAUUUUAGGGGCAUUAUAGUCAUUUCACAAUAAAGGAGAGAUUAGACGGCAAAACGGACAUCACUUUUGAACUCAGGACGGUCGAAAACCUUAGGAGGAGCAUAAAAGGAAAAAUGGCACUAUUCAUAUGUACGGUACUAUUCGCGUGUACGGUAUUAACUACGUUACUGUUCACAACACUGUUCACAACACUGUUCACAUAGACGGAUCGAUGACGUGGCAUUGACCGAUGAUGUGGCAUUGACUGAUGAGGUGUCACGAUCCUGUUGGGCUAAAAUUCUUAUGUACUGUUGAUGGUGACGUGGCAGCAUAUCAGUGGAUGAAAAAUCUCGCGUACGGUACAUGCAUCACACAUGAUUAUUCUCAACCAAACCGUGUUACUGUUUAUCCGAGUCAAACCGUGUUACUGUUCAUCCACGUGGUCAAACCGUGGACUGUUGACUUAUGACGUGGCGCAAUCCUGAGCGUCCAAACUGUUUUUAAUCUGAUGGCCAUGAUUUACUCCAUGUAUCUAUAAAAAGGGGGCCUUCCCCCCCUAAUUUGAUAGCUCUGAAUCCAUUUUUGGGAUCCAUUUUCUGUAAUUCCUUCUCCAUCUUGUAUUUUCUUUGUAUUUUAAUAAAUUCCCAUUUUGCCCCUAGUUCAAUUAUGAGUGGCUAAUUUUCUUUCAAGCUUGGGUUGAAGGUGAAGUCUCAACAUGUGUCAUGGGCUUAAUUUGGUAAAUUUAUUUUCUCUUCCCCUCUAGUUUUUGUGGAUGUUUUGACUUCUCGUCGACAAAUAAUAAUAAUCUUGUCUAGAUACCGCCUUGGUUACACCGGCUCUCUAGUAUAAGGUUAUUAUUAUUUGGCACGAUAAGCCCUUAGCACCAUAUUGAUUAUAGCGUGGUUCAUGAGGUGUGGAUUCCCCCCUCAUGAUUUAAUUGGCAUUAAUAAAGAUUAUUUAGCCCAUGAUGCAUGUUGAUACGGAUCCAGAUACCCAAGUACGUCAUUUUAAUAGAAUUCUCUUCAAUUUAUUCUCGCCAUUUCAAUUCCAAUUUUAGAAUUUAUUCUCGCCAUUUUAAUUUAAGUUUUAGCAUAUCCCAAAUCAUUUCCACCACAAAUCCAAUCACCCAUUUACAAAAUUAAUUCUACACAAUUAAAAUCCACCUCCUCGUGGGAUCGACACUCGUCACCAUUAGUCUAUACUACAAUAGAUUCGUGCGCUUGCGAGUACAUUAAAAUUUGCACAACAAGUUUUUGGCGCCGUUGCCGGGGAGGUAAGUAAUUUUAAUUCAUAGAAUUAAUUUUUGUGAAUAAUUUCUUUUAUUUAUUUUCUUGUAUUUUUUUUUAUUAUUAAAAAAAAAAGUAAAUCUACAUUUAAAGGUUAGUAUUUCUUUUCUUUUUCUCUUCUUUAAAAUUCUGUAAUUUAAUUUUCAAUUUAUUUUUCUUUGUAAUUUUUUUUUGUUUAUUUUAUUAAUUUAUUUUUAGUUAAUUUAUUUCACGUAUUUAUUUUUGUGUAUUUUUAUAGUAAGGUUGUAAUAGCGCAAUAAGGUUAGUAUUGUAAUUUCUCUCUCUUCUUUAUUUUUAUUUGUUUUGUUCCAUCUUUAUUUUUAUUUUAUUUAUUUUGUAUGCAUGGUCGUAGGUCUUUAUUACCUAAUCUUGAACCUAUAGACCUUGAACUUGAGAAAACACUUCGCACACACAAGAACGUUAAAAAUAAAUUUGAAAUGGAUUUACAAGCACCACAGGAGAGGCCAUUUAAGGACUAUUUUAGUCCCUUAGCUAAUUUGAGCACAUCAUGCAUAAGAUACCCAAAUGUAGCUGCUAGGAGUUUUGAAUUAAAACCUAGUGUGCUAAAUUGUCUCCCCACAUUCUAUGGCCUAGAAAAUGAGGACCCAUAUAAUCAUCUGAAUGAUUUUCAUGCCAUUUGUCAAACUUUUAAAUAUGAAAAUUUUUCAGACGAUGAUGUUAAACUUAGAUUAUUCCCAUUUUCUUUAAAGGAUAGAGCUCGUUCAUGGUUAAAUACUUUGCCUGCUAAUAGCAUUGCAUCAUGGGAACAAAUGGUUACAAAAUUUCUAAAUAAAUAUUUCCCAGUGCAUAAAACCAAUUCUAUUCGCAGGGAAAUUUCAGAGUUUACACAAAGAGAGGACGAGCAGUUUUUCGAAACUUUGGGAGUGAUUCAAUGGGCUACUCUUGAAGUGUCCACAUCAUGGGUAUGAGAAAUGGCACCAAUGCCAAUACUUUUUGGAGGGAUUAUUGCCAAAUGUGCAAGAAUGGCUAAUGGCAACAAGUGGAGGAGAGCUAAUGUCAAAAAGCGCAACAGAGAUUUGGGAAUUCUUCCAGCGACAAGCGGAUAAUUCCCAACAACGGAGUCGAUCACUCAGGAAUACUAGAAGAAUUAAGGGAGUAAAUGAGGUUCAAAUUGGCGAGUCAACUUCGGGAAUCAAAGAAGUCAAGGAGAUAGUUGAAGGUCUUGCUCGACAAAUAGCAUCGUUGUCGACUGCUAAAUCAACAGAACCACAUGACCAUGACUCAUACUCCGAUCAAGCCAAUGCCAUAGGUGUAAUGAGAAAACCAUCGAAUUACAACCCAUACUCCAACACAUAUAACCCUGGAUAGAGAGACCACCCCAAUUUUUCAUGGUCUCAAGGAUUCCAACAGAAUGGACCAGCAGCUCCAGCUCCACAAAUUCCUCAAGUUCCUCAAGCCUCUCAGCCCCCAUUUAGACCAUUUAAUCAGAACCAGAACUACUCUCAACCCAGACCAUGGGAGGAUUCAUUCCAGAAUCUCAAGAAUCUUACUCACUCCACGAUUGAGCAGCAGAACCGCACCGUUGAUGGACUACGAAAUGAGUUGAGAGCAGGCUUCAACUCACAAGAUCAAUCAGUUUCAAACCUCGAGAAAAUGGUGGGACAACUUGCUUCUUCAGUUCAGACCUUGGCAAUGACUGUUGAGAAAGGAAAAUUUCCAAGUCAACCAGUGCCUAAUCCUAAAGGAGUGCAUGAAGCAAGUACCAGUUCACCACAGCAGCAUGGGGAGGUCAAAGCAGUCAUGACCUUGCGAAAAGGAAAGGAAGUCGACAACAAAGUGGAGAUGCCGGUGACAAAAGAAAAUCAAAUUGUACCUGUGAAUGUUGAGGACUCACCACCGGAGGAAAAAGAAGAAACCAACCCACGAGAAUAUGUUCCUAAAGCUCCAUUUCCUCAGAGGUUAGCGAAAGGAAAGAAGGGAAAUUCCACAGGUGAGAUUCUCGAAAUCUUCAAACAGGUAAGUGUUAACAUCCCUUUACUUGAUGCUAUAAAGCAAGUUCCAUCUUAUGCUAAGUUUCUUAAAGACCUUUGUACUAAAAAGAGAAAUAUGCAUGUUCAAAAGAAGGCAUUUUUAACAGAAAACGUUAGUUCUAUACUCCAACAUAAAAUUCCUUUAAAAUGCAAAGACCCAGGCUCCCCCACUAUCUCAUGUAGUAUAGGGAACCACACAAUUGAGAAUGCUUUGUUGGAUUUAGGAGCUAGUGUAAAUCUUUUGCCUUACUCUGUAUUCGUGAAACUUGGACUGGGAGAAUUACACCCAACUCCAGUGGUGUUACAGCUUGCAGAUCGGUCCACGAAAAUACCUCGUGGUAUUGUGGAGGACGUGCUUAUCCAGGUAGACAAGUUUUAUUUUCCUGUUGAUUUCAUUGUAAUUGACACUCAACCAAUACAGGAUUCAAGGAAGCACAUCCCCAUUAUUCUAGGCCAACCUUUCUUGGCAACUGCGGAUGCUCACAUUCAAUGCAGGACUGGAAAUAUGCAAUUGUCCCUCGGCAACAUGACUAUGGAGCUGAACAUCUUCAAUAUUGCCAAACAACCUCAUAAUGCAGAUGAUAGAAUUGUAGACGUGGAUUUAAUUGAAGCAUUAGUUGAUGAUACUUUUGUUUCAAACCUUAGUGAUGAUCCUUUACAAACAUGUUUAACUCACUUUGGUUUGGAUUUUGAUAUUGACAGAUCGGUCGAAGAGGUCAACGCCCUGCUUGACUCAGCACCAUACAUGGACACUAAUAAAUGGAAGUUAAGAGUUGAACAACUAGCACCAUCAGAGAAGAAACUCAUCCCAUCAUCAGAAUCACCACCGAAACUCGAGGUCAAACCAUUGCCCAACACAUUGGAAUAUGCAUUUUUGGGAGAAGAAAUUACUUUGCCGGUAAUCAUCUCAUCAUCCCUAAAUGACGAACAAAAAGGUAAGUUGUUGGAUGUUUUAAAAGAGCACAAAGGAGCAUUAUGAUGGACCAUAGCAGACAUAAAAGGUAUAAACCCAGUAGACUGCAUGCAUUACAUUCACCUUGAUGAAAAUGCUAAAUCUACUAGGAAAAUGCAACGUCGGUUAAAUCCUAAUAUGAAAGAAGUUGUUAGAACAGAAGUCCUUAAGCUAUUAGACGCAGGUAUCAUUUACCCAAUUUCUGAUAGUUCAUGGGUCAGUCCUGUACAAGUUGUCCCCAAAAAGUCAGGAGUCACAGUAGUUACGAAUGCUGAUAAUGAAUUGAUACCCACUAGAGUAACUACAGGAUGGCGUGUAUGCAUUGAUUAUAGAAAGUUGAAUUCUGUCACACGUAAAGACCAUUUUCCUUUACCAUUUAUUGAUCAAAUGCUUGAUAGAUUAGUAGGCCAUGAAUUUUAUUGCUUUCUAGAUGGCUACUCAGGAUAUAAUCAGAUUCCCAUAGCACCAAAAGAUCAGGAGAAAACUACUUUCACUUGCCCUUUUGGCACAUUUGCAUAUAGGAGAAUGCCAUUUGGAUUAUGUAAUGCACCUGCUACAUUUCAACGAUGCAUGUUGAGCAUUUUUUCUGAUAUGGUUGAACAAUUCCUUGAAGUCUUUAUGGAUGACUUUUCUGUUUUUGGUAACUCGUUUGAUCAAUGUUUACAUCAUCUAACGCUAGUUCUGCAGAGAUGUAUCGAGAAGAAUUUAGUCUUAAAUUGGGAGAAAUGCCAUUUUAUGGUAAAACAAGGUAUUGUUCUCGGUCACAUCAUUUCGAGCAAAGGUAUUGAGGUUGACAAAGCCAAGGUGGAUCUCAUUUCUAAUCUUCCUCCACCUAAAACAGUCAGAGAAGUACGAUCUUUCCUUGGACAUGCUGGUUUCUAUAGACGUUUCAUUAAAGAUUUUAGCAAAGUUUCUAGACCCUUAUGCAAUUUACUUGCUAAGGAUGUACCUUUUAUCUUUAAUGAUUCAUGUCUCAUGGCGUUUGAAAAAUUAAAGCAAUUGUUGACAUCAUCACCCAUCAUUCAGGCCCCAAACUGGAGCUUACCAUUCGAGCUCAUGUGUGAUGCAUCUGAUUAUGCAGUAGGAGCAGUAUUAGGACAAAGAGUUGAUCGAAUUCCCCAUGUUAUUUACUAUGCUAGUAUGACAUUCAAUGAUGCACAGUUGAAUUAUUCAACUACUGAAAAAGAAAUGCUAGCAGUAGUGUUUGCAUUAGAAAAAUUUCGAUCUUAUCUCAUUGGUUGUAAAAUAAUUAUAUUCACAGAUCAUGCUGCUCUUAAAUAUCUUCUCACAAAGAAAGAUGCAAAAGCUAGACUAAUUCGUUGGGUAUUACUUUUGCAGGAAUUUGACUUGGAAUUCAAAGAUAAGAAAGGCACAGAAAAUGUCGUGGCGGACCAUCUCUCUCGUCUCCAUUUUGACACAAUUACAGAGCCAUUAAUAUUAAAUGAGUCAUUUCCAGAUGAACAAUUAAUGAGUGUGGAAGUAUUACCUUGGUAUGCUGAUAUAGUUAAUUAUCUUGUUACAGGUAAACUUCCAGAGCAUUGGACCAAGCAAGACAAGGCUAAAUUCUUUGCGGAAAUAAAGAAUUUCUUUUGGGAUGACCCAUAUUUGUUCAAGUAUUGUGCAGACCAAAUUGUUAGACGAUGUGUCCCUGAAAAUGAAAUUCAGAAUAUUCUUUCAUUCUGCCAUGAACAAGCUUGUGGAGGCCAUUUCAGUGCUAAGAAAACAACGACUAAAGUUUUACAAUGUGGUUUCUAUUGGCCAACUAUAUUUCGAGACGCUUACACUUUCUGUUCUUCAUGUGAUAGGUGUCAACGAAUGGGGAGCAUUACACGAAGGAACAUGAUGCCACUAAAUCCAAUUUUAGUGGUUGAGAUUUUUGAUGUAUGGGGUAUCGACUUCAUGGGACCCUUUCCCUCUUCUUUUGGCCAUCAAUACAUAUUGGUUGGUGUUGACUACGUCUCAAAAUGGGUAGAAGCAAUUCCAUGUAGAACCAAUGAUCACAAAGUGGUGAUAGGAUUUUUGAAAAGCAACAUUGUCUCACGCUUUGGAUUCCCUCGAGCAAUAAUCAGUGAUGGUGGUGCCCACUUUUGUAACAAAGCAUUCAAAGCUCUUUUGACAAAGUAUUCAAUCACACACAAAGUGGCAACCCCUUAUCAUCCGCAAACCAGUGGCCAAGUUGAGAUCUCCAAUCGAGAAAUAAAGCAUAUAUUAGAAAAGACGGUGAGGCCAGACAGAAAAGAUUGGUCAUUAAGACUUGAUGAUGCAUUAUGGGCAUAUAGAACGGCUUUCAAGACCCCGAUUGGGAUGUCACCCUACAGGCUAGUGUAUGGAAAAGCUUGCCACCUACCUGUGGAACUCGAGCAUCGUGCAUAUUGGGCCAUCAAGAAAUUCAACUUUGACAUGCAGCAAGCCAGCUCAGAAAGAAGAUUACAACUGGCAGAACUUGAAGAAAUUCGCAAUGAUGCAUACGAAAAUGCCAAAAUUUACAAGCAACGAAUGAAAGUCUUUCAUGACAAGCACAUUAUGAGAAAAUCGUUCACUCCAGGUCAGAAAGUGCUUUUAUUCAAUUCUCGCUUGCACCUAUUCCCAGGUAAGUUACGCUCUCGAUGGUCUGGUCCAUUUAUUGUUCAUACUAUUUUUCCACAUGGGGCAAUUGAAAUUAAGGACCCAAAGAACGGUGUCACGUUUAAAGUUAAUGGUCAAAGAUUAAAGCCAUAUCUUGAGUACCAACCACAUGGAGAAGACACCGAAAUAAAUUUGAGUGACCCACCAGAUUUGAAUUGAUUUUUUUUCUUUUUGUUGAUUUGAUUUUUCUUUCUUUUUAUUAUUCUUUUGCUAAUUGAAAUUAUUUUUGCAUAAGUGUGUUUGUUUUACCAUUAAGUUUUCUUUUCUCUUAUCAUUGUUAAUCAUGAGUACCAUACUUAGACCGUUCCUCCUGAACAUUCUUAAACCACUUCAACGUGUCAAAACUCAUCUCAAAAAGCAGAUUCAAUUUUGUAAAACACAACGCAUUUGGGCUCUACAACCACCAGAGUUAGUAGCCUAUGUUGAGGGUUUAGAAUGCCAACUCAGAGACAUUGAGAGAAGUGUUUACGACAUCCAGUUAGAGCUUGAGGUAAAUUCAAUAAGAGGACGAUUUUAAUUUUCUUUGUGUGUUUUAAUUUGUUUUUCUGUUUGUGUGUUUUAGUUUGUUACCCCGGUGAAAUGGCGGAUAACGGUACUCCGUGACAAUCAAGUCGGUUACUUCAGUUUCCCAUAAUAACUGACAUUCUGAGGCGAAAGUAUGGACAGAAAAGAGAUUCUAGCAAAGCUUCACAAGCGAUUCCCUUCACUUCCUCAGAAUGCCCUCCUUACGAUCUAUAAAGCUCGGUCCGAACGCAUGCGAUUACUCAUGAAGAAUAACAUACCUGCUGACAUCCGUUGGUUAAUCGAGGCUAAAGUACGAUCGGCAGGUGAGUUUCCUCCAAAAUUUAUUGCAUACAUGCCUGGUUGUGGUAAAGGAAAUUAUGCAAGAAAACGACGAGCUCGAAGAAUUUCUGUUGCUUGUCAUAAGUGUGCUAGAAUGAGUUGCGAUAGAAACCCAUGUUCUUUAGGAAUGGUGUCUGAUAACAGGGAAGAUAAGAUUUAAUUCAUUAGGGAUGGCUUGAAUAAGGAGUCAUUGGAUGAUAUCCUUUUGUCUCUUGAAACGCAUCCUAGUGGAUAUGUGCAAGGAGCGAUUCUCCAGUUAUGGCCAUUAUUCCAGAAAGAGCAUGCACGAUAUAGUCUCGGGAAUCUGACUAUAAACGACCCUGUUUGCCAGUUUAUAAGAAAACUGGAUAGGAAGCCUAUCCUCGACCCAUAGAGGGCGUUCAAGCCGUUUCUGGACGUAAAACCAGAGGAAGAUGUGAGCCACAGUCGCAACUACGUGUAAAUAUCCUUUUACUUUACUGUUAUUUUAUUUCAUUUCACUGUUGUUUUAUUGUUUGCAUUAUUGUCUUUAAUAAUUUUGUUACUGUUUGCUUUUUCCUUUUUACUGUUUCCUUUUUGACUCACGAGCCACGUGCUUAACGCGUUAUUUGACACUGACAUGCCACCCCAUACACAGUUGUGACCCACUGUCACCAAGAUUCUUAAAUAUGACUUUUUGUUAAGCACUCACAAAUUGUUUCUGAGAAAUAUUCCAAUGGCAGCUACUCCUAAUAGACAAUUCAAGAACAUUUGUGUGCUUUCUGGAUUUACCUAUGGCAAACAUAAAGAGUUCGUGGAGGCAGCCAUAGAUCUUGGUCGAAGCAUAGCAGCGAGAAAAUUACACUUGGUGUAUGGAGGAGGUAACCGAGGGUUAUCAAAAAUGGUCUCAGAAGCAGCUUUUAUCAGAGGAAGUCAAGUGUUAGGCAUCAUCCCAAGAGUCCUAAAACCAUUGGGCAGUUCGUCUGACUCAUCAACUGGAGAAGAGUUAGUCGUCUCAGGUAUGCAAGAAAGAAUAACUGAAAUGCUUAAUCAUGCUGAUGCUUUUAUUUUCCUUCCAGGAGAUCUUGCAACACUAGAGGCACUUAUGACACUAGCAUCUUGAGCCCAUCUACACAUUCACCAGAAACCCAUCGGUUUGUUAAAUGUCAAUAACUUUUAUGAUGGCUUUAUCGCAUUUCUUAACCAUGCAAUAAAAAACUAUUUCAUUCCUUCUAAUGUGAAAAAACUCUUUAUUUGUGCUCACACUGCUAAUGAGCUACUUGAUAUGUUACAAGCUUAUAAACCGGAGCCAGACCCCUGGACCUUUGUGUUGGAGCGACCAAAUAAUGAUGGUAACAGUAGCCGCAGUAAGAAGUACAAAUUAGAUUUAACUCUCCGCCUGUAAAUAUUUUCUUCUGUGUUGCACCACCCAGGUGAUGUCUUCUAAACUCUACUUCUUUCAUUUCAAACAUUGAGGACAAUGUUUCGUUCUGGUUGGGGGGAGGGAAUAGUCGACAGUUGUGGAAUCUUGGUUAAAUUUUUACUGAUUUUUUGUUGUAGAAACUAACUGUUGCUAACUUUUUAUGUUGAAGAUGGCUGAAUAUGGAGUGUAGUGACUCUAGAAACGCAUUUUCAUCGUUUAAAAAAAAUUAAAAAAAAACUAAAAAAAAAUUUCAGACAGUUUCUUUUUUUUUUCUUUCUUUAUUCUGUUUUUAUGUUUAUUUUUCUUCUUUUUAAUUUCUCCUCUAUAAAUAUACAUUUUCCAACUUGUGAGUCGAAGAUGGCUGAAUAUGGAGUGUAGUGCCUCUAGAAACGCAUCUUCUUAAAAAAAAAAAAAAAAAAAACCCAUUUUCUUUUUCUAUCAUUUUACGUGUAACUUUUCUAAUUAGUUUUUAUGCAUCAUUUUCACAUUUCUGCAUGCAUAUUUUCCUUUCAUGUUUAGAAUAGGUUGGGGGGUAGAAUGUUGUUUAAAAAAAAAAAAAUUGUGUUAUUUGUUUUAACAUUGGAUGACAUGAUUAAUUUCAAAUUUUAGUAUUUGUAUUAUCUUUGGUCUUAAGUGAUGUUACGCUAUGUUUGCUACUUUACAUGUUGAUGUCGGAGACAAAUAUGAGUUGCUUGAAGGAAUGAACAUGUCAUAAAUAAGUGCCAAGUGAGUUGUUGAGCCUAUCAUUUUCUUGGAGAGUAACACUUUUGCCCAUUCUCUAUACAGCUUAGCAGUUUAUUAGUUUAUACACGAUCUCUAGAUUUCUUUUGAGUUAACCCUUUAAAAAAAAAUGUGUGUUGCUACAUUGGGAGACCCAUCUAACUAGUAGAUAUGGAUAAUUAUUUAGAGCCCUAAAAGACGAUGGAAAGGCCAUAUUUGAUCCGUUUGAGCCUUUCUAGCCAUCCCUUUUAUUAAAUAUCCAUAGUUACCCCUUUUGAGCCUUUUUUUAAAAAAAAAAGAGAACAAAAACAUUUUCUUUGUCAACUUAUCAUCUUGACCCACUCCGAUUUGGAGUAUUACCCAAUGUCUUUUAAGUUCCAUCACCUAUUUAUGUUUGAGAAAAUGUAAAUAAUGAUGUUGUUCAGUGAAGUUAUGCCAAAUAAAAGCAAAAAAAAAAAAAAAAAAACAAAAGUUGUUGUUUCAAAAGAAUAAAAAUAACAAUAAUAGGUGAAAUCCACCUUGCAACUUCAAAAAAAAAUAUAUAUAUUUCUGCAUUUUUCUCAAACAUACACUUUGUUUUCCUUAUUUCCUUUCUUUGUUAGCCAUAUCCCUAGCCUACGUUAUGUCCUAAUAAAAGUCCUUCUUGAUUUUAGGGAACUAUAGUUUGAAGUAGAAGCUAGUUAUAUGGGCUAAAAAGAUGUAGUGAUGCAUAAUAAAAAAAAAAAAGAUAAAUAAAGUGGGUUGACUAACAUUUUAUUUGACUUGAGAUCGUAUUAUUUCUAAGCUAAGGGCAUAUUUAUUUCAUCUUGGUGAGAGCAUGUGAUAUCACUUCUUCAUUAUUUUCUCUCAAUUACCAUUCAUUGGAGUGACUAUUUUUUUAGGUUUAAUUUCUUUGUGAGAGUGUCACUACUUCCAGUGAGAUUUUGGGUUUUGACAUGUCAUUCUUGAAAGUAGUUAUAACAAAGUCUACUGGCCGAUUCAUGUGGAUGGUUGAUGUGGGUGUGAUGUUGUUUUAGACUGGAGAUAAUACUUAUACUUUUAUUUGAUUGCUAUCAUUAAUCUGAUUGAAUAAACACGAGUGUUUCUAAAAAAAAAAAAAAAAAUUAUUUUGAAUUUGAAUUUUGUUUUCGCUUUAUUUGCUAGGGACUAACAUUAAGCUGGUUGGGGGGUGUGUUGAGUGUUAGAAAAUGCAUAUUUAUAAAGGAGAAAACCAUCAUUUUACAUUUCAAGUCUUACUAACAACUCUUACUUUUAUGUAUUUAACCUUCUUGUAAUAUAAUUACGUGUGUUUUAUUUUAAUUAAGUAUUUUAUGUAUUUUAGGGGCAUUAUAGUCAUUUCACAAUAAAGGAGAGAUCAGGCGGCAAAACGGACAUCACUUUUGAACUCAGGACGGUCGAAAACCUUAGGAGGAGCAUAAAAGGAAAAAUGGCACUAUUCAUAUGUACGGUACUAUUCACGUGUACGGUAUUAACUACGUUACUGUUCACAACACUGUUCACAUAGACGGAUCGAUGACGUGGCAUUGACCGAUGAUGUGGCAUUGACUGAUGAGGUGUCACGAUCCUGUUGAGCUAAAAUUCUUAUGUACUGUUGAUGGUGACGUGGCAGUAUAUCAGUGGAUGAAAAAUCUCGCGUACGGUACAUGCAUCACACAGGAUUAUUUUCAACCAAACCGCGUUACUGUUCAUCCGAGUCAAACCGUGUUACUGUUUAUCCGAGUCAAACCGUGUUACUGUUCAUCCGCGUGGUCAAACCGUGGACUGUUGACUUAUGACGUGGCGCAAUCCUGAGCGUCCAAACUGUUUUUAAUCCGAUGGCCAUGAUUUACUCCAUGUAUCUAUAAAAAGGGGGCCUUCCCCCCCUAAUUUGAUAGCUCUGAAUCCAUUUUUGGGAUCCAUUUUCUGUAAUUCCUUCUCCAUCUUGUAUUUUCUUUGUAUUUUAAUAAAUUCCCAUUUUGCCCCUAGUUCAAUUAUGAGUGGCUAAUUUUCUUUCAAGCUUGGGUUGAAGGUGAAGUCUCAACAUGUGUCAUGGGCUUAAUUUGGUAAAUUUAUUUUCUCUUCCCCUCUAGUUUUUGUGGAUGUUUUGACUUCUCGUCGACAAAUAAUAAUAAUCUUGUCUAGAUACCGCCUUGGUUACACCGGCUCUCUAGUAUAAGGUUAUUAUUAUUUGGCACGAUAAGCCCUUAGCACCAUAUUGAUUAGAGCGUGGUUCAUGAGGUGUGGAUUCCCCCCUCAUGAUUUAAUUGGCAUUAAUAAAGAUUAUUUAGCCCAUGAUGCAUGUUGAUACGGAUCCAGAUACCCAAGUACGUCAUUUUAAUAGAAUUCUCUUCAAUUUAUUCUCGCCAUUUCAAUUCCAAUUUUAGAAUUUAUUCUCGCCAUUUUAAUUUAAGUUUUAGCAUAUCCCAAAUCAUUUCCACCACAAAUCCAAUCACCCAUUUACAAAAUUAAUUCUACACAAUUAAAAUCCACCUCCUCGUGGGAUCGACACUCGUCACCAUUAGUCUAUACUACAAUAGAUUCGUGCGCUUGCGAGUACAUUAAAAUUUGCACAACACACUUCAACAUGUUUAGUUCUGUCAUGAUGAAUAGGGUUAUGAGCAAUGUUUAUUGCUGCCUUGUUGUCACAAUACAACUUCAUAGGAACAUCAAUGAUAAUCUUCAAUUCUUCAAGUAGCUUCUUUAACCACAAAAGUUCACAAAUACCAUAUGCUACUGCUCUAAAUUCAGCUUCAGCACUGCUUCUUGCAACCACUGAUUGCUUCUUACUCCUCCAAGUUACCAAGUUUCCUCCCACAAAUGUGCAAUACCCUGAAGUUGACCUUCUAUCAAUAAUAGAUCCAGCCCAAUCUGCAUCAGUAUAUACUUCAACUUGCAUAUUGUUAUUUUUCUUGAAUAGCAGGCCUUUUCCUGGAGUUUUUUUCAGGUACUUGAGAACCUUGUAAACAGCUUCUAAGUGCUCUUUACAUGGAGAGUGCAUAAAUUGACUAAUAACACUUACUGCAAAGGCUAUGUCUGGCCUAGUAUGAGACAAGUAUAUCAACUUACCAACCAACCUUUGGUAACUUUCUCUAUCCACUGAUUUUCCUUCAAUUGCAUAUCCCAAUUUGUGAUAAGGAUCAAUAGGAGUGUCUCCAGGUUUGCAUCCCAACAUGCCAGUUUCCUUGAGUAAGUCUAAAGUAUAUUUCCUUUGAGAAACAAAAAUGCCUUUACUGGAUCUUGCAAUUUCCAUGCCCAAAAAAUAUCUUAAGGGGCCAAGGUCCUUCAUCUCAAAUUCUCUAGCAAGAACCUUCUUGAGAUUUUCCAUUUCUAUUACAUUGCUUCCAGUCAAGAUGAUAUCGUCUACAUAUACAAUGAGGAUCACAACACUACCAUCAGUGAAGUGUUUAAAAAACAUUGUAUGAUCUGCUUGACUCUGUAAAUAUCCAAAGCUAUGAACAGAUUUGGUAAAUCUGUCAAACCAAGCUCGAGGAGAUUGUUUUAAGCCGUAAAGUGAUCUCUUCAGCUUGCACACUUUUUCAAUACCAUAUUCAUUCUCAAAACCUGGUGGCAGAUCCAUAUAUACCUCUUCUUCAAGCUCUCCAUUAAGAAACGCAUUCUUAACAUCUAAUUGUUGUAGUUGCCAUCCUAAGCUUGCUGCAAGAGACAACAAAACCCGAAUGGAAUUCAUUUUUGCCACGGGAGCAAAUGUUUCUUGGUAGUCAAUGCUAUAUGUUUGUGUAAAACCUUUCGCGACAAGCCUAGCUUUGUACCUCUCAAGUGACCCAUCUGCUCUGUAUUUAACUGUAAAAAUCCACUUGCAACCCACUGGUUUUUUUCCUUCUGGUAAUUUAACUAGUUCCCAAGUUUUGCUUUUUUCUAGAGCUCUCAUCUCUGCAUACCCAGCAUCUCUCCAUUCUGGAAUAGAAAGAGCAUCUUGUACAGAUUUUGGAAUUGCUAUGACAGACAGGUUAGCUGCAAAAGCUCUAAAAGAUGGAGAUAAUCUAUGAUAUGACACAUACUUAGAAAUUGGAUGAAGAGUACAAGACCUAGUUCCUUUUCGUAGUGCAAUUGGAACAUCUAGAUCAUUUGUAGUUUCUAAAACAGAUUCUGAAAUAGGAUUAGAAUGAAUGUUACCUGCAAGUUCCAAGUUGCCUGUGUUUGGAUCCGAGUCUUGGCAGUGAGGAGAGGAAUGAUGAUUUGACCUUUUCGAAUUCCGUCGUGUGUAGACUUGAAGCUAUGGUUCUGGAACUCUCUCUAAUGAUUUUUCAUUAUUCAUAAUUGAUGGCAUUGUAGAAGGAACAUGAGGUACACAAGACAUAAUAGGCAUUGGAAGAGAUAAUUCCCAAAAAUGAUCUUCCGGAGUAUGAUUCUCCCCCUGAAGAGAAGUUUUGGGAAAGAAAGAUCUAUUUUCAAAAAAUGUGACAUCCAUUGUGAUGAAGAAUUUUUUAGACAAUGGAUCAUAACAUUUGUAGCCUUUUUGAGUAGGAGAAUAGCUAAGAAAUACACAUUUUAAAGCUCUAGGAUCAAGUUUGCUCAUGUUCUAUGUAUGAAUGUGAACAAAAGCAAUGCACCCAAAAAUCUUGGGUGGUAAAGAUGUGAAAAACUUAGCGGUAGGAUAGAAUUUUGUGAAAACAUUUAAUGGAGACUGAAAAUUAAAGAUUCGGGUAGGCAUGCGAUUUAUCAAGUAUGAUGCUGUGAGAAUGGCUUCACCCCAAAACUGUUUUGGCACCCUAUUUGUGAACAUAAGAGAGCGUGCAACUUCUAACAAGUGUUGAUUUUUCCGUUCAGCAAUACCAUUUUGCUGAGGAGUAUCUACACAAGAGGAUUGGUGCACAAUGCCAUUUUCCAUGAAAUAAUGACCAAGGGCAGUAGAAAAAUAUGCUCUCCCAUUGUCAGUUCUAAAGACUUGGAUUUUUGCUUGAAAUUGUGUUUGAAUCAUGGUAUGAAAGGUUUUAAAAACUGUUGCAGUUUCUGAUUUUUCUUUAAGCAAGUACACCCAACAAACACGAGUGUGGUCAUCAAUAAAAGUUAUGAACCAUUUAGCCCCCGAAAUGUUUGUAACAUGAGAGGGUCCCCAAAUAUCACUGUGUAUGAGAGAAAAAUGUUCAGAUUUUUUAUACGGCUGUGAAGGAAAAGAUACACGAUGAUGUUUGGACAAUACACAAAUUUCACACUGAAACAAAGAAGGAUUUUUAUUCUUGAACAACAAAGAAAACAAGUGUUGUAAAUAAGAAAAACUAGGAUGACCUAAUCGGAGAUGCCACAACAUUAUUUUAUCUUUAAUAGAGAAAGUUAGUUCAUUAUUUGUUGCCUGAGCUUCUCCACACAAACUAACAUCCUCCUCGAAGUAGUACAAACCAUCUACCUCUCUAGCACUGCCAAUUUUCUUCCCUGAACACAGGUCCUGAAAUUCACAAUAGGAAGGAGAGAAUUUAGCAAUGCAAUGAAGAUCCUUGGUAAUUUUGCUAACAGAUAAAAGAUUACAAGACAAAUUAGGAACAUGAAGAACAGAUGUUAACACCAAAUUUGUAGAGAUAGGAAUAGAUCCUUUUCCUGCUGCAGAAGAUAGUGAACCAUCAGCAAUUUUAAUUUUUUGACUACCAGGACAUGGAAUAUAUGAAUAAAAUAAUUUAGAAUGGCUAGUCAUAUGAUCGGUUGCUCCUGAAUCGAUGAUCCAUGGAUCUUUUUUCUCAUAAACAACUCCUAAAGCACUGAAAUCAUUACCUUUCUGGGCUAAAGAACUAGAAGAUGAAGGAUUUGGGAGAGAUUGUGACUGAUUAAGAAACUUGUACAGUUGCUCUAACUGUUCUUUAGUGAAGAGUUGAGAUUCGGAUUCUCCAGUGUUGAUUGUCGGCUGAUUCUCCCCAAAAACUUGAAAACCUCGACUAUGUUUACCAGAGAAUUUAUUGUUUUUCAAAUUUGGAGGUUUUCCAUGAAGCUUCCAACAUGCAUCUCUGGUAUGUCUUGGCUUGUGACAAUAAUCACACCAAACUCUGUCCUUCUCAUCACUCUUCUUCAGGUUUUUUGUUCCCCCAAUCAGUGGAGCUUCUGGUGUAACAGAGAUCAAGGCUGAGUUCUCUGCUGAAGAACCUCCCAUCAUCACAUUCUUUCUACUUUCCUCUCUUUUUACAUAAGAAAACACUUCCCUGGUAGAAGGAAGAGGUUCCUUGCCAAGUACUCGCCCACGGACUUCAUCAAGGUCUGAACUCAAACCUGCUAAGAAUUCAAAUACACGCUCUUUUUCUAACAUCUUCUUGUAUUUAGCACUAUCAGCAGCACAUUCCCACUCGCCAUCAUAGUACUGAUCUAACUCUUGCCAUAAGCCCUUCAAAAUAUUGUAGUAUUUAGUCACUCCUUGACUACCUUGUUUGGUUUCUCGAAUUCUGGUUUUCAGAUCAUAAAUCUGAGCAGAAUUUCCCAAAUCAGAAUAGGUCUCGGUGACAGCAUCCCACAAAUCCUUUGCUGUUGGCAGAAACAAGUAAGUUUGACCUAUCUCCGAUUCCAUUGAAUUCACUAACCAUGACAUGAUCAUUGAGUUGUCAGCAGCCCAAGUAUGAAACUUUGGGUCUUCUUCAGUUGGUUCUUUAAUUGAACCAGUAAGGUAACCAAUCUUCCCUUUACCUCUGAUAAACAUCUUCACAGAUUGGGACCACUGAAGAAAAUUUUGACCAUUCAAUUUAUGGAUUGUGAUCUAAAGUGAUGGACUAUCAUUAGAAACAUAACUUGAUAGUUGUAGAUGUCGUUGCAAUUGCUCUGAAGAUAACUCAGAAGUUUCUUGCUCGCUAUACUUUGAUAUUGGUAUUCAAAUAGAAUUGAAAACUAAAUCCAAGAAUCAAAGAGCGACUCUGAUACCAUGAGAAAAUUAUUGAAGAAAUAUGUAUCUCCUUUUCUUAUUUUUACAAUAGGGUUACACAAUACAUAUAUAUAUAUUCUAAACUACAUAAUGUGCUAGAGUAGGAAAGUAAACAACUAACUGCAGACCAAGAAACUAGGAAACAAACUCUAUCUAAAAAACUGAAAUUCUAUCCCUAUUUUUUUUCCUUUCUAUCCCUAUCUUUUUUCCUUAAAAAUAGGAUAGAAAACAAGUGACUUUUCCACAGCCCUUUUGGACAAAAAUGAUUUCCUGCUAAUUUUGAGAAUAAAACCAUAGACAUCUAACUUCUGAUAUCUAGUCAAUCUGGUAAAAUCUUGGCAGUUGCACUUGGGGCAUAAAUUAGUUCCACCUUGGUUUAAGGACAGAAAUUCGUCAUAUGCAUGUAUUUAUUUAUGUUUUAUACACACACACAUGCAUGUACACACAAACACUACCUUCACUUUGAAGAAAAGAUUAAAAUAACACUGCUCACAUACACAAUACUUACUAUUCUAGUUCGUGUAACUUUCUCCGGAGUCACAAACAGGUCACAGAAUUCACGUAUUAACCGCAUACUUCUAGUCAUUUCUAUUCCUCCUUCACCAUCACUUGUCCCACAAUUACAAAAAGUGAGAGGUAAUAACCAACAUAUUUGGGUUGCUCUUCGGUAAGGGGUGGGAGGUAAGGGUUAGUUGUGGAGGGCACCUAGUACAGAAUCAAGGCCAGCUGUUGGGAAUUUGAUCUCCUGUAACAUAUACUUGUUCAUCAUAAACUAUAUACUUAUUCUGCAGUCGAUGUGUGCAUAUAGCUCUUCAAUUAUCCAGUAAUAACUCACCAUCAACUUCCUGCCAUCUUUCACGGCUAAUUCAGCAGCCAUUUUUGCCUGCUUAAAGGUCAAAAGCCCAAACUAAGCAGAUGCUCCUACUCCGAUACUUAUUAUCUAACUACUACAGAACAGAUGAUACGCAUCAAGUUGUAUCAAGAGAGACACCAAGUUGUGUUUUCCAAGAGGUUCCAAAGAGGUUUUGUUUCUUUGUGUAAUUUUUAGACUGCUUUGACAACUCAUCUUAAAGGUGCCACUCAUCCAAUAUGAUGUGGUGACAGUAGUUUAGAGUUUUAAACUAAAUGCAGAGCUAAUAGUAUUUUGGAAUAUAAUCAUCCUAAGAUACUAUAACACAGGGAUUCUUACACAAAAACAACAACUUCGAUGUAGAGAGAAGAUGAUUUCACAAAAGCAGAUGUUUUGAUUUAAGUCUCCAAAACCCCCACCAAAGAAAUGUUCAACAGAUAUAGAAAUAUGAUCCACAUAUCUGUAACUUAAACUGUGAAAGUUGUUGAUGUUGUUCUAAAAUUGCCACAAUCUAUCUACCCCAUGAAUGUUUUUGGAUAAAACAACAAGCAGGACCCAAUGCCUGUUUUCUAAUAGCUUCAAAAAGGCCAAAUUGGUUUUGAAAUGUCUCCAGCUUUUCAUUUAAUAAGAGAGAGAGAGAGAGAGAAGAAUCGCUCCCCUUUCAAAUACCGUGCUCUUUUGUACCUGGGAAUUUAACUAAUUCUUGCGAAUAAAAAAAUUUAUAAAUUUGGUAAAUUAUUUAUUAAAAAAUAUUGAGAGGCUGUGCAUUAUUUUAUUAGUAAAGAUAUAGUUAUCAUCAAAUUAGUUAUAUUAAAAUAGUUUUUGACUCACGUAAUUUAUUUUUAUUAUUUUUAUAUAUAUAUUUAAUUAAUAAAUUUAUGUUAUAUUCAUUUGUAUAAAAAUGUACAGUUCUAUCCUCACUCUUAUUUUAUUUUUAUUAUUUUUUCAGAAAAUGGUAUGCGUUAUUAAGGUUAAGGGUGACAACUGGGAUCAAUAUACGGUUUAUUCGAGUGCUUAAAACCUAAUAAAUAUCCACUAACUCAUAUUUAAUUAAAAUAUAAUUAUUUUUAAAUAAAAAAAUUUAAUAUAAACUAAACAAAUUGAUUGGAUUUUGUUUCUAAAGGUACAUCAUUAGAACGUUACCUUUAAUUGAACAAAAGCACACAUAACUAGCACAUUCGCCACAAAAGCCUCAGCUUAGUGGUCGGCUUAUUAAUUAUCUUAAUAAAAUCAUGGUCAUAAAUUUGAGUCCCCGUAGGAAUUAUUAGGUUAGGUAGCUUUUUUAGACUACAAAAGCUUUUUUAGACUACUCAUUCAUUUAAUUUUCCGUUAUAUAUAUUCAUCUUUUUUAGAGGCCAAGAAGUCUUCGACAGAAAUGUGAUCUUUUUCUAGUUGCCUCCCGGUGAUGAGCUUCUCCCAAGUUUCAAUUAAUUCGCUUUGAGUGAGGAUAUUUUCUGGUGGCCUCAAAUACAAUGUCUUGUUCAGCACUCAAGGGUCAUCUAUUGUCUUAAUAGUAUAUGUGGCAACAUCAUCAAGAUGCACUAUAGAAAAAAAGAUAAUCAUUUUGUUUAAUAUGAACAUAAAUUCUUACAGUCUAACUCAUAUUAUAGUGAACGAUGCUGUUAUGUGGUGCGUGCAUGCACUAUCUAUAGUUUUAAUAUUAUUAAUAAAGAGUUAAAAGUCUUGAUUUAAUUUUAAAUUGUCAUUCCUCUAACUUCACCGUCUUCAUAGAUGCAGACUUUAUCUUUUGAAGGGUGAGGGUAGCUAUAUUUGAGAGAGGUGUCUAGGGAACCAACCAGCAAAAAACAGCUAGCAGAAACAUAAAUGACAGGGAUUUGAGCAGCCUUGAUUGCCCUUCUCACACAUGCGCUCUGCGUUCUCCCUCCCGCUCUCACUCACUCACGCCCAAAUCUCACCUCACUCACGCAUCUCUCCUUCUGACCGGUGGUUUUCUCUCUCUCGCCGUGGGUCUCAAGGCUGGCAGGGAUUUCUCGACUUGACUACUAAAACAUAAUCCAAAAACUACUAAGAGAUGUAUAUAUUACUCUGAUAUACACAAUAUGAAGAAACUGCAGUUAUAUUUCAAAUAUUAUAUGAAGGAAGAGGCUGUAUGGAUUAUCUAAAGGUGCUGAAAUUAAGAGACCUAUUGAAAAGUCAUGCAUGUGGUAAUUUUUCAAAGAGCUACCAAACAUUUGAAGAAAAAAUGGAAAGUUGGCAAAUUUGUCAAAUUUGCCAAAUGGACACCAUUGACUAUUGGCUUAGGUUAGGUGGAAUGGUAAAGGGGUUGGUGCAAUAGUGCCAUUAUUUUUCCUAUAAAUAGAUGGCACUUUUUCCAUUCUUUUGCAUCCCAAAAUUGUUAAGCUUAUAAGUUUCUAAGCUUUUGAGAGAAGUGAGAGAAGUGUGUCUGGGGAAUUUAUCUUUCCUGCAGAGUGUGAGAGUACUGGGUAUAUUUUGGGUUUCUGGGAAGUGAGAUUCGUUACUCAAAUAUUGUACUCUAUUAAUUGUUAAAUAAACAAUUAUUCUUUCUUGCCUCCGUGGAUGUAGGUUUAAUUACCGAACCACAUAAUUCUUGUGUCCUUUAUUUUUUCUAUAAUUAUUUGGUGCGCUUGAUUCCGCAUUCCAAGCACAACAAGUGGUAUCAGAGCCGAAGGUUCGUACUUGGGGGGAUACGGUACUGUUCACGUAUACGGUACUAUUCCCAUAUACGGUACUGUUCACGAAUACGGUGGAGACGGCCAUUUGUACUUGGGAGACAGUCUAUUGUAAGUAGUGUGUAUUUUUGCAUGUUUAGGAAAGUUCUGUCAACAAAGGCGAUAAGAGUCUAAGGAUUCUGGUUUUUAAUUGGGACCGAGUUCCCGUCCAGUUUCUUGGGAACUUUCCUGGUGCAUUUAUUCAUGCGAAAUUAACAUCAUAGAGACUGUUUUUCAAGUGGAAAUAGUUCGUUGAGAAAAUGGUAGAAGGUGAAACUUCCAGAAUUGGGGAGAGAUCUACCGAGACUAUUUCAGGAGACACUUCAGGUGGGAGACGAGAUUUGUCAAAUCGCUAUUCAGCACCUGUUAUAGGAGGUCAGAAGAUCGAUGUUGAAAAGUUUGAUGGGAAAAUCAACUUCGGCAUGUGGUGGCGCGAAGUUAUGGAUGCCCUUAUUCAAAUCGAUCUCGAUGUUGUUCUGAAAAAUAAAAGACACUUGUAUGAUGAAGAAAUUUGGGAUCGUAUGAAUGAAAAAGCUUGUGGUUAGAUCAGAUCUUGUUUGACCAAGGAGGUGAAAUACUUGGUGAAAGAUGAGGAGUGUGCGGUAACUUUGUGGCGUACAUUAGAGGAAAAGUACUUGGUGAAAAGUCCUGAAAAUCGCCUUCAUGCAAUGAGCCAAGUAUAUGGUUUUCGAAUGAAGCCUGGGGUGUCAAUGCACGAUCAUGUUUCAAGAUUUGAAAAGUUACUUGCUGAUUUGAAGAAUCUUGAUGAAGAUAUUAAGGAUGAAGUCAAGGCUAUGAUUCUGUUACACUCACUACCAGAGGAAUAUAGCCAUUUUGUGACUACUUUGAUAUAUGGGAAGAGUGUGAUCGUCUUCAAAGAUGUUUGCACAACAUUGACUAGCUUAGAGAUUCGGAAUAAUGAUAAAAAUUCUGAACGAGCAUCGUCUGAAGCUUUAGUGAGCAGAGAUUGGGCGAUGGAGAAACAGAAGAAGCGUGGUGGAAAGAACUCUCGAUCCAAAUCGAGAAGCAGAAAUAUAGCUCGAGAUGAGUGUGCCUUUUGUCAUGAAAAGGGCCAUUAGAAGAAAGAUUAUCCAAAUGCUCAAAAGAGAGAUGGGAAGAAACCAGCAGCAGCAAACAUGGCACGGAAAGAUGAGGGAUCUGAUUAUUCACUAAGUAUUACUCCUGCAGCAUACGUGGCUAGUUCGAGCGAGUGGAUACUUGAUACUGGAGCAACCUAUCAUUUGUGUCCCAUUAAGGAAUGGUUUACGGAUUUCAACGUAUUGGAAUCUGGUGCAGUUGUGAUGGGGAAUGAUCAACCUUGUCGCACAAUGGGGAUAGUAACAAUUCGGCUCAAAAUGUUUGAUGGAAUGGUCAGAGAACUCAAAAAGGUUAGAUUUGUUUCAGCUUUAAAGAAAAAUCUAAUUUCUGUGGGUGCUUUAGAAGCUAAAGGCUACAAGGUUACCAUUGAAGAUGGUAUAAUGAAGUUUACACAUGGGGCUAUGGUGAUUCUGCAAGGGGUUCGGCGUCACAAUCUGUACUAUUUGAAGAGAGGUACAACUGAUGAAGCAAAUGUUGUUGAGGCACACAGUGACACCACCAAGCUAUGGCAUGUACGACUAGGACAUGCUAGAGAGAAGUCUUUGCAAACUCUGAUAAGGCAUGGACUCUUAAAAGGUACCAAAACCUGUAAAUUAAAUUUUUGUGAGCAUUGUGUAGUAGGCAAGAAAACAAGGGUUAAGUUUGGUACAGCUAAUCACGAUACUCGUGAGAUCCUUGAAUAUGUUCAUAGUGAUGUAUGGGGACCAACCAAGACUGCAUCAAUUGGUGGAAGCCAUUAUUUUGUUACAUUUGUUGAUGAUUUCUCUAGAAGUGUGUGGGUGUACACCAUGCGAGCAAAUGAUGAGGUUCUAGAGAUUUUCGUGAAAUGGAAGAAAUUGGUGGAGACUCAAACUGGAAGAAAGAUCAAAGUAUUACGAUAUGAUAAUGGGGGUGAAUAUACUUCUGAUCCAUUCUUGCAAGUAUGCCAGAACGAGGGUAUUAAAAGACAUUUCACAGUGAGACAUACUCCGCAACAGAACGGUGUGGCUGAGCGUAUGAAUCGUACUUUACUGGAGAAGGUAUGGUGUAUGUUAUCUAAUGCUGGUUUAGAUAAAAAGUUUUGGGCUGAAGUUGUGAGCUACGCAAGUCACUUGGUAAACCGGUUGCCUUCUGCUGCAAUUGGAGGUAAAACUCCUAUGGAAAUGUGGUCUGGAAAGCAUGCACAAGACUAUGAUUCCCUUCGUAUAUUCGGGUGUCCAGCUUAUUAUCAUGUCAAAGAUGGUAAACUAGAUCCUCGUGCUAGAAAAGCUAUCUUUGUGGGAUUCAAAGGUGGAGUAAAGGACUUCAAGCUUUGGGAUCUCGAAGAUAAAAAGUUUGUGUGUAGCAGAAAUGUCACAUUUGAUGAAGCUUCAAUGAUGAAAGCUUCAAGUUCUCAGCAGGUGGAGAACAAGACCAAAGAGGUAUUGCUGCGGGUGGAGUUUGAUGCAACUCCAUAUGUACCAGUUAGUUCUACAUCAAAGAAGAGUUCAACUAUAGAGGUGACACCUAGAGUUGAAGAAGAGGUUGUUUCUUCUGAUGUCCCACAAAAUGAAGAAACAAUUGAUAAUGUAGAUAAUGAUGAUUUUAUAGCAACAAGGAGGCUAAGAAGAGAGAUAAAGAAACCCGGAUGGCUUACUAAAGAUAUGGUGGUAGCCUAUGCACUUCCAGUUAUUGAUGAUGACAUCCCCAACACUUUCGGUGAAGCAUUACGCAGCAGUGAAAGUGAUCAGUGGAAGUUAGCCAUGGAGGAAGAGAUGAAAUCUCUCCAUCAAAACCAGACUUGGGAACUUGUAAAGUUACCAAAAGGGAAAAAGGCUAUUGGCAAUAAAUGGGUCUACACCAAAAAGCAAGGAUCUCCGAAUAAAAUAACUCCUCGAUACAAGGCAAGGCUCGUGGCAAAAGGUUUUGCUCAAAAGGAAGGUAUUGACUACAAUUAAGUUUUCUCUCCAGUUGUAAAACAUACUUCCAUUCGUAUCCUACUUGCCUUAGUUGCAGAAUAUGAGUUAGAGUUGGCUCAAUUGGAUGUUAAGACCGCGUUCAUACAUGGAGAUUUGGAGGAGGAAAUCUAUAUGAUUCAGCCUUGUGGUUUCAAAGUUGCUGGAAAAGAGAAUCAUGUGUGUAGGUUGAUUAAAUUUUUGUACGGACUGAAGCAAUCGCCAAGGCAGUGGUAUAAAAGAUUUGAUCAAUUUAUACAAGGGCAGAAAUUCACCAGAAGUGAACACGAUCAUUGUGUUUACUUUAGAAGACUACCAGAUAGAGCUUUCAUCUAUUUGUUACUCUAUGUCGAUGAUAUGCUUAUAGCUUCGAAGAAUAGAGAUGAGAUCGAAAGAUUAAAAAAGCAACUGGCUUCUGAGUUUAAGAUGAAAGACUUGGGUGAUGCACAGAGAAUACUUGGGAUGGAGAUUCGUAGAGACAAGAAGAAUGGGAGCGUAUGGUUGACUCAAAAGUCUUAUUUGAAGAAAGUGCUAGAAAGAUUCGGUAUGGAUGACAAAACUAAACCAGUAUGUACACCUCUAGCUUCUCAUUUCAAAUUAAGCUUUUCUUCAUGUCCUAGAUCUCAAGAGGAGCGUGAUUAUAUGGCUCGUGUUCCAUAUGCUAGUGCUGUGGGUAGUCUUAUGUAUGCUAUGGUAUGCACAAGGCCCGAUAUAUCUCAAGCAGUGAGCAUGGUUAGUAGAUACAUGCAAAAUCCGGGUAAAAAUUAAUGGCUUGCGGUAAAGUGGAUUCUCCGAUAUCUGUAUGGGACAGUUGAUGUUGGGUUAUUGUUCAAGAAGGAUUGUGGUCAACAAUGUGUUGGGUAUUGUGAUUCUGAUUUCGCUGGAGACCUUGACAAGCGAAGAUCAACAACGUGCUACGUAUUCACAUUGGGUGGAGGUCCGGUUAGCUGGAGGUCGAUUCUACAAUCGACAAUUGCUCUGUCCACUGCGGAAGCAGAGUAUAUGGCAGCAACUGAAGCUAUAAAAGAAGCUAUCUGGUUGAAAGGUUUAUUAGGUGAUUUGGGAGUAAUCCAGGAGAACAUUGCGGUCUUAUGUGAUAAUCAAAGUGUGAUAUUCCUUGCGAAGAAUCAAACAUAUCACGCUCGGACGAAGCACAUAGAUGUGAAAUAUCAUUAUGUGAGAGAGAUUAUCGAGAGCGGUGUUGUGUUGUUGAGAAAGAUCGAUACCAAAGAUAAUCCAUUAGAUAUGUUGACGAAGGUAGUUUCUGGAGUUAAGUUUCAACAUUGCUUGAAAUUAAUUCAAAUCCUUCGAUUGUGUUAAGAUAUGUCCUUCGGGAAUUUUGAACUACGGUUGGCUUGAUCCCAAAUUUUGGGUACGUAGGCAGUCAUAGAGAUGCAGCCACUUUGGGGAUGAUGAUUGGUUGGUAGUCGGCUCAGAUUUGGACAAAUUUUCACCGAGGUGGAGAAUUGUUGAAAAGUCAUGCAUGUGGCAAUUUUUCAAAGAGCUACCAAACAUUUGAAGAAAAAAUGGAAAGUUGGCAAAUUUUUCAAAUUUGCCAAAUGGACCCCAUUGACUAUUGGUUUUAUGUUAGGUGGAAUAGUAAAGGGGUUGGUGCAAUAGUGCUAUUAUUUUUCCUAUAAAUAGAUGGCACUUCUUCCAUUCUUUUGCAUCCCAAAAUUGUUAAGCUUAUAAGUUUCUAAGCUUUUGAGAGAAGUGAGAGAAGUGUCUGGGGAAUUUAUCUUUCCUGCAGAGUGUGAAGUACUGGGUAUAUUUUGGGUUUAUGGGAAGUGAGAUUUGUUACUCAAAUAUUGUACUCUAUUAAUUGUUAAAUAAACAAUUAUUCUUUCUUGCCUCCGUGGAUGUAGGUUUAAUUACCGAACCACGUAAUUCUUGUGUCCUUUAUUUUUUCUAUAAUUAUUUGGUGCGCUUGAUUCCGCAUUCCGCGCACAACAAGACCCACACCAACCGACAGACCCCCGGUGAUAGAGAGAAAGUCGACUGUGAGAUGCAUUCAAGACGGGGGAAGAGUGAGAGAGAAAACUGCCCGGUCAGAAGGAGAGAUGCAUGAUUGAGGUGAGAGAUUUGGGCGUGAGUGAGUGAGGAGUGAGGGAGAGGGUGCCGCGUGUGUGGGAUGCGUACAAUGACAAUUUAUACUUACAUCAAAACGCCGCGUUCGGUGCCAUGUGUAGGGCUAACUGUGGUUUGAAUCUCACUUUGGUAAUGGAAAUGACUUUGCAAUUGACAGUUUUUGUCAAAAGUUCGCACUGCAUGAAACUAGUGUUAAUAUAAUUUAAAAAAUUAAUUUCAGUAUUAAUUUUUAAAGUUUUAAUUAUUAUAUUUAUUUUAAUAAUAGAUUUAUAUUUAUUAUAAAAAUUUUAGUUAAAUAUUUGUGUUAAAUGGAAUUUAUAAUUAAUAUAAUAGAUCUUAGGUAUUAAUAUAUUAUAAUUAUUCUAUAUGCUAUUGAAAAUCAUUUAUAUUUUUAGACGUUUAUUUUCAUAUUAAGUUUCUAUUUAUUUUAAAAUUUAGUUUAAUAUAAUAUAAGCAAGUAAAGUAUUAAAAUAUUUUUUAGUAUUAUUUAAAAUAUUAAAAUAAUUUUAAAAUAUAAGUCAAAUUUUUAAGUGAAUAUAACUAAUAUUUACAGCUAUUUGAUGGCCUCAACAAGCUAAAGCAGCAUCAAAAUUUGUGGCUCGUUAAUUUAUUUUUUCCCUUUCAAAAAGGGAAGAGGAUAAGUUUGGAAGAAUGAUUAUAUUUUUAAUAAAUUCUUUUUUAUUAUAAUACUUUUUGUCUUUAUUAAUUUAAAAAUAUUGACUCUUAUAUUUUAAAAAAUAUAAAUAUAAUAUUAUAAUAAAAUAUAACAAUAUAUAUCAAAUAUUUAAAAAAUUUAAUAUUUUAAUAUUUUAUAUUAUAUUAAAAUAAAUUUUUAAUAAAUAAAAAUAAUCUAUUAAAAUAAAGUACAAAAAUUUAAAUUAUUUUCAAUAUCAUCUAAAAUAAUUUUACUAUUAUUAAUGCAUGAAAUAUAUUAUAGUAAUUGUAAAUUUCAUUUAACUCAAAGAUUUAUUUAGAAUGUUCAUAAUAAGUCCAAAUAUAUUAUUAAAAUAAUUAUAAUAAUUUACAUUUUAAAAAUUAAUACUGAUAUUAAUUUUUAAAUUAUAUUACUCUACCAGAAAAAUUAAACUAUUAAAUUAUAUCAAUAUUUAUUAAAAAAUUUUGAAAUUAAUUCUUGUUAUAUUUUUAAUUGGAAUUUUUUCAUGUGAUAUAACCAGAAUUGCUACAAUUUUUUUCCCUAAUUAAAGAUGGAGUUAUAAAUUAUUUGUAUAAGUGUCUGUGUGGAAACUAAUGUGACAUGAAAGUAAUAGCUGAAUAACAAUAAUGGGCCGAUUUCAAUUCUUAAACAGACUUGUCCUUCAUCCCAAUUUAUUUACCCCAUUUGGGCCGGUUAUGACAUAAACAUAUUCUUGUGGAAUGAAAAACAUCAUGAGAAGAAAAUGUUUUAUUAUAAUAGAAAAAAGUGGUCCAUAAGUCUAUUCAUUACUUUUUUUAUUCAAUAUAAAUGGCUAACUUUAAAAAUGGUAAAAAUCACAUAACGCGCAAACAUAUUUUAGAUUUAUAUUUUUUAAUACUCUCCGAGUCUCUCUUUCUCUUUUUCUUUUUUUAAAUAAAUGUCAGUAUAAAAUUUAAAAAAAAUUUAGAUAUAAAAUUUGGCAAUGACCAAACAAAAAUUGCAGAGGAAACCUUGAUAUCAUUGAAAUACUGAUAAUAGACACUACAGUAUAAAUAACUUGUUGUGAUCCACUCAACUUGUAACACUUUAAUCCAUAUUCUAAAAUUUUCAUGUUUGUUAGGAUUUUUAUUAUUGAUACUACUGUAUCAAUAAAAUUAUAAUUUAUUCAUAUGGAAUGAAAACAUCAAGAAAGGACCUCUGAUGUUUAUUGUCAUAGAAAAAAGUGGUCCAUAAGUCUAUUAAUUAUUUUAUUUAUUCAAUACAAAUGGCCAACUUAAAAAAUGGUAAAAAUCACACAAUGCACAAGUAAAAUUUUACAAUUACAUUUUUUAAUUCUCUUUGAGUCUCUCUCUCUCUUUAAAAAAUAAACCUCACUGUAAAAUUAGAAAAAUUUUAGACGUAAAAUUUGACAAUCACCAAAUAGAAAACAUAGGGAAAUGAAAAUGGAGGAGCCCUAUUUUCAUUAGAAUAUUGAUCAUAGAUACUAUAAUGUAAAUGAUUUGUUGCGAUUCCUUCAACUUGUCACACUCUAAGCUAUUUUCUAAAAUUUGUAAGGUUUAUAGGAUUUUUAUUACUGCCAUCAUUGUAUCAAUAAUAUUAUAAAUUAUAUAUUCUAUUGUAAUGAAAAUUUGUGUAAUCUUAGGUAUUUAUUGUAUUAAAUUGUGUGGAUUAAUUAAGAAUAUUUUUGGAGACAAAAGAAGUGUGUGUACGUAGGAUUAAUGAUAAAAAAUUUCUAAAUAAAGGUGAUUGCUUCAUUGACAAGUACAUAUUUAUAUUCCUCUAUUAAUAUUUGGGUUGUAAACUCUAUAAUAAAGUUGGUUGGUGUGAGUGGUUCGGCACUCUCACUCUUUAAGAGAGGUCGGGAGUUCAAGCCUCGCUCUCGUAUGGAGUCACCACUUUGGCCAGCACUUUACCUCUUAUGGGCCGACCCGGUGCGAGUGGGAAUUAGUAUGGGUUGUGGUAUGGGCUUAAAGGUGUCUCCCACAGUUGGGGCCCACUCAGGACCACCUCGUGAUUCAAACAAAAAAAAAAAGUGAAUAUAUUGUGGCAAGUGAUGUGGGCAAUAUCGGAUGCGAAAUAUUGAGAGAUCAUUAACGCAUAUAUUUAUUGAAGAUGCGUAUAGAGGAAAGAGUGUAGAUCCGGCCGUAACAAUUACGAAGCUUUCCCCAAGUAUACUCAUGCUUCCUUAACUGUUUCGAAGUAUUUUUCAUAGUGUGCAGAUUUACUUUAUGGUGUCUUUAAUUCAUCUUAAAUGAUUACUUUAUUGUUUUAGGAUGCAAUGUCAUUUAUUGUGUUAAUUUAAACAAUAGAAAAAAUAAGUAACAGUAACGAAAGACUAAUUUGUGAUAUUGAAGCGUACGGGCUUAACUCAAUCCAAAAAUUAGUAAAUUAGCUCAAGAGUUAAGAGUUGUCCAAAUCUUAUAUGAUGAACCCAAGUUUAAUACACAAUUGAUGCGGGAUGUUAUUCCUAACACCUCCCGUCAUGUGUAGGAUUGGCAAAAAAACUCGGGUCAGUCCCGCCUAAACCUACGAGCUUUAUGCAUGGCUCGCAUGAUGAAGUUACGGAUAUUAACCUAAAAAUUUGAAACUUACUAUGAAUGGCCUUGCUUAAAGACUUUUGCAACUUUAAUUUAUAACAAGUAUGUAUAUCUACACACACAUAAGCUUAGAUUGCAUUUGGAUGGCUUUUUUAAUCAAUUCAAACAAUCUGAAAUUUAUCAGAUUAAUCCAAAUCUUAUAUGUAUCCAAUUUUGCCCGCCCCUACUAUAUAUAAGCCCAAGUGACUCUCUUUUACUAAUUAAUAAGAGAAUUUUUGACCUUAUAUCCUUGUUGUGGCGUUAGACUGUUGGUUAUUUUGAUUGUUUCCUACCUUCCAUUUACGCCAGCUAUAACAUUGUAUUAUCACCAUUUUAGCCAUUUAAAUGAAAUUUUAUUUUUCAUUUUAUUGUGUCAAUACUAUCAUAAUUUAUUCAUUUUAUUGUAAUGAUAAUUUGUCUAGUCUUAGGUACUUACUAUAUUAAAUUAUGUAAAUUAAUUGAGAAUACUUUUAGAGACAAAAGAAACACGUGUAUGUAGGAUUAAUAAGCGAAGAGUUGUAAAUGAAGGUGAUUGCUUCAUUGAGAGGCAUAUUAAAUAAUUAUGGAGAGUUGCUCUAUUUCGGAAGCAUAUAUUUAUACUUCCCUAUCAGGAUUUGGGGUAAGCGAGGUGCUUUAUGUAUUGCAGUAACCAAAUGUGGGCAAUAUCAGAGCCGAAAUAUUGAAAGAUCAUAACGCAUAUAAACGAUUAGUAUAUUGAAGACACAUAUAGAGGAAAGAGUGCAGAUCCGGCCGUAACUAUUAUGAGGAUUUCCUCAAGUAUUCUCAUGCUUCCUCAACUGUUCUGAACUAUAUAUUCCUCAUUGUGGGCAGAUUUACUUAAAUACCAACACAAUGAUUCAAUACUUCAAAGGUCAAGGAAAUGUCAAAAUAUGAAAUGAAAAUACUUAAAUACCCUUCUACCUAACAAAACUUAGUACUUCUAACUGCCUUAGCAGAGAAUCUAUAAAAUUAAAAAAAAAAAUUCAUCCAUGAAAAGCUUCGUAACAGAAAAACCGUCUUUCAAAAAAUAAAAAAUAAAAAAUAAAAACAGAAAAACCGACUCAUUUAUCUGCCAAUGAACCAGUCAGGACUCAUUUAAAAAAGAUUACAAAGCAAAAGUAAAUGACACAAAUUGCAUAGAUAUCUCGGAGCCGCAUCAAAGGACAAUGGUGUUAAUUUGUCCGAGUAAUAAAUUCUCCUUGGUCAAAAGCAAUUAACGAUGAAAACUUUCUUCAUUAAGGUUCUGGCCUACGUAAAAAAAAAAAAAAAAAACCACCCCAAGGUCAAAGCACAACGAUAAGUUUAGAAUUGCAGUUUUUAAUUUUUUUUAAUAAAUCAACGUGUAUAAAAAAUAGAUAAUAAUUUUAAAUAAAUUUUAUUUGAUAAAUAUAGGCAUAAAAUUUUAAAAUCACCAAACAGAAAAACAGGGGAAUUAAAACAGAGUCCCUGUUUAUCCUCUAUUUUGCUUGUUAUUAAACAGGGAAAUGAAAAGAUCACAAGCGGAAAUUUUGUUUCUGCGUUGUCUCUUCUCAAUGCUACAUGCAUUCAAAUUAAACCUUACAUAUGCUAGCAAACUAGCUACCUGCGUUUAAGUGUUAGAGUGCAAUUUAUGCACUAAUUUUGCAUUGUUUACUUCUUUUAAUAUCGAUAUUUUGCACUUAAUAAUAGUGAUUUACUUGUAUUUUAUUUUUGUAAGUGCAAUUCUAUUUAUUGGUGCUAAAAUUGGGCUACAAGAUGAUGUUUGAAGAUGAUUGUUUUCUUGGAAAAAUUAUGAGUUUCAGAAGAACUUUGUUGAUAAGGCGUGGGCGCUGGCUGUCAACUACGGACCUGUAGUUUUUAGUUUAACGUGUUUUGUCUUUUUGGUUAUUUUUGUAAUCACGAAUUUAAUAUUUAGAUAAUAUUUUAGAUAUUAGUAUUUUAUUUUAAAAAGAACUCUAGAAGAGAAUUUAAGAGGGGAAUCUAUGGUCAAAGGAAAAAAAAGAAAGGAAACCCUAGAUCUAAAUUUUUCUCUUCUCUCUAUGAAGAACUAAACCUAUUAUUCUGGUUAAAGGUUAAUGGAGCUUUGAUUCAUCAUUACUGUGAGAUCUUUCUUAUGCUUUAAUUGUUUUAUUGAUUUUUGGGUAUUUGUUUAUUCUCUAAAUUAUUGUCAUGAUUAUGUUUGUUAAUUAGAUAAUUAGCCAUUAUUUAAUUAUCAACUUAAUCUAUUGUCAAUUAAAGGAUUCAUCGUAUGAAGAUUUUAAUGUUUGUGACAAAUAGCAUAGCAGUUCGUUAUGUUAUGAGAAUAAACAAUCUAAUUUAAAUGAACCAUCGUAUGCGUUUGUUGAUUAGGAUUUGGGUCUCUCUGGUUUUUCAGGUUGUCAAUUGAUUAAAUCCUAUGAUCGUAUCUAGGGUUGUCUAUUGAUUAGGGAAAUAACCAAUGGUCGUACCUUGGUUAUCGACUAGUUAAGGAGAGAUUGGCUAUUAGAGGGUCUCAGUAGCUAUAACCGGUCUAUUCAUAAGUAGUAAUGAUUUAUAUUUGAAUCAAUGAUCAAUAGUCGAAUCAAGCUGAGUUAAUUCCUUCAACCAGAGCUUUCCCCAAUUUUAAUUUGCAUUCUUGUUAUUUUAAUUUGAUUUUUAUUAUUGUCAACAAUUCCCCCAUUUUGCAUUUUGCAUUUUAAAAGGAUUUAAAUAAUUACUAAUCUCUGUGGACACAACCCUACUCAAUCACUAUACACAAUUUAUUUAGAGUAUGUAUUUAUUUUUGCUGGCUUCGACAACCAUCAAUAAGUUCUCGAUAAGUCCAAAUAAUAGAAUAAUUGUAAAAUGUUCAAAUUCAGUAAUUAAUUAUACAUAUUUAUUUAUUCAAAAUUAUUAUUAUUAUUAAUUAUUGUCAAUAAUAUAUUAAUAUACUAAUUAAUUGUAAACUUUUUUAUCAUUCAUAACAAUGAUGAUGAUGAUGAUGAUGAUGAUGAUGAUAAAAAAUUCAAAACAUAUUAAUUAAUUAUAAUAAUAUAUUAAAUAUUUAAUUAUUUAAUAAUAAUAAUAAUAAAUGCACAAUGUAUAAAUUGAUUAGAAUAAUUAUAUUAAUUAAUCAUAAUAAUUUUUUAAUUGAGGACAAAAUAGAUAUUUUAUAGUUUGUGAGAGGGGGCAAAAUGGUCAAUCUUGGGAAUGGGGGAUUGAUUCCCACCACCUUCCUUAGGAAUCAAUCUUCCAUUCCUCAUUCCUAAUUUGGGUGGUCCCCAUAGUUCUGAUUCGGAUCCCAGCCUCCAUUUUAUGAAGUAAACAUCAUUAAGAUUUCGAUUCCGGAUUCCGAUUCCCCAAUCCAAGAAGUACAGGCACCAUUAUUGUUGAUUGGUUCAAAUGCACAAAGAGAAUGUACCAUGUAGCUAGGCGUCAAGGUUGUGCUGCACAAGUAACCUUUUUCUUUUCUUUUCUUUUUAUUUUUCUUAUUUUCCUUAAUGUAUCGGAAGAAACUGGUGCCUUUGAGAUACUACCAUGUAAAUAAGUACUUAUGGUUCAUUGAAUCUGUAACACUCGGUACCCUACAAUUGCUUUUGAAAAAGGGCUUUACUCACUUAUCGCUAAUAUUCAAGUAAGUUUGUUUCAUUUCAGAAGGUGCAAAGUUUCAAACUUGUUGUAUUGAGAUGUAACAAACUUUGGCCUUAUAUGCUUGUUGUGACGUUUGACUGUUCAUUUUGACUGUUUCCUACCUUCCACUUACGCCUGUAGCACUGUAUUAUUCACCAUUUUAGUUGUUUAAAUGAAAUUUUAUUUUGUCAAAAAUGAAAUGACACCAUUAAAAUUUAAAAAAAUAGUCAUGGAGAUCCCAAAUUUUUACUAAAGAACACCAAUAUUCCCCUUGACUAUAAUACCCUUAGCAGGUGGUAAUAAAAAAUUGACUUAAAAUUUUUUGCGAAAUGUAAAUAUGAUUUAAAUAAUUUAAAUUUUCCAAUAGACUAAUAUAUAUAAUUUAAAUAAUUAAUUUCAAUAUUAAUUUUUUAAAUGUAAAUUAAUAUAUUUGUAUUUAUAAAAUAUUUGCAAUUAUUAUAAAAAUUUUAAAUAAAUCCUUAGGUUAAUAGAUUUUACAAUAAAUAUAAUAUUUCUCAUGUAUUAAUAAUAUUAAAAUUAUUUUAUAUGAUAUUGAAAAUAACUUAAUUUAUAUAUUUAUUUGAAUAUUAUGUCUCUAUUUAUUAUAAUUUGGUUUAAUAGAAUACGAGAUUGUAAAAUAUUAAAAUAUUUUAGAUAUUGAAAUUUUAAUAUGUAUAUAUUAUUAUAUUUAUUUUAAUAUAUUUAUAUUUAUUAUAAAUUAUUAGAGUCAAUUUUUAGUUAAUAAAUUUAAAAAUAUUAUAAUUAAAAAAAAGAAUUCUUAUUGUCUGUUAUUCACAAUAUGAGGUUCUACAAAAUUAUUUCUCCAGACGGGUGUCCUUUUCUUAUUUGUAAAAGGAAAAAUAAGUUCAGGGAUCUUAAAAAAUUCUAGUCCUAUCGACCACUAUGACUAAUGGGAAACGACAUUGCAAUUGACAUUACUUUUCGCAAUAUGACAAAUUUUUGGAGGGAUACGGGAGAAUCGUCAAACGUUCACACCACACGAGAGCUUUAGGUGGGAUCGGGGAGGAUUGUCAAGAGUUCACACCACGAGAAAUUAAUGAUAGGCCUAAUUUCGCUGUCAGUUCUUUAUUUAUUUAUUUUAUUUAUUUCAUACAUUAUUAUCUUGUUGGUAUUGUUUUGUAAAGGUAUAAAAGUAAAGUAAAAUACUAGGGGUACCAUUAAGUUACAGCUGAUGUAACUUACAGUGUUUUAAAAAAUAAUAUAAAAAAUUUAAUAGCUGGUGGGAUCCACAUAUUUUUGAAGAGACUUAAGUUACAACAGUUGUAACUUAACAAAAUCCAAAUAUUUGACAAUAAUGCAUAUAAUUUGGAUUUGAUUUUUAAAAGAUUAUUUGAGCACCACCUAUCCUUAUGAUAUUAAUGUGAAUAUAUCUUAAUAUUAAAUAAUCAAAAUUUGUUUAAUUAUUAUUUGUAUUUCAUACAUUACCUAUUAGAUUUGUUUGAAUUUUACGUUCUUGCUAAUAAAUAUUUAUGUUGUCAAAGUCAAAUUCUAAUGAUUAAAAGAGCAACUAUCCCUUAAAUUUUAAUGGUGAAUUGUAUAUAGUUUUUAAGAAAGUAAGGAUAAGUUGGAUAAUUGACUUAAAUUCUAAUGAUUAAAAGAGCAACUAUCCUUUAAAUUAAAAUGUCAAUUUCUUUAAUUAUAAUUUUUUUUUCAUGUGAUAUAACCACAAUUGCUAUAGUUUUUUUAAAUAAUAAUGGGAGUUAUAAAUUAUUUAUAUAAAAUUUGUGUAGAAUCUAAUGUAACCUAAAAGUAGUUGCUGAAUAAUAAUAUUUGAAACUCUAGGUAAUUUUCAUAUGAGCCCUUUUUAUAUUCAGCAUCUUGAAUCGGGGGAAAUCCGACUUGAAUUGGCGGCUGAUUUUGGUGAUGUAGCUUUCGGUUUAUGGUUGCCUUACAGUGGCGGACGACUGAUUUACGGUCGCCGACUGCUAGGGAUUAUGGUGGUGGUGUAAAUUGACGGAAAAAGUAGAAGGUUUGGUGGCGGCGCGUGUAGGAACCACUCGUGGGUUGUCGUUUCGUGUGGUGACUGCGGGUGGCGAUCAAGGGCUGACGUUGGUCGGUUUUUGGUCAACGGAGGGCGGCCAGUUUGUUGGUGGAGGUGGCUGGCGGUGAAAGUGGCUGAAUGGUGGUGGAUAUCUUGGUGGAGCUACGGGUUUGGGUUGGUGAUUUGCGGCUGUUCAGGCGGCGGUUGAGGCAGCGAUAGCUGCGGCUUGGUCGGCGGUGGCUAGCGAGGUUUGUUGUGGUGUUGGCUGGCUGAUCGGUGGUGGUGGGCGGCGGCGGUGGAGGUUGAUGCGGCGGGUAGGGUUUUCAAAUCGGUUUUUGAUAUUUUUUUUUUUUUUUAUGAAUUUGGUGUGGAUGGGUAUAGGGUAAGAAACACUAGAUAUCAUUCUAGUACUGGACCAAGCCAACGCAAUUAAUUUACCAUCUAGUCGAAGGGUGAUUAGAUAUCGUUCUAACCCAAACGAUAAAAUGAGAUUUUUAACAACGCGUAAUACAAGAUUAGAUGAUGCUCUAAUCCAAACGACUCUACAACGACUCUAUAAGAGAGAUUUUGAUAGAUAAAUCUAGGGAAAAUUAUAAAAGAUGGGUUUUAUUUAAUAAUUAAACCUAAAGUUUUGAAAACAAUGACAAGAUAUUUUUAUUUAUAAUACAGGAAAUCUGCUUCCCUAAGAUAACCUAAAAAAGAAAAGUAAAUCAUAAUUAUAAUAGAAAUGAAAGAUUAAGAUACACACCAUAAUUGACUCAAACUAAAAUAGAAAAUCUUAAAGUAAUAAAUAUUCUAAAAUUGUAAAUUAUCUAAAAUAACAAUAAUUAACUUCCUAAAUCAUUUCUUUGGUGUAAAUCAUUUUACAUCCAACCUCGCUUUAAAGGUUUGAACCAGCGUUACCAACAACAAUGUAUCAAGUUCCAAUCUAGCUUAAGAUCAUGCUGAUACAUCUACUGAUAUCUUUAUUUGAUUAGACAAUAAUGAGUCUAUCUCAUCACUUGUUACCUCUUUCUUGAAGGCUGCAUCUGUUGAGCGAUAACCUCGUUGAAAGUUUAAAGAUCUUCCUCCAUGUUAAAUUAAAUGGGCAUUUGAUUAAGAACUUUAUCUCUAUCUCCUUCUAUCAAAUAACAACCAUCCAAAGGGAAAAAAAAAUUAAAAAAAUCCAUGGGUCACAAUAAUUUCUGGUCAGCCCACAAACCCCCCAUUAUCUGCCACUAUCAAUCAUGAAAAUGAAAAUAAAUGGCAUAUUCCCAAAAUGACGAAAGAUUUUGGGGGAUAUGGGGGAAUUGUCAAAAGUUCACACAACGCGAAACAAGUGUUACAUCCAAUUUUAUUUCGUCAUAUAAUGAUAAUAUCAAAUAAUGACAACCAUCCAAAAGUAUGAUGGGUCUUCCAAAAUUUUAAAAAUGUCGUCAACAUUUAAUUUUCAAUGCUAAAGAAAAUGAAAUGCCCAAAAAUGACACGCAAGACCCACUCACAAACUAAAUGGCCCUUGACCAUAUGUAACAAACUUUGACCUUAUGUCCCUGCUAUGGCGUUAGACUGUUGGUCAUUUUGAUUGCUUUUUACCUUCCAUUUACACCCACUGAAGCAUUGUACGAUUAACCAUUUUAGCUGUUUAAAUGAAAUUUUUAUUUUUUUCAAAAGUAAAAUGACACGCUUAAAAUUUUAGAAAAUAGCCAUGUAGACCCUAAAAUUUUAAUAAAGAACACCAAUACCCUUUUUGACUAUAGUACUUUUAGUCGAUGGUAACAAAAAAAAAAAAUGACUUCAAAAUUUUUUACUAAAUGUAAAUAUGAUUUAAAUAGUUUAAAUUUUCUAGUAGACUAGUAGGUAUAAUUUAAAUAAUUAAUUUAAAUAUUAAUUUUUAAAAUGUAAUUUAAUAUAUUUAUUUUAAUAAUAUAUUUUUAUUUAUUAUAAAAUUUUAAAUAAAUCCUUAGGUUAAAUAGAUUAUAUAAUUAAUAUAAUAUUUCUCAUGUUUUAAUAAUAUUAAAAUUAUUUUACAUGCUAUUGAAAAUAAUUUAAAGUUUUAUAUAUUUAUUUGAAUAUUAUGUCUCUAUUUAUUAUAACUUGGUUUAAUAGAAUAUGAGAUUGUAAAAUAUUAAAAUAUUUUUAGGUACUGAAAUUAUUUUAAUAGGUAUAUAUUAUUAUAUUUACUUUAAUAUCCUACUUAUAUUUAUUAUAAAAUAUUAAAAUUAAUUUUUUUAGUUAAUGAAUUUAAAAAAUAAUAUAAUUAAAAAAAGAGUCUUAUUGUCCGUUAUUCACGAUAUGAGGUUUUACAAAAUUAUUUUCAAAAGGAAAAAUAAGUUCAGGGGUUUCAAAAAAUUCUAGUCCAAUCGACCACUAUGACUAAUGGGAAACGACAUUGCAAUUGACAUUGUUUUUCGCAAUAUGACAAAAUUUUGGAGGGAUAUGGGAGAAUCGUCAAAAGUUAACACCACACAAGAGUUUUAUUUAUUUAUUUAAUUUAUUUCACACAUAUAUUGUCUUGUUGGUAUUGUUUUGUAAAGAUAUAAAAGCACAAGUAAAAUAUUAGGGGAAGUAAAGUAAAAUAUUGGGGGUGCUGCUAAGUUACAACUGCUAUAACUUACAGUUCCUUCAAAAAUAAUGUAAAACAUUUAACACGUGGUGGGACCCACAUUAUGUUUGAAUAGUCCGUAAGUUAUAGCAGUUAUAAAUUAGUAAAAUCCAAAUAUUAGACAAUAAUACACAUUAACAAUGCAUAUAAUUUGGGUUUAAUUUUUUUUAAAUUAUUUGAGUAUUACCUAUCCUUAAGAUAUUAAUGAGAAUAUAUUUUAAUAUUGUGAAGCUUUCCUCAAUUAUUCUCAUGCACCCAGACCUUAUCUGGUCAAGUUUUCUGAUUCAAUACUGACGACAGCUUCUUUGUAAAGCUCUUCAACCACAAGCAUUUCUACAAGGCAAAGGACAAGGACGUGUUGGAAUGAAUAUCAACAUGGGAAUGUCUUAUGAAUUUAGUUUAUAUUCUAAUAUAAGACAAUCAAUAAAUAUUGGAUGCAAUCUAAGGGCUAACAUUUGAUUGAUUAAUAUAAGAAAAAAAAAGGGUACAAAAAUGCAAAACAGAGCUGAUUGAUGGCCUUUAACAGUCAGUUCUAUGACAAAGUAACCACCAUAACCAAUGGAAUUAUAAGACAUCAAGAAACUUGAACUUGGCAGGAGGUCUCAUUAGCAGUAUACCUCAGAAAUUAAGACAGAGACUUUAAAAUGCAAGCUUAUGGAGCAAUUUAAGCACUGAAACUAAUAACAGUGAUGCCAAAAAAGGUGCAGGAGUACGGUAUUAGCAAUUGACCUCUGCUUUUGCUUGGACAAAGGUUCUCAUCACAAGGGACUCAUUAGUUGCCCUUGCCUCACACGAUUGGAUGCUAAGGGGGAAAAGGAAGUUUGAAUUAGUCAAUCUCAUUUCUAAUGGCAUUCACAGAGAACCUAUAAAACAAAAAAGUAAAUAAAAAUUUUCAUCCAUGAAAAGCUUAGUAACGGAAAAACCGACUCUUUUAUCUGCCACUGACCUAAUCCGGACUCAUUUAAUUAAAAAAGAAUUCAAAGCAAAACUAAAAGACACAAAUUGCAUACAAGUCUAGGAGCCAUAUCAAAGGCGUUAUAUAACUUGUCCAAUUAAUAAAUUCUCUUAGGGACCAUGCCGUGCUCACUCAUUUCCAAAGCAAUUAAUGAUAAGAACUUUCAUCAUUAAUUGAUAUGGCCAGUGUAGAAAAAAAUGAAAAACCCCUCCAAGAUUAAAGCACAAGGAUAAGUUUAGAAUUACACUUCUUAAAUUUUGGUUAAUAAAUAAACGUCUAUAUGAAAAUAGAAAAUCUUUUUGGAAUAAAUAAACGUCAAAUUUUUGUUUCUAUCUUACUACCUUCUAAAUCCGCAAUCCCAAGUACUUAGAAGUAAAUGCUACAUAGUACAUGAGAUGUUUCCCGUUCAAAUAGCUCGUCCGAUACCAUUAACAUGUUCAUCUCUCUGUAAUUGGUGUAAUUACGAGAUUGGUGGUUGACAUGGCUUUCCUUGUACAGGUAUGUAUGAUUGUUUUUUUUUUUUUUGGCACUUCUAAAUGGAUACUGUUGAAAAGCUUAAAAUUGAACUGAUAAUUUUGUUUGGAAGCUCAGAAAAUUCAUGAGAAAGUGAAAUAGAAUAUGCUGGAUUUCUUUUCUUUCCAUAACAUACAAAUGACAAACGUAGCAGUAUUUAUACUCGUUGCUUACAUCAUAAAAACAGAAUUAAAGCAAGGUACACAACUAUAACAGCAUCAAAAGCGUGCUUAACUAAUUGGCUGAGCUGGCAUAUACUUCUUUAACUAACAAUGCUGCUGACUGGACUUUAGCUCACACAUGCUUAUCGUGCAGCUACUCUUAGUUCACACGUGCUCAGUGUGCUUCCUUAACAGACACAAGGGAAAAGACAUGAUUUUGAGAUAUAACGCUUGAAUGUUCUCGGAAUGGCAUAACGCUUCGUGUGUCUCGGAGCGGCUGAUUGGUGCUGUACGUGUUUCUCAUAUAGAACUCAAGUCUGCUGUUGUCCCAAAGUUGGAACCAGAGAUAUCAUGACUCUGGUUUCAUUUCACCUCAACUGUGUUUUUUUUUUUAAUUAAAAAAAUAAUUUUUUUAGGUAUACAUACAUGUAUUUUGAUCCCAUUUUCAUGGGAAUUUUGCAUUAAAAAAUGAAGAAUAGCUAAUAGGGAAUUUCCUGAUUCUUUAGUUACUAUUUUUGGAAUGAGGGUAAUUAGUAGUAAAGUUGGUUUCUACUCGCAAACAAGUGAGCUGCUCGAUUCCCAAGUGGUAUCAACCAGUUUUCAACUUUUUAAUAUACACAAAUUGUUAUUGUUUAAUAGCUACUACUAUUAAAACUCAACAUCUUACAAAAAUACUUAAAAAAAAUGAUUUUUUCUUAUGAUGCUGUAAAAAAAAUUACGGGUUUACUUAUUUCCACGAGAUCUUGUAUAGUGUUCUUGUAUAGUGGAAUUAAGAUUGUCUUCCCGAUGGUGCAAUUCACCCUCUUCCUUUACAGUCACUUGCACUUUGUGCAGCUUUGGUGUGGAUACGAUUCCCAGGGAAAAAGUCUUCAUGUUCGGACAAUGUGUCACAAAUACUCGUUCCAAUGAUGGGAAUUCAAGAGUGUAAUUCUCCAAACAAAAGCUGGUAAGCCUUGGUAAAUCAUCAAGUUCCAAAAGUUUUAAUUCACUGAAAGCAAUACGAUUCUCCUUCACUUCUUCUCCAGCAUGUCCUACGAUUUCUUCUAAUUUUUUGCAGUUCCAUACAUAAAGAUUCACCAGACUAGUAGGAAUUCCAACCUGAAAAUAAGCAGAGAGAGUGUGUGUGUAUAAAUAUUAAAAAAGUAAAAAUGUAAGAGUAUCAUUCAACUAGGCUCAAAGUAUGUUUGAUCAUACAAUUAUACGUUUUAUGAACAUAACAAACUGUGAAAUGUCUACUAGAUAUUUUUUGUUAAACAAAAAAGGUAACAAGAUAAAUAAAUAAAUAAAUAAAAGCCAGAUAAACAAAGAUGAUAAAAAUGUAUUUACACAAUUAGUAUUAGGGACGUAGAAAGAAUUUAAGGCAAUUUCUAAAUAUUUUAGACUUAUUUUGCAUCUUGAUAUAAGUUUUUAAGCAUAAAUUUGCACAUUUCAACUAUUCCUUUAAAAAAAAACUCAACUAAAAUGCCUCUUUUUCCCUUUUCCUUGGUCCCCUUUUUUUUAUGUAUAUAUAAAAAUGGAAAAAAAAAUUUGGAAAAGACUUCCUAGUACUGUCAACAAGGGAUUGCUGUAAAGUGGAUCUUUAUUAAGUACUUCCAGACUCGAGGAAAUUUCUUUACAAUCAAGGGUCAGUUGUAAACAAUCAUGAAUUUAUGGUUAAGUAAUGGCAUAAUCAAUUCUUAACUAAACUGGAGAUAUUAAUUAAAUUUGAAGACUUUUUUUUUUUCCCAAUCGAAAUGUGAAGAACUAAGGAAAAGAGAAAUAUAUAGAUGAAUUUGUGAACUUAUAAGAUGAGUGACUAUCCUUUAAUUUUUGAAAAUCGUACUUAUUAAGAUAUGAGCAAAAACAAUUAAAUUGAAUUAUAUUAUGCUGUUGAAUCUGUUUAAAAAAAUUAUAUUGUUGAUUCUAAUGCUGGUGAACCUAAAAACUAGACUUAAAACGUAGAUUUCAGAGUGGUGGUUUGAAGUACAAUAUUUGAAAUAAAUAAUUAGUGGCUGAAUAUCAUUUGUAAACACAGAAAUGAUUAAAAAAUUGUUGAAUGUUAUUUGAAAAAAAAAAUCGAAAUGAAUACAGAAACCUUACCAAUGGAGGAAAAAUAUUCAUUAGCUUAUCACACUCUUCUAUCUCCAAAUUCUUCAAUUUCCUGAAAGACUCCGAAGCAAGCUGGUGGUGCCAUAUUGUUCUUAGGUUAUCCAUCCACACAAUAUAUAAUACCUCCAACCUAGGAAGUCGUACCUGGCAAUUAAAGAUUAAAUAACUAAUUAAUCAAUUAAUGGCAUAAUCAAUUGAUAACUAAAUUAGAGGCGGAUAUUAACUAAAUUUGAAGACUCAAGGAAAAGACAAAUCAAGUAUUGUGACUAAAAUUAUUUUUUUAAUUAAAAAAAAAAAACUUUUCAUCAAAGAGAGGAGGAGGUUGCAUUUCAGAAUGAAUAGUGUCUUCUGGUGAGCUCGUAGAGAUGAAUCUUAACAUAUUACUGCAACAACCAAUCAUGAGGUUUAGCAAAGAAGGGAAUUCAACAACUAAAUCUGAAUGAAUAUGUCCCAUAUUGGCAAAACCUUUAAUUCAAUCAACUUUCCUUCAUCUCUUUCUGACCAUCCCGUGGUGUCGACUACCCCUUCCAUUGACUCACAAUAGCUUAUCUCAAGAUGUUGGAGUUGCAAAAGGCUAUUAACCAUAGAAUAUGAAAACAGAUACUUUAGACGAUAACACCUUUCCACAGUCACUUUUGUUAAAUUUUGACGAAAGUACAUUCCUUGAUUAUGAUCGGCCCAUAAUUUUUUCAUGUUUCUUAAGUCCCUGAGAUUCAAUUCCUCUAAGCUCGGAAGAAUAACCUGCAAAGAAAACCCGUACAUUUUUGUUCCUUCAAGUACAACCGUCUAGUAUAAUAUUCUUUUGAUGAUCAAAGAUUAAUUGUGAUAAUAAAUUAAUCAAUUAAUUAUUGAACAGAAAAUUAUCACCUUUGGAGCAGGAUCAUCAUCAGCAAUGAUUUCGUUGAAUCCCAAAGAAGUUGUUGGUUUGCUAAUUGUUGCACCAAAGAAGUAAGAUUUGAAACUUGUUUUUCUAGAGAAGUAGUACUUACCUCAUUGACUCGCUUAGGUGGCGGCAGUAGAUCGUUCCUAGUGUUGAACUGUUGGGAAUUAGCAGCCAUGUUAGCAAUGAGAUUUCGGGCUGCUUCUGGUGUCUUAUCCACGAGUGCUCCUCCACUAGCGGCAUCAAUCAUACUCCUAUCCAUAGGUAGUAGAACCUCAUAAAAGUAUUGAAUAAGAAGUUGAUCACUUAUCUGAUGGUGAGGGCAACUAGCACAUAGCUUUUUGAAUCGUUCCCAAUAGUCGUAGAGCGACUCUCCAUUAUACUGUCGGAUUCCACAAAUUUCUUUUCGAAUGCUGCCAGCUUUUGAUGCUGGGAAAUAUUUCUCCAAAAAUAGCUGACGCAUCUCAUUCCAUGUAGUGACAGUACCGGAGGGAAGAUAGUACAACCAUUCCUUGGCUGAAUCCGCCAAAGAGAAUGGGAAGGCCAUUAGCUUAACUUGCUCUUCAGAAACUCCGGCUGGUUUCAUUGUGGAGCAGACCACAUGGAACUCCUUCAAGUGGUUAUUUGGAUCCUCUCCUGCAAGACCAUGAAAAGUAGGAAGAAGAUGAAUCAUCCCAGAUUUGAGUUCAAAGUUUACUUGAGGGUUUGGAUUCUCAAUGCAUAAGGGUUGUUGGUCCAAGUUAGGAGCUGCCAACUCUUUAAGUGUUCGGUUGUUAUUCUGAGCCAUUGGUUGGGGUUCUGGGCUGCUUGGNNNNNNNNNNNNNNNNNNNNNNNNNNNNNNNNNNNNNNNNNNNNNNNNNNNNNNNNNNNNNNNNNNNNNNNNNNNNNNNNNNNNNNNNNNNNNNNNNNNNNNNNNNNNNNNNNNNNNNNNNNNNNNNNNNNNNNNNNNNNNNNNNNNNNNNNNNNNNNNNNNNNNNNNNNNNNNNNNNNNNNNNNNNNNNNNNNNNNNNNNNNNNNNNNNNNNNNNNNNNNNNNNNNNNNNNNNNNNNNNNNNNNNNNNNNNNNNNNNNNNNNNNNNNNNNNNNNNNNNNNNNNNNNNNNNNNNNNNNNNNNNNNNNNNNNNNNNNNNNNNNNNNNNNNNNNNNNNNNNNNNNNNNNNNNNNNNNNNNNNNNNNNNNNNNNNNNNNNNNNNNNNNNNNNNNNNNNNNNNNNNNNNNNNNNNNNNNNNNNNGCUAGUCCCCGGCAACGGCGCCAAAAAUUUGGUAGUGUCGUUAAGGUGCACCAAAUUUAAAACCUUACCACUAAUAUAAAUAAUUAGUACAGAGCGAGUAAGGAUCGAUCCCAUAGAGACUAUGCUAGUUAUAUUUAUUAUUAACUCCAAAGCAAGAUUUAAAAUAAAAUAAUAGUAAUAGUAAUAAUAAUAUAAAUUAAUCUAACUAAAGAAAAUGCCAAUUAAAAAUAAAAGGGGGGUUUAUGAAUUUUUAACUAAAUAGUAAGAAAUAAAGAAAUUAAAAUUACGAACAAGAAUUUAAUAAAAACUCUAAUUAAAGGAGAAAGAAAUAAUAAUGAUGAAAACUUUGGUUAAAGGAUCAUUCGCCACCACCAAACAUGCACAUAAUAAAUCAAUUCUAUUAUCAAUUUAUAUUGAAACUAUCAACCAUAGACAACAAUAAGCUCUGUUAGUCUCAAUCUUUCCUUAGUGUGUCGUUAGGUAAAAUAAGCUCUUCACCUAAUCUAUAACCAUUAAAUAAUUUAAAACAAGCUCUUUAAAUUUAAGAUAAUGGAAGCAUUAAACAAAGAAAGAAAUUAGGUUGAUCUAGGCAAUAAACACACAAGCUCAGAUUAUUUAACCUAGGUUAUGUUCUCCAAUUGAAAUCAUUAAUUCCAACCUGCUACUAAUGAUUAAAAUAUCAAGACAAUUACGGAUCAAGAAUUUUAAUCUAGCAAUAAAAUUUAUUCAAGUCCUAUCUAAUUGGCCACUCAAACAAAACAAGAAUAAACCAUGAACAUUAAUUAUAGAAGAACAUAAACAAUCUCAAUUAAAUAAAUUGAAUGAUAGAAUUUAAAUUUAAUUGCAUAGCAUGUUUAGGGUUUUGAAUUCACCCUCAACCAAAUAAAAAUCUAGCCUAACAUAAUUGAAUUGGGAAUAAGAGAAUUGACAAAACCAAUCAUAGAGAUUAAUUCAAGCGGCUGCCUUUUUCUUCAAUUGAAUUCCGGCUGCUGAUUUUUUCUUCUUCUUGCGGCUAUUGAUUUUCCUCUUGCUGCCGAAUUGGAUUUGCCCUCCCAAAGUCUCUUGCUGCCCGAAUUCUUUUCCCUCUAUUGCUUCCGCUUGAUCCUAUUUAUAAUGCUUCAAUUGUGGCUUUUUUUAAAUCCUUGCCUGGAAAGAAUUAAAUUCAAAGCUCAAAACCGCCACCUCAUGCUUCAAUUAAUAAGCCAAUAAUGAUUUCCUAAAGCCAAAAGGCUUUAUUCUCUUUCCUUUCACGUGGCAACUUUUGGUUUGCAUCUUUGUUUUCCAAUUUUGCUUUCAUGUGAUGGCUUGGCUUGUUAAUUGGCUUGGCUUCCUUUUUGACUUCCAUUUUCUAAUUUUAGCUCCAUGUGCAACAUUAAUUUUGCUCGGCCCAUACAAGCUUUAAUUAAAUUUAUUUUCUAAUUCCUUCCAAUUCUUGAUCUCUUGUGCACUUUUGUCUCUCAAUCUUCAAUCAAAUUUUUUUUCUUGAAUGCUCCGAUUUAAUUUCUCUUUAAUUCCAGAAUAUACCUAAAAUAACAAAAUAAAUAAAACUAAGAUAAAAAUUAACAAAAUAAAAUAUAAUUUACUAAAUUAAAAAUUAACUAAAAUAACUAGAAUAUUUAAGACCAAAACAAGAAAAAGAUAGAGAAAUUAAUAGCAAAAUAUAUGAAAAAUAUGCACUUAUCACAAGCCUCUCAUUUUUCAAAGCUUUUGCAAGGGUAAUAAGUGCAACAGGCAAUCCUCCGCAUUUUUCAACGAUCUCAUCUGCUAAAGGUUGAAAAGCAGAUGCUUUUGCAGAAUUACACACUAUCUUUCCAAACAAUUGCAAUGCUUCUUCCUUUGAUAAAACUUCAAUUGAGAAAUCCUUCUGAGAUUUCAUAUCAUUGCGCAAUAAAUCUCGACUUCUAGACGUCAAUAUUAUUGUGCGUCUUCUCCGAUCGUCCUCUCUAUCUUUCUCAUCAACAUCCCCAUAAGGAAUUCCAACUGUAUCGAACUCAAGUUUUGUCCAAAUAUUAUCCAGUAUAAUGAGGAGCCGCUUCUCUUGCUUCAACCUUUGACACAGUCGAGAAGCUCUUUGAAAUUCAUUCUCAUUCAAGUCAAAUUCCAUGCCUAAAUCAAAAGCAAGUUUGUCUUGAAUUUUAUGAUGAUCUGGGGUCUGUGUUAUCUCAGCCAUAACGAACUUAUCGAACAACUUAUCUUCCAUCACUUGGUUUGCAACUUGUUUGACCAGCGUGGUUUUGCCCACGCCGCCCAUCCCAUAGACCCCAAUUAUGUUGACCUUGUCAUCCUUCACCGCCUCCAUAACAUCUUGAAAUACUUUCAUUCUUGAAUCAAACGCCUCGAAAUCUUUCACUUGCAUAUGUUCUGCCCGCUUUGGAGCAGGACUGUAGGAAACAUUGGAGAAGUUGCCUUUUCCCACGAGACUAGCGGCAGCUUCUGCCGCCUUUGCUGCUUGUUUACUAAGCUUGUAACGAGAAAUCAAGUUUGGGCAUAAUCCUUUGAAGCAGGACUUCUUAGCUCUAUCUUCAUCAUCAAUGAUGGAUUUUGCAACCCCUUCACUGAUGAAUUCAUCAACGCUAUGUAGCCAGUCUGUGACACCCUCAUAAAGCUCAUCCCCUUGUAGCCUAGCAUGAUUAACUGGUUGCUGCACCAUUUCUCUCUUAUAUCCCAGCUGCUUCACUUGAUCUUUUAGCUCAUCUAUGUAGCUCUGGUACUUGAACACAUAAGAUAUCUGCCGUGUAAUCGGGUUGAACAGUGACUUUGCACCUUCUGAUACACAGUUGGUUAAAAAAGCCAGACACGCUUCUAUAGCCAUUGCCGGUUGCUUAACAAUAUAUAUCUAGUUUUUGGCUGUUGAAAAAAAAAAUGGAUUCAAAUAAAUUAAAUGAACUAGCGGGGAAGAAAAAGAAAGAAACGACAACAAACAACUUUUUAGAAAAAGGUUUCAGGGGCCUGAAUGGAAAACCAACAAUUUUUUGAAGAAAGAAAACUUUUUUGGAAGAUGGAUGCAAAUUAACCAUUAAUAAUACUGCAUAAGAACACAGAAGUUAACAAUAAACAGUAACUUAAAACUCAAGAAAAUUAAAUGACAAGAUUAAGACAAACAAGAGAUAGUUUUUGUUGGACAUUAAGAAACAUCUGCUAUCAAGAUCAAAGAUUAGAAAUUAUGCUAUUGAAAGAAAUUAUUAAAGUAUUUAGAACAAACGCACCUCUUCAAUUAUCGAGGAUCACAGAGUUUAUGAGCUUCACUCUUGGCCUUCGAUUUAUAAGAAAAAUUUUAAUGAGCAAAAGAUCACUGUUAACUGCAGAAGAAUGUGAGUAAAGAGUUUAUGGGAGUAAGCAAUACAAUUGAAUUGUAAAAGAACAAGACUUAAAGCGUGCACCCCGUGUUCAUAUAAACAGAACACAUGUUCAUUUUUAACAAAGUGAUCAAUAACUCUAUUCGUUAUUUAAUUGAUAUUGUAACCAAUUCUAAGAGAAUAUAAUAAUAAUCAUUCAAUCCAUAAAUUUAGAAUUAGAUUUUUUUAACUCUUUAUUUAAAUAUAAACCUUAAUGGAAAAUUAUAAAAGUUUAGAGAUAAAAUUUUUCAAUCACCAAACGAAAAAAACAGGGGAAUGAAAACAGAGGAAUCUUGUUUUAACUAUUUUUUUCCUCAACUCUCGUUCUUAUAUUAAUAAUCUUGUUUUGAUGAUAGUGCUCGUGACUGCGGGAAAAUUUCUACUGGAAACAACUCAAUUUCGGAAGAAAACUUAAUUUUGCAAGUGAUGAAUUUGAACUCGUUGGAUUGGUUGAUUUAUGAUUGACUGAAUUUCACUUUUGCCCAAAAGAUCUUUAACCAAAGUUUAAUAGCCAUCAUGUACUCCUUAAAAGCAAUUUUUUUUUUUAGAUUUGACUGAAUUUGAACUUGUUGGAUUGGUUGUUUUUAGAUUAUUAAUAUGAGAUAUUACAACGUAAAUAUUUUCAUGUGGUUGAGCCCUAUUCUAAAAUCUGUAUAGUUAGCUUUAGAAAAAGGGCUUUUCCUGCUGAUCUGUAAUCUUCAAAUAAACUUAGAUACAAAUAAUGAAAUAAAAGACAACAAACAAGCAAUACUGAUACAAAGCCAACAGAUCAGAGUUUUUUCUUGCCUUCUUUUGUUGAAGGAUUAGAGUUUUUGGUAUUAUCAGUAAAGGUUUCAAGGAGUAAAGCCUAUAAACUUUUUUUUUGGGGGGGGCGCCGCCGCGGGGAGGGGGGGGGGGGGGAGAGCAUGCAAAUUAACCAAAAGAAAUAAUAAGAGCACAGGCUUUAACAAUGAAUACUGACUUAAAACUCAUGCAAAAUAAGUUACAAUAUUAAAACAAACCAGAGAAAAUUUUUUCUUGGAAAGUAGAUGGAACUUAUGAAAGAGCAGAUGUCAAGGAUUUAGAAAACGCGCACCUCUUUAAUUAUCUGGGAUUAGAGAGUUGGUGAGCUUCUCUAUUUAAGAACAAGUUGAAAGAGGAAAAAGAUCACUGGUAACUGCUGAGGAAUGUGUGAGAAAAGAGUUGAUGAGAGCAAUAACAAAGACCUGCAAAAGAAAAAGAAUUAGUCAUGCACCGCUUUUCUAUAUCAUGUAUUUGGUUAUUGUUGCCCUGUUGACGCAUGUUGAAGAAGAAAGCACUAGUUCACAACUCUACGUUUUCAUAUAUUCUAAAGAAAUAAUUAAGUUUUCAUAGAAUGAUACCUGUUGUGUUUGAGUAAUUUUGGUAUAUACAUUGCUUGUGUACUGUGAAAUUGAAAUGAAUAUUGAUGGAAUGACUGAAUUUCACUUUUGCCCAAAAGAUCUUUAACCAAAGUUUAAUAGCUAUCAUGUACUCCUUAAAAGCAAUUUUUUUUUUUAGAUUUGACUGAAUUUGAACUUGUUGGAUUGGUUGUUUUUAGAUUAUUAAUAUGAGAUAUUACAACGUAAAUAUUUUCAUGUGGUUGAGCCCUAUUCUAAAAUCUGUAUAGUUAGCUUUAGAAAAAGGGCUUUUCCUGCUGAUCUGUAAUCUUCAAAUAAACUUAGAUACAAAUAAUGAAAUAAAAGACAACAAACAAGCAAUACUGAUGCAAAGCCAACAGAUCAGAGUUUUUGGUACAAAGCCAAUAAAAGACAAUAAACUUAGGACCUUUUUUUCUUGCUUUCUUUUGUUGCAGGAUUAGAGUUUUUGGUAUUAUCAGUAAAGGUUUCAAGGGUCUGAGUAAAAGCCUAUAAUCUUUUUAUAAACUUUUUUUUUUGGGGGGGGGGGGGGGGGGGGAGCAUGCAAAUUAACCAAAAGAAAUAAUAAGAGCACAGGCUUUAACAAUGAAUAGUAACUUAAAACUCAUGCAAAAUAAGUUACAAUAUUAAAACAAACCAGAGAAAAUUUUUUCUUGGAAAGUAGAUGGAACUUAAGAAAGAGCAGAUGUCAAGAUCAAGGAUCAGGGAUUCUACUAUCAAAAAAAAAAAAAUUAUUCAAGGAUUUAGAAAUCGUGCACCUCUUUAAUUAUCUGGGAUUAGAGAGUUGGUGAGCUUCUCUAUUUGGCCUUCAAUAUUUAAGAACAAGUUGAAAGAGGAAAAAGAUCACAGGUAACUGCUGAGGAAUGUGUGAGAAAAGAGUUGAUGAGAGCAAUAACAAAGACCUGCAAAAGAAAAAGAAUUAGUCAUGCACCGCUUUUCUAUAUCAUGUAUUUGGUUAUUGUUGCCCUGUUGACGCAUGUUGAAGAAGAAAGCACUAGUUCACAACUCUACGUUUUCAUAUAUUCUAAAGAAAUAAUUAAGUUUUCAUAGAAUAAUUUUGGUAUAUACAUUGCUUGUGUACUGUGAAAUUGAAAUGAAUAUUGAUGGACAGAGCAAUGCAUAUGCCUAAAAAAACAUAAAGCAAAUCCUUGAACGAAUGAUUCAGGACUAAAACUUUUAUAAAAGCAAAUACCGGAAACACACAAAAAGCAUUUAAGAGAGAAACUAAACCGCAAAUAAUCGAAGUAAGAUCAAUAAUAUAUGAUUUGAUUUAUGCAUAUUCAAAAACCAAAAUAUAAAAUAAAAUACAAAAUUAAAGUUUGGUUUAUUCUUUCCACAAAAAACAGGGGAAUGAAAACAGAGGCAACUUGUUUUACCAAUUUUUUCUUCUUAAUUUCCGGCAAAAAAAAUCAAUAAACAGGGGAAUGAAAACAAAGGAACGAAAACAGAGGAAACUUGCUUUUCAGGCUAUCUUGUGACAUGAUGAUAUUGCUCGUGAAUGCAUGAAAAUUUCUAAUGCAAACAGCUCAAUUUGGGAUGAUAAGCUUAAGUUUGCAAGUGAUGCAUGAUAAUCAGAUAUUUGUGGCUUUUAAAACUCAAGAAAACUCAAGAAAAUUAAAUGACAAGAUUAAGACAAACAAGAGAUAGUUUUUGUUGGACAUUAAGAAACAACUACUAUCAAGAUCAAAGAUUAGAAAUUAUGCUAUUGAAAGAAAUUAUUAAAGUAUUUAGAACAAACGCACCUCUUCAAUUAUCGAGGAUCACAGAGUUUAUGAGCUUCACUCUUGGCCUUCGAUUUAUAAGAAAAAUUUUAAUGAGCAAAAGAUCGCUGUUAACUGCAGAAGAAUGUGAGUAAAGAGUUUAUGGGAGUAAGCAAUACAAUUGAAUUGUAAAAGAACAAGACUUAAAGCGUGCACCCCGUGUUCAUAUAAACAGAACACAUGUUCAUUUUUAACAAAGUGAUCAAUAACUCUAUUCGUUAUUUAAUUGAUAUUGUAACCAAGAUCAAGGAUCAGGGAUUCUUAUGCCUACUGAUAUUUAAACAGAGAAUUCUUUCUUCUUUUUCUCUUCAUGGAUUAGAGUUUUUGCUAGUAACAGAAAGGUUUCAAGGGUCUGAAUAAAAUCCCAGAUUUUUUUUUAACUUUGUUUUUUGUGGGAAAAUGGAUUCAAAUUAACCAAAGCCAAUAAUAAGAUCACAGACUUUAACAAUGAACAAUAACUUAAGCAAAACCAAUGACAAGAUUAAAACAAACCACAGAAAUUUUUUCUCGGAAAGUAGAUGAAAAGCAAGUAAGAACUGCUAUUAAAGGAUAUUAUUAAAGGAUUUAGAACAUGUAUACCUCUUUAUUUAUAUGGGAUCAGAGAAUCGAUGACCUCCUCUAUUCGCUUCAGAUAUUAAGUAAGAACUGCUAUUAAAAGAAUGAAUUGAUGAGAGUAAUAACAAUGAUUGCAAAAUAGGAAGACUCAAUCAUGCACCCCUUUUAUACCUGAUCAUAUUAAGAAGUCGUUAAAGAAUAACGACUAAAUUAGGAAUUAAUUCUGAAGUUCAGAAUCAAGAACAAAGACGAAGCUUUAAUAACGCAUGCAGUGAGAUACAAGAAAUGGAUCUGGUAAAAUACAUUAAAAAAAUUUGUUCAACUUCAACCUAGUUAAGCUGAUGAAAGCACUAGUUGUUGGCUCUACGUUUCAUAUGUUCUAAUGAAAUAAUUAAGUUGAAGUUUUCAACGAAUAAAUACCUGUUUCGCUUGAAUAGCUUUGGCAUAUACAUUACUUGUGUCCUGUGAAAUUGAAAAGGUUAUUGAUUUACAAAGCUUAUUAGUAGAGAAAAGCUACGUAAGAUGCCUGAUAAAAGAUAAAGCAAGAGCUUGAAUGAAGAAUGACAUUUUAGAAAGAAACUAAAGUGUAAUCAUCAAAGUAGGAUCAAUAAUGUACCACUUUCCUUGCAAAUCUGGUGGGUUUUCUGAAUAGAUUUUUACAUUAUUCUAUUUAACCAUUUUGGGUUUACCCUAAGCAUUCUUGGUUGGCAUUGUCCUGUAAUCUGCGUGCCCUGGAUACGUGUGAGGGAAAGAUGAGGGUAGAUAUGCAAUUUCAAGAAGCGAUUUGCUUGCAUAAUUCAAUGCAUGGAAAGAGAUGUACCUGACCAGAAAAAAAAGGGCACCAUCCAUAUCUGAGCUUGACUUUUUAGAUGGAUAAAUAUUCUUAUUACUGUUGAUAAUGGAGAAGGGUUCUACUUUUACUUUGCCAUCUUUGAUAUAAAACAGCAUGAUUCCUUUUUAUCAAACACUUGCCUAAGUCUAUUUUUUAUUUUUCUUAUUUUCAGAAAGAGAUUAGCUUAAUUUAAAUUAUAUUCAAGUACAAAGUGUUAUACACUCAUAAAACGAGAAAUAGGCAUGUAUUGAUCACGCGCAAUCUAGUUUUUUUUUUUUUUCUUUUUUUUUAAUCCAGUCUUCUUAUUAAAAAAAAAAGAAUUUAUUUGCUUUAUUUUAAAUUAUUUUUUCAUGCGGUAAAUGCAAUACUGAGUAAUGGGUGAGCAAAAUAUUUACAGGCACACCCCCUUUUAAUGAUUUCGUACUAAAAUUAAAAAUUGACGAUUCCAUGAUAAAGUUCAAAGAGUAAAUGAAGACCCAUAAAUGUUUUUUGGUCAUGAGCAAUUUUUGAGUUGGGACAGCACUCGUAUGAAAAAAAAUAGUUUUUUUUUUUCUUUAAGCAUGAGGAUAUUAAUUCUUUUUUUAUAAAUCAGCGUGAAUAUAAAAUUAAAAAAAUAGUUUUGAAUAACUUCUUUUCUUUUUUCAUAAAUAUAGAUAAAAAAUUUUAAAGUCACCAAACACAAAACCAGGAAAAUGGAAAGGAAGCCCCUGUUUCUCCGCUGCUGCAAGCACAAAUUCGGUUUCUACAGGAGUACCUUCUAAAUGCACCAUUUGUAUUGCUUUGUUUCCACGUAAGCUAACGGAAUUUGAUGAAGACAAAAUAGAUAUGAGUCGUGCUAUUCACACCCCUCGAUAAUUCUCUCAAAAUCCCCUUUCUAAUUAUACCGCCUUGAAUAAUUUCAAAACUGACUUUUCCUCUUAUAAUACCACCUUCAAUUCCCUUAAUACCCUUGUUCGCUAUGAAAAUAAGGAAAAUGCCUACAUAAAAAGCUGGCUCUGAUAAUCUACCUGAAUUUACAUUAGAAAAGAGUGGACUUUGAGAAAUAAGAAGACAAUAUAGGGAAUUUUACCAAAAUAAUCCAUUUUUAUAUACAGGGAAUGGUAUUUUCUAAUAUAAGGAGGAGUGGAGAAAUUAAAUUUAGCAAAAUAAAGAACCUCCAUCGAGAAGCAAAAAUGAUGAUAUCUUUGUCGUGAAGAGAUUUCAAUUCAAUUGCAUACAUUGACGAAACAUUAAAUACGGAAAAAACAAAAAAGAAAUAAUAGAACAUGGGGAUUUCGAGAACUUCUAAAGAGAGAAAUGUAUUUAUAAGCAUUGAAAAUUAGCUCAUUAAAUUUGACAGAAUAAUAUACAAUCUCACUGUUGGCCAGAAAAUAAUAGUAAGAACUUGUGAACAUAUAUAAUCAAUUGCUUAUUACUUAAGCUUUUUCUCCGUUAUUUUGAAUGGGUGCAAAGAGGAGAAGUUUUGUACCCAAAUUCCAACUCGAAUUGUGUAGGCUGCUUGCAAGAGCUUCAUUAGAUUUUUAUUUGUCUUUUAAUAGUGCUACUCGAUAAAUACAGCUAGCUAUCUGUCCUUUUUGUUACUGGACUAUAGAUCAAUUGACAGUUGAAGUUAUAUUAAUUUGUUGUACUGGAAUUGAAGCUUGUAUCUUAGCCAUUUCGUGAAGUGUCAAAUAUAUUUUUAAUUUCCUUAAAAUUGUUCAAAAUAUGUUUACACUUUUAAAGUCACUAUUAUACAUGAGUGCCCUAAAAUCAUUUCCUUAAAAUUGUUCAAGUGGGAUCCUAGUUCUCUAUGGCAGUUGAAGAGGUAAAUGCGCAUAGAGCUAUGCUCUAUCAUAGGCCUCGGCCACUAUAAGAAAUUUGAUUUUUUAAGACGAUAUUUUUUACAACAACUUUAAAUUUGGUCACAAAAUGGUAUUUAUUGUGACAAAUUUUUUAAAUCGUAGCUAAUAAUCUUGUCCUAACUUAUAUUUUUUUUUGUAACCAAUUAUUUUUAUUUUGAGACUUGUUCAUUGGUCAUUAAUUAAAUUUUUUUAUACCAAAAAUUAUUUUAGUCACCAAAAGAUAUAUUUUUUUGGCGCAAAAUCUUCCCUCCAAAAGUGAUUAUUUUGAGACAAUAUUUCACUAUUUAUGACAAAAUAAAUAGUCAUGAAAUAUAAUUAUAGGCGACCAAAUUAUUUGGUAACUAAAAGAGGGGUGUAAAAUUAACUAAACAAUCUAUGACACAAAAUAUUAGUAGCCAAAAUUAUUGUUCUUUUGGCAUAUUUUAAGACCAUUUUUUUGGUCAUAUAUAAUUACCUACAGUGACAAAAUUAAAAAAUAGUCGUUGAAUGUUUUAUCUUGAAUAAUUUUAUAUUUGAUAACCAAUUUUUUUUUCUUUUUGAGACAUAUUACUUGGUCCCUAUUUCAACUUCUUUUUGACUAACUUUAUAAUAGUCACAAAAGACAUUUUUUUUUUUUUUGGCAUAAAAAGUCUGUCCAAAGUUAGCUCUUUUGGGACAAUAUAUAAUCUUUUAUGACAAAAUAUAUAGUGGCGAAAUAUAAUUAUUUUUUACAAAGUUAUUUCGUAGCUGAAAAAGAGGUGUAAAUUUAGUUAACCUAUUUGUGACAUAAAAUAUUAGUCUCCAAAACUAUUAUGCUUUUAGCCAAUUUUAAGACCCGAUUUUGUUGUCAUGGAUAAUUACCUAUUUUCAAAAAACUAAGAGAUAGUAAUCAAAAGUUUGUCUUGAUUGACAUUGUAUUUUAUGAGCAAAAUAUUUUGUUUCAGUGACACUUUACUUGGUCUCUGAUUAGACUUGUUUGUGAUGAUCAAUAGAAAUAUAUAAUAACCACUAAAUUUUUUUGGAUUAAAUUUUAUAGAUACUAUUAAUUAAGUUGUUGACGAAAAUGAUCGAACCAAUACUAAUAUGGGAUACCAUCAACAGCCGUAAUACUUAUGAACCGAGAAAUUAUAAUAUGUAGUGAAAAAGUUUUAACAGUAGUCCCUAGUAUUUAGAAUUAUUUUGACUACUUUAUUUAUUUCCAAAACAUAAAAUUCUCAACCCAAAAUUCCCCGCAUUGUGUUUUAUUUUGUCUCCUCACUCAGUUACUCUUAUUAACUCACGGCUUGACAAAAAAAAGAAAAAAAUUCUCACAGCUUGAUGUUCUCCUCUCUUUAAAAAUAAAAAUCCCCAGUUACUCUGCUCAAACUCGUUAAUAUUUGUUUCCACCACCAAAGCAGCCACUCGUAUCUUUUAUUAAGCAUAACGUUUUUCUUAAAACCUAAUUGAUCAUUCUUUAACGUCUCCAGGAUUAUAUUUGGCACGCUAUUUUUCUCCUUCAAUUGAAUAGAAGUCUAGAACCUUUUUUUUUUCGCAAUUCACUUUUGCUGUGUUUCGUGGUUUGGACUAAGAUCAUGACAAUUAUUGAACGAUGGGGAUAAAUAUCAAAGAAGGAGCUUACAUGCCCUAUAUAUCUCUCUUUGGAUGAAUAACGAAUGUGAGCUUUCAAAGUACAGAGAUUUACAUGUUUUAAUUGUCAUUUACAUUGCUGCAUGCCAAUUGCUUGAUAAAAUACUGCAACAAAUACGCAUUCUCGAUUUUCUUAUAAAUUUAUUUUCUUAAUCUGAAAAAAAUUGAAUGUUCAGAGAAUUUUGAAGGUUUUGGUGUAUGCAUUAAUAUUUCGAUUCUAUUUAUGUUGUUUAACUAAUGAAGAUGAUACAUCUAGCCUCUUUUUGCCCCUUGUUGUUUUUAUUCUUGUGCUUUAUAUACGGUUCAAGUGUGAUACACUUUAGUUUUUCUCAAGUGUUUGUUAGUAUUUCCCGAAGCAAAAUUUGUCACAGACUUUGAGUUCAAAAGUUGAAAUCAUAACUAACAUACUUCGAUUUUUUAUUUUCCUUUUUUCUUCGGUAUCCUUCUAUAUGGCAUUGGUUGAGAAAUUGGUGUACUUAGAUCGUAAUAUUCUGUAGAAAUAAGCCAAUAUUUCAUUACGUACAUUGUUUAAUAUGAUGAGUAUUGUAUAGAAGUUUUACAUAUAAGCUCCUUAUAUAUUAUGCAUUAUGUUUUUAUCAUAUUGUUGCUUGGAACUUUGAAGGAUUGGCCACAGGGCUUUAGUCCUACAUGGACAUUUUAUAUUUAAUAGCUGGUUAGGCAUUUUAUUUGAUGUUAUUUGGACUUGUAGGUGUUAAAAGUUUUGUUCAGUAAUUUUAUAAUUCAGAUUCCCAUUGUGAUAAGAUAGCAAUUUUUUGUGUGUCAGAUUCUGUCAACUGAUAUUUAGCUAAAAUAUCUCACUAACCCCUAUUGGUUAGGUAUUAUUUUAAAUCACAUACUUGAUUUUUAUUUUCUUUUUAUCUGUGGAAUCCCAUGUAUCAUUCAUAAGAAACAAGCUAUUAUAUAAUCUAUUCUUUAGAUCCAUUUAUAUGUAGUGAGCACUCUGAUUUCUAUUAUUUGAAUUUUUUGCUACUGUUACUACUCUUUCGGCCCUUCAAAUAGGGGUUAACAGAAAUGGUGAGUAUAUUAAUACAAAUUCAAACUUUCUUUUUCUAAUUUUAUCCAAAAUAACCUACUAUUUUAUUUUAAUUUCAAACUUUUGUCAUAGUCUAAUGGGCAGUUGUCUUGUCAUUAUUUGGUUUCAAGUAAGAAGAGAGAAAGUUAGUGAGAGGAUGAAAAUUUUGCAAAAACUUGUUCAUAGCUAUGGUAAUUAAGUAGUUUGAGUUCUUUUUUUUGUUGUUUUCUAUGUUGGUUUUGGAUCAUUGUAGUUGCUGAUUGUGAUUUAUUGUCGCCUAUGGUUGCUGACUUUUGUUUACUGUGGCUACUUUAUUAAAGCAAUUUUGGAUAUUGAAGUUUAUGGCCAACUUUUAUUAGACACUUCUGACCUUUAUCGAUAUAUUUUCUGAACCUUUACACUUAAGAUGUGUGUGUGUGUUUUUAAAAAAUACAUGUGAAUGAAAUAGUACUUGAAAUAAUAUAUUUUCUCAACUUUUAUUAGAUAUAGUGAAAUAGUACUUGAAAUAAUAUAUUUUCUCAACUUUUAUUAGAUAAUUCAAAGUAUAUCCCACUUAUUAUCGAUAUAUUUGCUCAAGUCUCAUGUGCAACAUGUGAAUGAAAUAGUACUUGAAAUAAUAGAGACUUUGUUUUAUGACUCAUAUUUUUACAUUUCUUUGCAAGGAACCAUACUUAAUUGUACCUAAUAGAAGAGAUAUCUUUUCACUAUAUAGUCUUAGUAUAAAAAGAUACAUCUUCUAUAUAAGGCACAAUUGAUGGGACAUAUCUUUAUACUAAGACAUCAUUCAUAUUUAUCACACAAUAAUAGAAACUGCAAUGGUAGGUGGAAUAUUAUGAAGUCAAAAUUGAGAACGACAUUAAAUCAUGAAUUCUUUAUGUGUUUACUCGAAUGCCUGACAGUAUUUAGUUCAAUUAACACAGAUUGGAAAUCCAAAUGAUUGAAGAGUUGUAUGAGUUCAAGUUCAGUAUUUAAUUACUAUAUAAUUAUACAUAAAUGUGGAUUUUGCAAGCUUGAACCCAUGUGUGUUAGCCCAUUUCGGCCCAAUAAACAUAUUGUUCUGGAUAAAAAAUAUCAGGGGAUCUCUGAUGUUUCUUUGGUUUAACAUAAAUUUAUUCCUAACUCUAUAACCAUGCAUUAUUUAGACAAAAAUUUUUGCAAUCACCAAACAGUAAAACAGAGAAAUAAAAACGGAGGAGCUCUUUUCUAAAACAGAAGUAGGUGUUUUGUCUGAACGUACCACUUUCUGUUUAAUUAUUAUGUUUACGGAAUAGAUUUUUUUUUAUUAUUCUGUUUUAUGUUUCCGUCUUUACCCUAAGCAUUCUUGGUUGGCAUCGCUGCAUUGUCCUGUAAUCUGUGUGCCUUGGUGAGGAGGGGAAUGGAUAACUGUGGUGCUGGAUACGUGAGAGACAAUGAUGAGGGUAGAUUUGUAAUUGCCAGAAGCGAUUUGCUUGCAAUAAUUCAAUGCAUGGAAAGAGAUGCCUCUAACAAAAAAUGGGACUAUCCAUAUCUGAGCAUUAGAGCUCUACGUCUUAGAUAAAUAAAUAUACUUAUUAGUAUUGUUUUUGCAUAUAUCUUUCACAAAAUUAUUGUAUUCGCUUAUAUAGAGAGGACGAUUUAGAUAAGUUUCAACUAAAAAUUGACAAUUCCAUGAUAAAGUUAAAAAUCACCGAAUAAAAAACUGGAAAAUCCCCUGUUUCUCCUCUGCUUUCUUUUGAUUAUUAUUAAAAAGGGGAAUUAAAAAAUGAGUUGCAAGCACAAAUUUUAUUUCUACAGUAGUACCUUCUAAAUGCACCAUUGUUUGAUACAUUAAAAUUAAACAUUACUUAUGCUAGUAUAUCGGUACUUCACAUGUCCGUUCUUCAUUAAUGUAUAUUCAUUUACACCCAAGCUACCUGUCAGUUUUGCGAAAACUGAAUUUAAAGGUGUGGCUUAAAUUAAAAUAAUAAUCAGCCUCAUAGAAUACAGAGAAAAAAGAUAAUUUAUCACAAUCAUAUCCUAAUGCAUCAUAAAUUUAGAUUAUUUAAUUACUGUUAGGAAAUCUGCUUAGAUAAGGCGCACACUACAAAUUCUAAAUUAAAUUCCUAAUUAACAAUAAAAGAUAGACCCUAUUAAUCGUCCACCAGGUACCUUGUAGCCUGCAUCAUAAGUUUAGAUUUAAAUUUUUGCAAUUACCAAACGGAGAAACAGGGGAAUGAAAACAAAGGAGCCCUAUUUUUUCCAUUUUUGUCCCCCUUAACUCUUGUCCUUAUACAAAUAUUUUUCCUUGGAAUUUCAGGCAUACGAAAAAAUAUUGAAAAUUAUUUAAAGCAAACAGGUGGAUGAUAACAAAAAUAUAUUUAAUUAACCAAAUCAAGACACUAUAUUGGUCGUCAAUGUUUCGGCAUCACUGUCUUCUUCAGAUGUUACUUGUUUUUCACAUUUAUUUUGCGCUGUUGUGGAUUAAUAUGGUUCUGCUGGGUGCACAUUUUUACGUGCUACUGUAUUUUCUCUCAGUCCUUUUUAAAAGAACAUACACCCACAUACUAUGUAGAGUGACCUUUUUUAAUGAGGAAUCUGUCAUUUUAAUAAAAUGAAGAAUAAACUAAAAGGUAGAAGUACACGAACUCUAAUGCAAUAUACCUUUUCUUUUCUUUUACCUUUACUAUAAGAUAGGGAAUGAUAUAAUUGAUAAUGGAACUUGGGGUCAGAGCAGCGGUGUAAUUUUGAGAGGAUUUACAAGAUGGUAAGUGCAAUAAUUAACAGGCUCAUUUAAUAUAUCAAACUGCUAGAUAAUUGUACUAGUUAAACAUAAUUUUCAGAGAAUCUUUUUAAGGGUUUAUUUAUUAAUAUUUUGUUUCUUUCCAGCAUGAACACUUUGUUUUGACACGUGCUUAACAACCUUCAACGAACUGGAACAACCUUCAUCACAUGCUUCCUCACGUGAUUACUUAAAUUGAUAUGUAAAACGUGCUCCAUCCAUGUCGUUUCCACUAAAUCGUUUUUUGUUAAGAAUCAGCUGAGCAGCACGUGAGCUAAUGAAGCUUUUACGGCUUCAAAACGCAGCCGUUUCUGGGAACCAAACUUGAUUCAUCAUCUCACAACUACAGAUGAAUUAUCGAAGUGGCUGAUUGGUGCUGUACGUGUUUUUCGUAUUGAACUCAACUCUGCUAUAAUACAUGCGUGCAUCUGAUACAUGCACAAAAACCACCACUCCCACUCCCACUCCCACUCCCACGCCCUCGCGUCACGCGCCUUACCACUCCCUCGCCUCACCUCACCUCUCUUCUUGUUCCACGGCCAUCAACGGCGGCACGAGUCGGCAACGAUCAACUGCGGCUGUAAAUUGACCACAAUCAUCUCUCUCUCUCGGCUUUGCUCAAAUUUGGCCGAUCUAUGCGCUUGCUUAAGCUUGGCCGAUCUAUGCUUGCUCAAUUACUCUUCCUAUAUUCAGUCGGAGUCAACUGUUUGACAAGAGUCGAAGUCCAAGGUUCUUUUUUACAGGAUUUGAGCUACUUCUUUUAUUCUUCUUCCAUGUUCACUGAUACGAAGCUUUGAUGUGGUGUUCUGAGAGCGGGUGGAAUUUGAGAUUCUCCUUUCUUCUCUAUAUGAAGGUGCUUGUCAUGUGUCAAGAAAAAUAAAAUUAUUUACAAAAGAUUAUUUUAAGGAGAUUUAUUAUUAUUCGUGGAUCGGGAAGCUCAAAAAAUUUUCUUAUGUAGACUCAAAUCAUUUCUAUAGGGCGAAGCAUAUGAAUGAUACAUAUUAUCUUUUUUUGGCCUUAUGUAUUGUUAUUUGCAGUGUGAUUUGGUCUAGCUUAAGAGCUUAAGCUUGCAGGCUGGAUUUGUCUGACAUGGAACAAUUUAAUUUGUUCAUCGUGAUGUUUAUAUCCAUUUUGUACUACUAUCAAUUUCAAUCAUGGCUAAUUUUUAUAUGUAUUUCUCGUGGACUCUCAGGUUCAGUGCACAAGAGGAUGAAGACGAUGGACACCCAAAUUUGAUGUGGAGAACAACUAUUGCAAAUGGUCCUUGAUUUACUUCUCCAAUUGACUUGAAUUGGUUUGACGCAAUUUAUAGUGUAUUUUUGUCAUCUUUGUAUGACUGGCAGGUCGUCCUGAUUUGGUACAUGACUGGACACAGGAAUUGGACUCAUAUUUUUCAAACCAGAAUGCCAACAAUCAAGCAUUUUCUUUUGAAAGCACUGGCGUCUUCUUCAGUGCCAAAAAGGUUAGAGAUUUUCUGUAUCCUGUUUUGUAUUUGAUCAGUUUAGCAUGUGGGUGGCAAUCAAGAAAAGUUAUUAUAACAUUUUUGUGUUCCCGAAAAACUGCUGCUGAUGUGUAGUGCAGGAAAUGAAUUGUUUGUGACUUCUUUUUAUUUGUAUUCUUUCUUUUUUCUUUUCUCCCCAACAGAAUUACGUAUUUCUGAAGAGCUUCUUGAAGUUGAUUACCAUGUAUGCCACUUUCUUUACUCUAUGCUCAGGAUGUGAUUUUGUUUAGGUCAGAACCAUCAUCUAAAGUUUACUUAAUGCUGCCGAGAAGCUGUAGUAGAGCAAUGAAGGCUGUUGGUGUUAUGAAGGCCAGCUGUGAAGAAAUAUUUGAACUUGUAAUGAGCAUGGAUGGGACACGAUACGAGUAUGCUUCUUUUCUAUUUUUUAUUUUUAGUUACUUUAACAUAAUCAAGACUAUAUUGGCUGUCUGUGUAAGCUGAGUAUUAUAUUUCCUCUUGUAUGCUGUGAAAUUCACAUUGUCUCCAGUCCCGAUUCUGUAUGUGCCUUUUUGAAUAUAUUUAAUUAAUCUGCAUGGUGCUUUCUAAAGAUUAUUACAAACUUUUGUUGCUUAAGUAUAUGAAGAAUGUGGAAAUGAAAAUAGCUUUUGAAGUUUGAUGGAUUGCUUCAUUAAUAAAGAAAGACUAGGACUCAUUUUUAUAACUUUUCUCCACUUAGCUAAUGGUAUUUGAUGAAGACAAAAUAGAUGUAGCUAUCUAUAUUUUUUGUUGCUGAACUAUAGAUCAAUUGAUGGUUGAAGUUAGUUAUAUUAAUUUGUUGUACUAGAUUAAAGCUUGUAUCUUAGCCAUUUCAUGAAGUGUCAAAUACGUUCUUUCCUCUUUUUUUUUUUUUUCGAAACAUGUUACACUUUUGAAGUCACUAUUACAUAAAAGAGUGUUCUAAAACAGGAGAAGGCGUGCUGCCUGAAAUUACCUGUUUCCUAGCAAAUCUAGCUGGUUUGCGAAUUAGAUUUUAACAAGUCUCUUGGCAAGGUUUGCUAGUAAUGUGUUCAAAUUAUUCUAUUUAAUUUUACUGUCUGUACCCUAAUAAUUCUUGGUUUGCACCAUUGCAUUGUUCCAUAAUCUCUGUGCGUUGGCUUAUAAAGGCCAGCAAGGCUGAUCAUUUGUCGAAUAGUUAUUUCCAUGAAAUUCCUAUCAAUUUGACUCAGUAUUUAGAGGUCUUGAAGAGGGCAGUGUACUAGACAUGGAUUUCUACCUCUUUUGGUUGUACAAUUGUUGUAUUUCUUGGCCAUCAGAUCUUUUUUAUGUACCUUUCUCAAAGUUCUUGCCGCACGUACACCGUUUUUCAUGUUUUGUGCAGGUGGGAUUGUAGUCUUCUGUAUCGCAGCUUAGUUGAAGAGGUAGAUGGUCAUACGGCUAUUCUCUAUCAUAGGCUUCAGCUGGACUGGCUUCCAAUGUAAUAGUCUCUUGAUUCAAUCAUCUCAUUUAUGCUUUGGUCAGAAUAGAACAUUUAUUGUUCUUCUUUCCCCUUUCCUCUCUUCUGAUGUAAUAUGUGAGGAAAUUACCUAAAAUUUCUGUAUCCCAAUGUAAUUGUUGGCAUUCAGAAAUAAAAUAAAUACACCGUCUUGUUUUUCCCUCGGUUCAGUCCUAAGUUCUCUUUGGGCCUUCUGCAAGUUUUUAAACAUACUGUGACAGUAAAAAAUCUAGUGAUUGAGAUCAUUUUGAUGAAUUUAAUUUUAAUUCUUAGCUGAUACUUUUUCUGGAAUUUUUUUCUUAUGUUUCCUCAAUAUGACUUAAAUAUAGGGCUUAGUCAUGGAUCAUGCACCAGAGUGAUGGAAGCACCCCUUGUUUAUUAGGAAAAGCAGUUGAUUGUAACUAUAUCCGCGGUCCUAAGUAGUUAGAAGUAAAUGCUCUUCGAAUUCCUAUAGUACAUGGGAUGUGUUCCCUUUCAAAUAGCUUGUUCAAUACCAUUAACAUGGUUUAACAUUGUUCAUCUUUCUGUAGAUUGAUGUUGACGUGUUCUUCUAGAGUUGCUAAUGGAGUUUUGGGCCUUGUAAUUGGUGUAAUUACGGCAUUGGUGGUUGACAUGGCUUUCCUUGUGCAGGUAUGUAUGAUUGUUUUUUUCCCCCACUUCUAAAUGACACGAGGGAAGAGACAUGAUUUUGAGAUAUUGUACUGCAAUUUGCAUAUUUGCAUACUUGAAUAGUAACUCAAGAAUCAUUUUCAGAAUGGUAUAAUGCUUCGUGUAUGCAGGCAAAUACUACAGAUGAAUUACCGGAGCGGCUGAUUGGAGCUGUACGUGUUUCUUAUAUAGAACUCAAGUCUGCUAUUGUCCCAAAGUUGGAACCAGAGACAUCAUGACUCUGGUUUCAUUUCACCUCAACUGUUUUUUUUUUAAUUGAAAAAAAAAAUCAUUUGUUUUAGGUAUGCAUACAUGUAUUUUGAUCCCGUUUUCAUUGUAAUUUCUCAUUUACUUUGAAAGAAAGUCACUGGUGUUUUCGAAUAGGAAUUUUGCAUUAAAAAAUAAAGAAUACUUAAUAGGAAACUUAAUAAUUCUUUAGUUACUAUUUUUGGAAUGAGUGUAAUAGUAUUGAAGUUGGUUUCUACUCGCAAUCAAGUGAACUACUCGAUCCCCAACUGCGACCGCACUAAUUGUCAUUGUUUAAUAGCCUACUACUUUUAAAACUCAACAACUAAAAAAAUGAUUUUCUUAUGAUGCUGUGAAAACAUUUAUGGGUUCACUUAUUUCCACAAGAUCUAUAACAUGGUCUUGACUUCACGAAAUUCUUUUAACUUAAAGGGUUCUGGUCUGAGAAAGUUAAUUUGACGGAUUAAUUCCUUUUAAUAAUGGUCGAGUUAAUUUUACUAUACUCGUAAAACUAUUAUUAUUCUGAUAAUGCCACAAAUGUUAUGAUGUUUUCUUCAGCCAAUAAUCUUCUAUUAGGACUAGUUAGAAAUCAAAUGCUUAAAACACCAAUUGAAUGAAUAAUGCAGAAGUUUAAACAGUAUCUAAUUGAAAAUUACAUGAAGCAUGAAACAUCAAUUCAAGUCCUUCCUUAAACAGAGAAUGCAUCAAACAAAUCCAAAGUGUCUUGCAUGUCUGUAAAUAAUUGUAAAUGCGUUUAGAUUAUUCAAGUACAGGAGAACAAGCAAGUUGAAUCAUGUACAAGAGGUUGGCCUGGUUCGAGAUAGCUUCUUCACAGUACCUGAAGGGUUGGCUCAAUCUUUUCUUUAGAAUUCUGCACAUUUUGUAAUUACUCGUGUAAGCAAGCAUACAUUACAACCAUAAUAAUAAUAAGGCAAGAGUAAUGAUACGACCACAGCCUCUUGUGCACAAAUAAUAUUGUACAAACUAAUAUGACAUAAUAUGAUUGAUUAAACAAAAACAUAACAUGACCCUCAUAAUUUAUUUAUUAUUAUUUUAUAUUUUCAGUCAAGCAAUCAUAUUAUGCCACAUUAAAUAGAAAUAAUUUACUAGAUAGUGCCAACACUUCAUUGAUACUCACCAUUUCAUUGAACAAUUUUUUUAUAGUGUCAUUGAGGUUGCCUUCCCAACAUCCUUCAUCAUCACCAUCUUCAUCUUCGGUGGGUUUCACUUUGUUUAGCUUUGGUGCGUCUACGACUCCUGGAGAGAAAAUCUUCAUCGUUGGGCAUUGUCUCACAACUACGUGUGCCAAGGACGGGAACUCAAGAGCGUAAUUACCCAAACUAAAGCUUGUUAGGCUUGGCAAACAAUCAAUUCCCAAGUACUCCAAUUUCCUGAAAACAAUGCAAUCUUCCGCUUCUUCUCCAACCUGCGACUGUAUAAUUUCUUCCAUCAUUUUGCAAUCAGUUAUCUUCAUUCUUUCAAGAUUCACUAGACUUUCAGAUGUUGAGAGUGUCAAUAAAUUUAUCAACCCAUGACACUUCGAUACUUCCAGAGUCGCAAGAUUUUCCAAAUGCCACAAAGCUGGUACUAAUUUCUGCAACUUACUACAUUCAAAUAUUUCUAGACUUUUCAAGUUUGCAAACACUUUGUUGGAUUCGGCAUUUUCCUUCCAGAGAUGCUGCACUUUGUGUAAUCCAGAUAGCUUUAACUUCAUCAAUUGAGGGAAUGCAACCUGAAAAUCAACAAAAUUAAGUUGUAAAUGAAAAUAUGUAUCCAAUCUCUACAGUCUUCCCCUACAUAUUUUAUGGACAAGAUUAAUCACGGCAUUUUAUAUUUUAUUUCCAAAUUAGUAUGCUUUGCAGUAGGAUCCCAAAUAUAAGUAUCAAAUCGAUUACCCUUUGAAACACAUAAAUGAAAUCUGAUCAUAAAUCCAAUAUGAAUUAGCUAGGAAAACAAAGAUCUAACACGCAUAAUUUAUGCGAUAUAGUUCAUCACCUCCUGUCACUAGGCAUCUAAUUAAUUUGAGACAUUUUUUUAAUUCAUACUAUAAAGUUAGUUAAUAACUACAAUUAUAUUGUUAAAUCAGAUAUAAAUUAAGACGACGUGCAAAAAGAUAAGUCAUUAAAUUUGAUUUGAUUCUAAUGAAAUUACAUCUAUGCGAAUGAAAGUGAAGGGAAAAAUAAUAAUAAUGAUUACCUUUUUAUCGAAGAGAUGUUGUAUUUGAUUAGCUACCAAGAGGUUCUCUUCUGAUUUUAAUUUUUGAGCUUCCUUAUUAUCUGCUGUCAUGUGCAAUACAGAUGUAGAAUUGGAUAUGAAUGUUUCCAUGUCAGGGCAAUUCUCAAUAGUUAGAUAUCUCAACUCAGGCAGUUCAAUUAUAUUCCCAGUGAAGUUGCAGAAUCUUUUGAGUUUUGGAAGAUCAAUGAGCCUUAGAUUGGAAAGCUUAGGAAACAUGGGGCCUAUAUGUUCUUUGUCAGCAUUUAGCUCUUCCAAACGAAGCACCUCUUCUAGUGAAUCACAAUUCCUCACUUCCAGCCGUCGCAAAUUGUUCAAGCAUCGUAGCAGAUUGGCAGGAAUAGCACUCGACAUAUUCGUGCAGUCAUCCACCACCAGCCGUGCUAAAUUGUUGAAGAAGCUGACAGGCAGUGCUUGGCCAUGCCAUAUUUCUUUCAAACGUGGAAAAUGUGAGAGUUGCAAAUACCAUAUGUCACGGAAUCCAAUCUGCACAAACCAAAACAAUUGCACCGGAUAUAUACAAUUUUUUUUUUGAAAGGCAUUAUAUAUAUACACAUUAAACUUACAUGUUUUGUGUUUUAACUUCUAAAAAUAUAUAUACAAGACCGGGGUAUAUGCUUAAAUGUGCAAUUGCAGGGGAGAUGCAUAAACAAUUUGGGUGAAUCGAUUAACACAUACCAUUUCUUUGUAAUACUUUUGCAUAAUGGAAUUAAGGUUAUUGCCUUCCCAAUGGUGCAGUUCACCCUCUUCCUUUUCAGUCACUUGCACUUUGCAUGGCUUUGGAAUGGAUAAGAUUCCCUGAGAAAAAGUCUUCAUAUUUGGACAACGUAUCAUAGAAACUCGUUCCAGUGAUGGGAAUUCAAGAGUGUAAUUCUCCAAACAAAAGCUGGUAAGCCUUGAUAAAUAAUUAAGUAUCAAAACUUUUAAUUCGCUGAAAGCAAUACGAUUCUCCUUCACUUCUUCUCCAACAUGUCCUACGAUUUCUUCUAUUUUUUGGCACUUCGAUACUUUAAGAUUCACCAAACUACUAGGAAUUCCAACCUGAAAAUAAGCAAAAGUGUGUGUAUAUUAAAAAAGUAAAAAUGUAAGAAUAUCAUUCAACUAGGUUCAAAGUAUGUUUAAUCAUACAAUUAUACGUUUUAUAAAGAUAACAAACCAUGAAAUGUCUACAAGAUAAUUUUUUGUUAAACAAAAAAAGCAACAAGAUAAAUAAAUAAAUAAAAGCCAGAUAAACAAAGAUAUUAAAUGCAUUUACACUAUUUAGUAUUAGGAACGUACGAAGAAUUUAAGGCAAUUUCUAAAUAUUUUAGACUUAUUUUGCAUCUUGAUGCCAGUUUUUAAACAAAAUUUGCAAAUUUCAACUAUUCCUUUUGGGAAAAAAAAAUCAACCAAAAUGCCGCUUUUUCCCUUUUCCCUUGGUCCCUUUUUUUUAUGUAUAUUUAAUUUUGGAAACAAAAUUAAAGUGGAUCUUUAUUAAGUACUUCCAGACUCGAGGAAAUUUCUUUACAAUCAAGGAUCAGUUGUAAAUAAUCGUGAAUUUGUGGUUAAUUAAUGGCAUAAUCAGUUCGUAACUAAACAAGAGAUAUUAAUUAAAUUUGAAGACUUUUCUUUUCUUUUUUUCUUUUUCCAAUCGAAAUGUGAAGAAUUAAGGAAAAGAGAAAUAUAUAGAUGAAUUUGUGAACCUAUAAGAUGAGUGACUAUCCUUUAAUUUUUGAAAAUUGUACUUAUUAAGAUAUGAGCAGAAACAAUUAAAUUGAAUUAUAUUAUGAUGUUGAAUCGUGAUUAAAAAAAUUAUAUUGUUGAUUCUAAUGCUGGCGAACCUAAAAAAUGGACUUAAAAUGUAGAUUUGAGAGUGGUGGUUCGAAAUACAAUACUUGAAAUAAAUAAUCAGUGGCUGAAUAUCAUUUGUAAACCCAAAAAUGGUUAAAAUAUUGUUGGAUGUAAUUUAAAAAAAAAAAGAUUCGAAAUGAAUACAACGACCUUACCAAUGGAGGAAAAAUAUUCAUUAGGUUAUGACACUUAUAUAUCUCCAAAUUCUUCAAUUUGCUGAAAGACUCCGAAGGAAGCUGGUGGUGCCAUAUUUUUCUCAAAUUAUUCAUCCAGCUAAUAUCUAAUACCUCCAACCUAGGAAGUCGUACCUGGAAGUUAAAGAUUAAAUAACUAAUUAAUCAAUUAAUGGCAUAAUCAAUUGAUAACUAAAUUAGAGGCGGAUAUUAACUAAAUUUGAAGACUCAAGGAAAAGACAAAUUAAGUAUUGUGACUAAAAUUAAUUUUAUUUAUUAAAAAAAAAACCUUUUCGUCAAAGAGAGGAGGAGGUUGCAUUUCAGAAUGAUUGGUGUCUUCUGGUGAGCUCGUAGAGAUGAAUCUUAACAUAUUACUGCAAUUACCAAUCUCGAGGUUUAGCAAAGAAGGGAAUUCAACAACUAAAUCUGAAUGAAUAUGUCCUGUAUUGGCGAAGCUUGUCAGUUCUGUAAGCCAAUAGAGCUGCAGGGAGUGUAGUUUAGGAAAAACCUUUAAUUCAAUCAACUUUCCUUCAUCUCUUUCUGACCACCCCGUGGUGUCGACUACCCCUUCCAUUGACUCACAAGACCAUAUUUCAAGAUGUUGGAGUUGCAAAAGACUAUUAACCAUAGAAUACGAAAACAGAUACUUCAUACGAUCACAACUUCUCACGUACAGCUUUGUUAAAUUUUGACAACAGUACAUUCCUUGAUUAUGAUCGGCCCAUAAUUUUUUGAUGUUUCUUAAUUCCGUGAGAUUCAAUUCCUCUAAGCUCGGAAGAAGAACCUGCAAAGAAAAGCCGUACAUUUUUGUUCCUUCAAGUACAACCGUCUAGUAUAAUAUUCUGUUGAUGAUCGAAGAUUAAUCGUGAUAAUAAAUUAAUCAAUUAAUUAUUGAACAGAAAAUUAUCACCUUUGGAGCAGUAUCAUCAUCAGCAAUGAUUUCGUUGAAUCCCAAAGAAGUUGUUGGUUUCUCCCUGUCGGGUCCUGUAAACAAACAAAAACAAUAUACAUAAUUAAUCUUUGUCGUUGUCUUUUUUUUUUCAAAAUAAUUGAGGCGAAGUCCAUAAAUCCACCAACACUUAAUUUCAACACUUACCAACAGUCAUUUCCAGUUUAUUGCAGGAAGCCACUUUGACCUUUUGAAGCCGCAGUAGGUUUCUGGCUAUGGAAAAUGAGAAAAGAUGCUUCAAUUUAUCACAGGAUUCUACUUCUAUAAUCUUUAAGUUGCUGAAAAAUUGAUCUUCUCUGAGUUGGCUGUGGCAUAUGGCCUCCAAAUUGAUCAAUUUAUAGAGAGACAAUGACUCCAGCAAGGGGAAGACUUUGCGAUGAACCCGUCCAACUGAACCGACAAUGUGUAAAAUCUCAGAACACCUUUCUACCCAAAGAUGCUUCAAUCGUGGAAAACCUUCCCCAUCAUCUAAUUCAUGAACAACAUUCUGAACACCCGUCAGUUCCUCUAGACGGAUAUCUUCAGUUAACUUCAGCAACAUUUUCAUCCCAUAAUUCUCCAAAAGAGUGCUAACAUUUUCUAACCCAUGGAGCUGCACCAAUCUUGAUGUUUCAGAAUUAGCGCGCCAGAUGCCCCACGCUUCUCCUAUACAUAUCCUAUAUCUUGGCAAUUCGACAAAGACCAAAUCCUGCGGCAGCAUUUGGGCAUCCUGAACUUGUAUCUCCAAAGUAGUUAGCUUUGACAGCCCCUUCAAUUCAGCAAGACUGGCGUUACUUCCUCCUUCAACCUUAUCCCACUGCGGAAAGCUGUCACCCAUAUAUAGUUCUUCCAAUCGAGAAAAUUUUGAUAUGACAUUUGGUGCUAUCACUACAAGGCUGCUACAAUUGCUCAAAUCUAGCAAUUGUAACUGCGCCAAUUGACCAAUUUCAAGUGGCAACUGCUUAAUGUCGGAAUAUCGAAAGCUAAGAAUCUCUAAUUUCUUUAGCUGUCCAAUUGCCGCUACAUCUUCUAGUUGGCACCAGUCUAAACACAAUGUUUGAAGGUUAAUGAGGUGACCAAGUGAUGAAGAUAAUGAAGAGAAAUGAAUUCCGCUAAGACUUAAAACUUUGAGAUCUUCCGUCCCUUCAAAAAAGAGGUGUGAAAUUUCCAAAUAGCUAUCACCAUUUGCAAGCAACAGUAAUAACUUGAGUUGGGGACAUUCCAACCUUUCGGGAAGCUCUUGAAUAUCUCCAUAAGGUAUAGAAAUAGCAAUUGCACCUUUCUGUAUGAUCUUUUCUAUCUCUUCCUUCAAGUUGGUAACAUUUGGGAUACUAAACAUGAGCUUCUCUGAGGCAAUUGAUACGGCAACAACAUGAAUGACGUCAUGCAUUUUAACUUCAUCUUCAGCAUCGCCGUCCAACAAUAAGCAUGAAGCUUUGAGAUUGUCGAUCAAUGCGUCCACUCUAUUCCUUGCAUUUUCCAAUGUGCGAACAUUUUUAAACAAACCCUUACCAUAUCUCAACAAGGAAGCAACUUGUAUAGGAGUACCUUCACCAAAUAGAGUACAAAGAAGGAACAAAGAUUUUGCUUCAUCACUUUCCAAGAAGUUGUAACUCAAUUCUAUGGAAGAGCAGACAUUUGCAUCCAUUCCAUGAAUUUCUCUUGGAUUAGAAUUUCGCAGCUGAGUCAACGCAUCCUUCCAAACGGGAAGCUUCUUAUUUUUCAGAGCAUUUGCAACUGUACUCAGUGCAACAGGCAAUCCUCCACAUUUUCCAACAAUCUCAUCUGCUAAAGGUUGAAAAGCAGAUGCUUUUGCGGAAUUGCCCACGAUCUUUUCAAAAAAUUGCAAUGCUUCUUCCUUUGAUAAAACUUCAAUUAGGAAAAUCUUCUGAGAAUUCAUAUCAUUGGUCAAUAAAUGUUUACUUCUAGACGUCAAUAUUAUCGUGCGUCUCCUUAGAUCUUGCUUUCUAUCUUUCUCAUCAACAUCCCCAAAAGGAAUUCCAAUUUCUUCCAACCCAAGUUUUUUCCAAAUAUUAUCUAAUAUAAUGAGGACUCGCUUCUCUUUCGUCAAUCUUUGACAAAGUUGUUUUGCUCUGUGGGGUUUGCUAUCAUUCAAGUCAAAGUUCAAGUCUAAAUCGGAAGCGAGCUUGUCUUGAAUUUUCUGAACAUCUGGGUUCUCUGUUACCUCAGCCAUAACGACCUUAUCGAACACCUUAUCUUCCAUAACUUGCUUUGCAAUUUGCUUGACUAGCGUGGUUUUACCCACGCCGCCCAUACCGUGGACCCCAAUUAUGUUGAGCUUAUCAUUCCUCAAUGCCUCCACAACAUCUUGAAAUAAUUUCAUUCUUGAAUCAAAGGCCUCGAAAUCUUUCGCUUGCAUAUGUUCUGUACUCUCUGGAGCAGGACGGUGGGAAACACUAGAGAAGUUGCCUUUUCCCACGAGACUAGCGGCAGCUUCUGCGGCCUUUGCUGCUUGUUUACUAAGUUUAUAACGAGAAAUCAAGUUGGGGCAAAAUCCUUUGAAGCAGGACUUCUUAGCUCUAUCUUCAUCAUCAAUGAUGGAUUUUGCAACCCCUUCACUGAUGAAUUCAUCAACGUUAUUAAGCCAGUCUGCAACAUCCUUGUAAAUCUCAUCUCUUUGUUGAGUAGCCUCACGAACGGGUAUUCCCACCCUUUCUCUUUUAUAUUCUAGCUCCUUCACUUGAACUUUUAGCUCAGCUAUGUAGCUCUGGUACUUGAACACAUAAGAGAUCUGCCGCAUAAUCGGUUCGAACAAUGCCUUUGCACCUUCUGUUACAAUGCCGGAAAAAGUAGUGGAAACCAGGUCUGCAGCCAUUGCCUAGCCUGUUGCUUUCAUACAUACAUACAUACAUAUAUAUAUAUAUAUAUUAGCUGUUGGAAAAAUUAGAUUCAAAUAAAUUAAAAUGAACUAGGGGAAAGACGGAGAAAGAAAUGACAACCAACAACUUUUUAAAAAAAGGUUUCAAGGGCCUGAAUGGAAAACCAACAAUUUAAAAAAAAAAUUGUAAGAUGGAUGCAGAUUAACCAUUGCUAAUAUUACAUAAGAACACAGAAGUUAACAAUGAACAGUACGUAGAAAAUUAAAUGACAAGAUUAAAACAAACAAGGGCUAUUUUUUCUUGGACAAUUGUACCUAUUUAAUUAUUAAAGAGUUAAUGACCUUCACUGCUGGCCUUGAAUAUAUAAGAACGACCAGAAGAUGAAUAUUAACUGCAGACGAAUGUAAGUAAAGAGUUCAUGAGAGUGAGUAAUACAAAUGAAUUGUAAAAGAACAAGACUUAAGUGUGACCCCAUCUUUUGUUUUAUUAUAUAAAUAGAACACAUGAUCAUUUUUAACAAAGUGAUCAAUAACUCUAUGCGUUAUUUAAUUGAUAUUGUAACCAAUUUUAAGGGAAUUUAAUAAUAAUCAUUCAAUGCAUAAAUUUAAAAUUAGAUUUUUUUAAUUCUUUAUUUAAAUAUAAAUCUUAAUGGAAAAUUAUAAAAAUUUAGAGAUAAAAUUUUUCAAUCACCAAGGAAAAAAAAUGGGAAUGAAAACAGAGGAAUCUUGUUUUACCUUUUUUUUUUUUUCCUUAACUCUUGUUCCUAUACAAAUAAUCUUGUUUUGAUGAUAGUGCUCGUGACUAUGGGAAAAUUUCUAAUGGAAACAACUCAAUUUCGGAAGAUAAGCUUAAUUCUGCAAGUGAUGAAUUUGUUCAAUUGACUCUGUACUUGAACUCGUUGGAUUGGUUGAUUUACGAUUGACUGCAUUUCAAUUCUGCCUAAAAGAUCUUUUUAAUAGCUAUCAUGUACUCCUUAAAAGCAAUCAUUUUUAGAUUUGACUGAAUUUGAACUUGUUGGAUUGGCUGUUUUUAGAUUAUUGAUAUGAGAUACUACAAUGUAAACAUUUUCAUGUGGCUGAGCCCUAUUCUAAAAUCUGUAUGUUGCUUUAGAAAAAGGGCUUUUCCUACUGAUAUUUAAUCUUCAAGUAAACUUAGAUAUAAAGUAAAUCAAAUAAAAUGACAAACAAGCAAUAUAAUAAAAGACAACAAACUGGCAAUAUUGAUACAAAGGCAACAGAUAUUAAACUUUAGGACAUUUUUUUCCUAGCUUUCAUUUGUUGGAGGAUUAGAGAUUUUGGUAUUACCGGAAAGCUAAAAGGUUUCAAGGGUCUGAGUAGAAACCUAUAAUCUUUUUAAAAACUUUCUUUUUCUUUUUUCUUUUUUCUUUUUUUGGGGGGGGGGGGGGGGGGGGGGGGGGAAGAAUGCAAGUUAACCAAACGAAAUAAUAAGAGCACAGGCUUUAACAAUGAACAAUAACUUAAAACUCAUGCAAAGUAAAUUCAAUAUUAAAACAAACCAGAGAAAUUUUUUUUCUUGGAAAAUAGAUGGAAAUUAUGAAAGAACAGAUGUCAAGAUCAAAGAUCUACUAUACACAAACACACACAUUAGAGGAUUUGGAAAAUGUGCACCUCUUUAAUUAUCUGGGAUUAGAGAGUUGGUGAGAUUCUCCAUUUGGCCUUGAAUAUUUAAGAACAACCUCAAAGAGCAAAAAGAUCACCGGUAACUGCCGAGGAAUGUGUAAGAAAAGGGUUGAUGAGAAUAAUAACAUUGACUUGCAGAAGAAAAAGCAUUAAUCAAGCACCCCUUUUUUAUAUCAUGUAUUUGGUUAUUGUUGCCCUGUUUACGCACGUAUAGGAUAAUUAUAUGCAAUCUUUUUUUAAAAAUCCACAUGCACUUUAGGGCUUCUUUCAUAAAAGCAGAUACCGGAAACACACAAAAAUCAUUUGAGAGAGAAACCGAACAGCAAAUCAUCAAAGUAAGAUCAACAAUAUAUGAUUUGAUUAAUGCAUAUUCAAGAACAAAACAAAAAUAAAUAAAUNNNNNNNNNNNNNNNNNNNNNNNNNNNNNNNNNNNNNNNNNNNNNNNNNNNNNNNNNNNNNNNNNNNNNNNNNNNNNNNNNNNNNNNNNNNNNNNNNNNNNNNNNNNNNNNNNNNNNNNNNNNNNNNNNNNNNNNNNNNNNNNNNNNNNNNNNNNNNNNNNNNNNNNNNNNNNNNNNNNNNNNNNNNNNNNNNNNNNNNNNNNNNNNNNNNNNNNNNNNNNNNNNNNNNNNNNNNNNNNNNNNNNNNNNNNNNNNNNNNNNNNNNNNNNNNNNNNNNNNNNNNNNNNNNNNNNNNNNNNNNNNNNNNNNNNNNNNNNNNNNNNNNNNNNNNNNNNNNNNNNNNNNNNNNNNNNNNNNNNNNNNNNNNNNNNNNNNNNNNNNNNNNNNNNNNNNNNNNNNNNNNNNNNNNNNNNNNNNNNNNNNNNNNNNNNNNNNNNNNNNNNNNNNNNNNNNNNNNNNNNNNNNNNNCCCCAGGGGAAAAUCUGGAAUUCCUUUUUUUAAUUUUUUUUUUUUUAAAAAAACCCCACCGGAAAUUCUUAAAAUUUGGAAAAAAAAAUUUUGAGUCCCUUAUUCUGGGGGGGGGGGGGGGGGGGACGAAAACAGAGGAAACUUGUUUUACAUUUUUUUGAUCUUAACUCUUGUUCUUAUAUAAUAUUUUCCCUGGGAUUUCAGGCAAACCAAACAAAAAAAAAAAAAUUCAAUAAAGAGCAAGUUGCUCUAAUUGAUUUAUCUUGUUUUUCAGGCUAUUUUGUGACAUGAUGAUAUGUAAUGCUCUUGAAUGCUAGAAAAAUUCUAAUGCAAACAUUUUUGCAAAUGACGAAUGUAAAUAACUUUUUUUGAUUAAUUGAAUCUCUAAUACUCUUACCCUAUUCUAAAAUUUGUAGGUUGCUUCAGAAAAAAAGGGUAUUUCUCACUCAUCUUCAAUCCUCAAGCACAAUUAGAUUAAAAGCAAAUCUAAUAAAAUAACAAACAAAUUAACAAAAAAAAGAAAAAGAAAAAAAACAAUGUUGAUCUUGAGACAAUUGAUACUUAAACAGAGAAUUCUUUGUUCUUUUUUUACUCCCCCUGGCUCGAGGAUUAGAGUCUUUCUUUGCUAUUAACAGAGAGGUUUUAAGGGUCCGAAUAAAAACCCGCGCUUUUUUUAAAAACUUCUUUUUUUUUUUUUAUUGGGGAAGAUAGAUUCAAAUUAACCAAAGCUAGUAAUAAGAACACAGGCCUUACAAAUGAACAAUAACUUACAACUCAAGCAACAUAAAUAAUAAGAUUAAGACAAACAUGAGAUUUUUUUCUUCGAAAGUAGAUGGAAAUCAAGUAAGAACAGCUAUUAAAAGAAAUUACUAGAGAAUUUAGAACAUGUGUACCUCUUUAAUUAUUUGGGAUCAGAGAGUUGAUGAGCUCUCUAUUCGCCUUGAAUAUUAAGAACUGGUAUUAAAAGAAAUUAUGAAGAACAAUUUUAGUGAGCGAUAGAUCACUGUUAACUUCAGAGGAAUUUGUGAGUAAAAAGCUGAAAAGAGCCGUAAUAAUGAAUUACAAAAGAAGAAGACUUAAUCAAGCACCCCUUUUAUACCCGAUUUUUAAGAUUUAGUCUUGAAGUUCACAAUCAAGAACAAAGACGAAGCUUUAAUAAAGCAUGCAGUGAGAUACAAGAAAUGGAUCGGGCAAAAUACCUUACGAAGCGUUUCAUAUUUUCUAAUGAAAUAAUUAAGUUGAAGUUUUCGACGAAUAAAUACUUGUUGUGCUUGAAUAAUUUUGGCAUAUACGUUACUUGUAUCCUGCGAAAUUGAAAAGCACAUUGGUUUAUUAGAGCUUAUUAGGAGGGAAAAGCUUUGUAAGAUACCUGAUAAAAGAUAAAGUAAAAGCUUGAAUGAAGAAUGACAUUUUAGAAAGAAACUAAAGUGCAAUCAUCAAAGUGGGAUCAAUAGUGACUUGAUAUUUCAAUUGUUCUGUCCACAAAUGAUGCUUCGUUAUUACUAAUUCCAGAUGGACAUUAUUAGAAAAUGAUCUUAUGUUUAACAGAAAAAUAAAAACUCGUCAUCAUACAAAACAGCGUGAAGAAAUCUUCAAUUUGAUUAUUAUAAAAUAAUAAGUUUCAUUACUAGAUUAUGCGGACAUUAAUGUUAGAGAUUUGAUCAGAUUAUCAUAUAAUUUACUAAACGCUUUGAGAAGAACAAUAAUUAAUUUUUAAAAAAUUGAAAAAUAAAUUAAAUAAAGAGUACACGCAAAUAAUGUUACUUCCAAUCACCAAACUGAAAAACAGGGGAAUGAUAACAGACGAGUCCCUGAUUAUCCUCUCUCUCUCUCUCUCUUUUUCAAUCUCUCUCUUUGAUAUCCAUAUCUGAGCAUCAGAGCUUGACAUCUUUGAUAAAUAAAUAUGCUUACUGGUACUGUUUUUGCAUAUGUCUUUCACAAAAUCAUUGUAUACGCUUACAUAGAGAAGAAGAUUCAGAUAACUUUCAAAAUCUGAAUCCGCCUGAUGGACAGGCUUGACCACACAGCCCCGAGACAAGGAAGUCCAAGCAACUAAUCUAAACCGUUCUCCUUUAUUAGCUAGAUUUAGUAUUUGGGUUCUUUAUGUAAAACGACACUAUGAUCUUGAAAUUUUGAUUUAAUUAAUAAAUAGUUAAAUUCUUAAUGUUUCAGGAGUAGAUACAUAGACUCUCUUCUAAUUUUAGUCAUUACAAACAAUGCCAUUGUGCGGUUAUACUAUUGCUUCUUUUAUGAAACCAUUCUCACCAUCACAUAGAUCUUGGCAUAUAGAGUCUCAUAAUGUCAUCAAAUAAUUUUUUUUUUUUUUAAAAACAUAAAAUAUGAUACAUGUAUUCAUUUUUUUUCAAAUUAGGGUGUAUUAUUCUUAAAACUUAAGUGUUCUACUUAUAAAUAUCUUGAAGGUGUGAGUGUUUUCUUUUCGUAAACAAACCGUAAAAGAAAAAGAGGAACAAUAAUUUUUUACUUAUCCUUAGAGAUAAGAUUCAAUCGGGAUGUGAGUAAGUGUGUUUUUCUUUUUUUAUUAUGCUAAAUUAUCGAGUCACAAAGCAUAUUGAUUCAAAAGUAUAACUUUAUACUGAUGAUAGAUAAUUUCAAAACAAUGGAAUGAAAACAGAGGAGCUCCCCCCUCCCCCACCCCAAUCCCCGCCCCCCCCCCCCCCCCCCCCCAAAAAAAAGUUCUUCUUCUUUUAUAUAUUUUUCUUGGAAUUUUAGGUAAAAGAAAAAAAAAACUGAGAUUGAUUUCAAGGGAACAGGUGGAUAAUAACUAAAAUACUUAUUUUUAUAUAUUUGAUAUGUGCGCUCACUAUUAAUAGAACUUAUUAGAUACUACAACUUAAAUAACUUCCCAUGGUUGAUUGAGGGUAUGUUUGAGAUUUCCUUUACUUUCCAAGAAUUAAUUUCUACCUUGAUUCUGAACAAAAAAAUAAUUUUACAAAUAAUCUAUUAGGGUGUUUGGUAAAUGAUGAUUAUUUGACAAUCAAUUUUUAAACGGUUUACUAUACAAAUCUGGUAAAUGAAAAUUAAAAGUGUAAAAUGUUCAUGUACAAUGACAAAAAUGUACUUGUUUACUUGUUUGUAAUUUAUUUAGAAUAUUAUUAUUUAAAUCUUUUUUUAUUUACAAGAUUUUUUAAGAGCAUAUUCUAUUUUCUUUAUUACAUAUUUAAAUAAUUUUUUAUUAACUAUUUUAAUUUGCAAUAAAAUUAACUUCAAUAUCUUUUUAACUAAAAAAUUUGUUAUGUAGUUCGUGAUAUAACAAAUACUAACAUAUCAUUAGUUUGAUUAAUAAAUUAAGUGCAAAAAAGAAAAUGCAAAAAUUUAAUCUUUAUAUAAACUUUUAUGUACAUAAAAUCAUUGUAAUCAAACUAGUUCAUAGAAAUAUAAUAUUAUAUACAUGUGUGUAAAAAAAAAAAACAUAUGACCAUAAUAUUAUCCACUCAUUAAACUUGCUGCACUAUUAUUUCUCAAUCUCUCCAUCUCUCGACCUUCAAGAACAUUACUACCAUAAUCUUCUUCUUCUUGAAUCCAACCUCUAUUUCCUCAUCAUCAACAAUGCGACCAAUUUGCCUUGAUAGCCUUUCAACUAGAAUAGAGUUGGCAGUAGAUAUUUUAGUACUCUCAAACUAUGCCCAAACAGGGUCACCAGUGAUUGUUGUAUUAAAAGACAUUCUAUUUAAUUUUCCUCUGACUCUGGGUCGAUACCUUUUAUGCAAAAUCUAUUUACUUAAGGAAUUUUCUACACAUGUCGAUAUCAUAUUAAAGUGAAUUCAGAUCCUAUAUUAUUGACAUUAAAAUUUAGCCGAAUAGUAAAAAAUUUCCCUUUUUGUUUGUCACACAACCAUAUAGUCCCAUUUUUGGUUAUAAGCUCACAAUAUGUAAGGGAAAUGAAGAUCUAUUAAAACUUUCCCAUAAUAUUAAACAUUAAACAAUAUCAACAUUUUGUGCAUAUGGUGCCUCAUCAACAAUUUGAUGUUCAUUUUGUUGCUCGGAGGAAUAUGACUACCUAUUAAUUAAUUAGCAAGAAUUGCGUUGCGAGUCCAUGUUUUUGUCGUUUGGAUGGAGGAUGUGCCAUCUUUUUAUUGUAGAUGCUUUGUAAGGCUUUUGAUUUAAUGAUUUAAUGCAGUCAAUUAACAAAAGCUUACAUAUAUUAUUAUGUAGUUGCUGAGAUGUCUGUUCUUGAUAAAGUCGAUUUAUUUACACCCAAGCCAACGGAAUCAAAGCCUUUUCGUUAAUAAUAUACACGGUAAUUGUUUUUGUUAAAUUGAUUUCUGGCUAACAAGAUAUUUGAAAGCAUUUAGGUAGCGUUUACAUUUUGCGUUGGAGUGAGAAUCGUGAGAAAUGAGAAUCCUGGGAUUAGGAGUGUGGAGUGGGAGUCGAAGUAUGUUGUUUACUUACACUGAAAUGGAAGUAUGGAAUUGAAAUCAGAAUCCAAUUUAUUUGUUUACAUUGUCUUAGAUUGUGAGUAAUGAUUUUAAAUUACAGCUUUACUCUUAAAGAAUUAUAGUUAUUAAUUACAAAAUUAAUAAAAAUUAUAUUUUUAAAUUAAUAAUAAUUAUUAAUAUUCUUAACUAUGUAAAUCACAAUUAUUUUAUUAAUUUUAAUUUUAAUUAUAUAAAUAAAAAAUUAUUAAUAACAACAAUACAAAUGAAACAUUAUUAUUGAUAAUAUAGUACAAAAUUAAUUUUUUUAGAAUAAAAUAUUUAUUAUUAUUAAUUACUAAUAUUAAAUAAAUAUAAUAGUAUUAUUUUUAAAUAAGUAUAAUAAUAUUAUAUUUUCAAAUAAAAAUAGAAUAUAGUAAUAUUAUUAAUUCUUUAUGAAUAUAAUGAUAUUAUUUUUAAGUAAUUUUAACUUAGAAUCAAUGUAAAUUAUUAUUUUUAACCAAAAAAUUAAUAUUAUUUUAAAUAUGUUUAAUAUUAUUAUUUUUAAUAAAUUUAAUUUAUAAAAUAAUAAAAUAUUAUUAUUUAAAUAAAUAUGAUUUUACUUAUUUUAUUAAAUUUAAUAAAAUAAAUAUGUUUAAUAUUAUUAUUUUUAAUAAAUGUAAUUUAUAAAAUAAAAUAAUAAUAUAAGUUAAAUAAAUAUGAUAUUAUUUAUUUUAUUUUAUUAAAUAUAAGGGUGAAAAAGGAAGAGAGGCGAGUGAAUUUCCACUCCCACCUUCCUCCAUGGGAGUGGGAAUCUCACUCCCCCACUCCAAAAUUAGGUGGGAUCCACGGAGUGGAAUUCUCACUUCCCCUUUGAAAAUUGUAAGUAAACACUGGAGUAAGAGGAAUCCACACUCCUCACUCUCACUCCAAAAAGUAAACACUAUAUUAAAGAAGUCAUUGACUUAUAAGAAAGCCAUGAUUAAAUACACGGCGAAGCAUGUGAGCUCGUUUUUCAAUUUCUUUGAUCACUCAUAAGUAGGGGUGGGCAAAAUCGGAUUCGGAUUGGGUUCGGGUUGAUUUGAUCAAUUUCGGAUCAAUCGGGUUGGGGAAAAAAUCAUCCGAACUCAAUCCGAAUUAUUAACCCGAUCCAAUCCGAUCCGAAUAUAAUUCGGAUCGGAUUGGAUCGAAAAUUCGGAUUAAUUCGGAUUAGAUUCAGAUUUAAAAGCAUUCGGGUUAUAUAUCCAUUCUAUAUUUCUGGGUUAAUUUCAGAAGCAAUCAAGUAAAACAAUCAACCUUUUCUCAAGAUAUAGUUUUGUUUUAAGCUUUUUAAAUUAAAUUAUUUAAAACAAUAUAGUCAAUACCACCAAAAACUUGGUGACAGUGAAUGUGGAGGUGAAUUUAGUUGUAGCAGUUGUGGUAACCGGUGAAGCUAGUGGCAGCAAGCGGUAGCAGUCGAGGUGUAGUAGAUUCCAUCGGCACGUUGCGGUUGCAGCGAUGGCUUAGCUUUGAACGAUCGCGUCGGUGACUGAUGGCUGCUGGUUCACGCAGUUGCAUCUCCGAUUUGCUGGCUGCUGCUUCUUGCGGUUGCAUCUCCGAUCUGCUCGCCGCUGCUUCGCUGACAUCUCCGAUCUCCGAUGGUUUGGCUUCGCACGAUCACAUCGGUGAUUGCUGGCUGCUGGUUCGCGGCUUCGCGCGGCCGCAUCUCCGGUCUGCUGGUUGCUGCUUCUUGCGGUUGUAUCUCCAAUCUGUUGGCUGCUGCUUCGUUGUUUGGCAUCUCAACAUUUCCGAUCUCCGAGGCCAAACCUCUAUUUGUGUGUGACCGUGUGUGAUGUGAGUGUGUGUGUGUGCACUUACAGAUUAUUUUAAUUUAGAUCUAAGAUUUGCUUUUUGUGUGGUGUGAAUCCGAUUUUGUUGUGUUUGCCACUUUGUUAGUUUGUUACACAGUUUUUUUUUUAAGCCAACCCGAUCGGGUUUUCGGAUCGGAUCGGGUUUCAUCCGAUCCGAUCAUGAUCCGAUCGGGUUGGCAAAGUUACAUCCGAUUGGAUUUUGUUAACAAUCCGAUCCGAUCUGAACCCGAUAUUUUUUGGGUCAGAUCGGAUCGGAUCGGGUCGGAUAUUUUGCCCAACCCUACUCAUAAGCUUUUCUAUACCACUCACUAUAUCAUCCUUUUAAGUCAAUUUCGACUGAUCAUCAGAGAUCAUGCACCCCACCUUGAGAUGAUUGAUCACCAAUUUGGCAUUGUAACGUUGAUCACCUCUAAUUGCCCAUGCUAAAAUUGAGACCCCACAGCCAAUUGCUUCUACAGUUGAAUUUUAUCCACAGUGAGAUAAAAAUCCACCUAUUAAUUGAUAACUCGGCAUCAAUAAUUGUGGUGCCAUUCCAUCUAUUAUCAAACCCUUUUUACCGGCUUUACUAUCUAAACCACUAUGAAAAUAAGCUGGUUAAAUGACGUGGAGGAUCCAAUCUAUUUACAUCAGUUUGAAUUACCUAAAUAAUCGGUGGAUUUGAUGCUUCUAAAUCAUUGGCUAAUGUUGAAUAAUCAUUUAAGGUGGGACCCAUUUCGGUACCAAAUGACAUGUAUAACACUGAUCCACAUGAUUUCAAAUCUAACCAUUGAAUGAUCUCAUCUUUGGUCAUGUUAGAACUCCGCCGGUUGGUUCUCAUCUCACAAUCACGAAGCACUGAACCGGUCGAUUUGUAAAAUUGUUCAGGUAACAAUGGGCCCACUCCCCACACUAGCAUCAACACCAUCGAUCCCUCCACUUGCUUCAUCCAGUGUGGUUGAUCACUCGGUUCUGAUGGACCUAUUUUCUCUGAACCGGGUGCACCUCACAAAGGUUGUGGGCCACCAGGAAGGGACCCGUGAGGCCUGCGUUUAAGAUCUGAUUGGAAUAAAGCAACAUCCUUGGGUAACCCAAGAAGUAAAUGGGCCUCUCCCGGUUUGGCAUCCUGGAUGCGAGCCUGCCACAUGGCACACUCCACAGCUGCUGAGCAAGCAUCAGAAGUGAAGAACCCAACAAUGGGAACUUCAAAAUUCUUGAAAACAUCAGCCGUCCAGCCCAUCAUAACGCCGAUGACUACGCAAACAGGUCGGCUUUCGGGUUCCGGGUUGAAAGGAGGUUUCGAAGACCCUGAAGCAUUUGGUUGUGCAUGACAACAUGGAGGUAAGAAGGAGGCGAUGGUAGUAGUGGAGAUGAGGAGGGUAUUUCGGUAAUUUCACAUAGAGGGUAUUGGUGAAGAGAGGAAGGGGUGAUGCUGGUGGUGGAAACGUGAGAGGGAAUAAUGAGGGUAGAUUUGUAAUUACGAGAAGCAAUUUGCUUGCAUAAUUCAAUGCAUGGAAACAGAUGUCCCUGACCGAAGAACGGGACAAUCCAAAUCUCAGCCUCAGCAGCAUUCGCAACAGAGCUUGACAUCUUUUAUGAAUUAUUUGAGACUUAAUUGUUAUUGACUGCUUUUGCCAUCUUUCAUAAAACAUUCUUUGUUAUAUAUUCAAGUAAAUAAAUUUAUCGUUUAAAAUUAAUUUUUCAUGUGGUAAAAGCAAUACUAAAUAUGGGGUGGAGAGAAUAAUUUGUAGGGCAUACCCCCACCAUUUAUUUAAUUUCAUUAAAAAAGAAAGAAAAGAAAUAAAGGCUUGUUCAACAUUCAAUUAAAAUUAACAAUUCCAUGAUAAAAUUACUUGAGAAUAAAAAUUUUUAAAAAAAAAGUAACUCAAAAACGAGGAAUUUUUGAGUAACUGAAGAACCAUAGAUGUUUUUUGGUCAUGAGCAAUUUUUGAGUUGACACAGAACUUGUAUAAAAAAAAUAGUUUUGAAAACUUCUUUUCUUUUUUCGUAAAUAUAGAUAUAAAAUUUUAAAAUCACCAAACACAAAACCAGGAAAAUGGAAGGAGAGCCCCUGUUUCUCCUAUGUUGCAAGCACAAAUUCGGUUUCUAAAGUUGUACCUUCUAAAUGCACCAUUUGUAUUGCUUUGUCUCCACUUGAGCUAACGGAAUUUGAUGAAAACAAAAUAAUUGAACGAUAGGGAUAAAUAUCAAAGAAGGAGCUUACAUGCCCUAUAUAUUCUCUUUGGAUGAAUAACGAAGGUGAGCUUUCAAAGUACAGAGAUUUACAUGUUUUAAUUGUCAUUUACAUUGCUGCAUGCUAAUUGCUUGAUAAAAUACCGCAACAAAUACGCAUUCUCGAUUUCUUAUAAAUUUAUUUUCUUACUCUGAAAAAAAUUGAAUGUUUAGAGAAUUUUGAAGGUUUUGGUGUAUGCAUUAAUAUUUUGAUUCUAUUUAUGUUGUUUAACUAAUGAAGAUGAUACAUCUAGCCUCUUUUUGCCCCUUGUUGUUUUUAUUCUUGUGCUUUAUAUACGGUUCAAGUGUGAUACACUUUAGUUUUUCUCAAGUGUUUGUUAGUAUUUCCCGAAGCAAAAUUUGUCACAGACUUUUAGUUCAAAAGUUGAAAUCAUAACUAACAUACUUCGAUUUUUUAUUUUCCUUUUUUCUUCGGUAUCUUUCUAUAUGGCAUUGCUUGAGAAAUUGGUGUACUUAGAUCGUAAUAUUCUGUAGAAAUAAGCCAAUAUUUCAUUAUGUACAUUGUUUAAUAUGAUAAGUAUUGUAUGGAAGUUUUACAGAUAAGCUCCUUAUAUAUUAUGCAUUAUGUUUUUAUCAUAUUGUUGCUUGGAACUUUGAAGGAUUAGCCACAGGGCUUUAGUCCUACAUGGACAUUUUAUAUUUAACAGCUGGUUAGGCAUUUUAUUUGAUGUUAUUUGGACUUGUAGGUGUUAAAAGUUUUGUUCAGUAAUUUUAUAAUUCAGAUUCCCAUUGUGAAAAGAUAGCAAUUUUUAUUGUGGGUCAGAUUCUGUCAACUGAUAUUUAGCUAAAAUAUCUCACUAACCCCUAUUGGUUAGGUGUUUUUUUUAAUUCACAUACUUGAUUUUUAUUUUCUUUUUAUCUGUGGAAUCACAUGUAUCAUUCAUAAGAAACAAGCUAUUAUAUAAUCUAUUCUUUAGAUCCAUUUAUAUGUAGUGGGCACUCUGAUUUCUAUUAUUUGAAUUUUUUGCUACUGUUACUACUCUUUCGGCCCUUCAAAUAGGGGUUAACAGAAAGGGUGAGUAUAUUAAUACAAAUUCAAACUUUCUUUUUCUAAUUUUAUCCAAAAUAACCUACUAUAUUAUUUUAAUUUCCAACUUUUGUCAUAGUCUAAUGGGCAGUUGUCUUGUCAUUAUUUGGUUUUAGGUAAGAAGAGAGAAAGUUAGUGAGAGGAUGAAAAUUUUGCAAAAACUUGUUCAUAGCUAUGGUAAUUAAGUAAUUUGAGUUCUUUUUUUUUGUUAUUGUUUUUUAUUCACUUUUUCCUGUCUUAAAACAAAUAACGAGUUUUUGUGUUUUUAAUAUUUCUUAUAAACUUCAUGUUGUUUGGUAUAAAAUUAGGUAAUUGGAAAGGUCUCAUGUUGGAUGAAAUUAUCAAUUAUGUGCAGUCCCUACAAAAUCAAGUGGUCGUCAAUGUGUCAGCAUCACUUUCUUCUUCAGAUGUUACUUGUUUUUCACAUUUAUUUUUCUCUCAGUCCUUUUUAAAAGAACAUACACACACAUACUAUGUAGAGUGACCUUUUUUAAUGAGGAAUCUGUCAUUUUAAUAAAAUGAAGAAUAAACUAAAAGGUAGAAGUACACGAACUCUAAUGCAAUAUACCUUUUCUGUUCUUUUACCUUUACUAUAAGAUAGGGAAUGAUAUAAAACUGUUCGAUAAUAGUAAGUGAAAUAAUUAAAAGGCUACUGUUCUAGCUCAUUUAAUAUAUCAAACUUUUCUAGCUCAUUUAAUAUAUCAAACUGCUCGAUAAUUGAAUUGGCCUAGUUAAACAUAAUUUUCAGAUAAUCUUUUUAAUGGUUUAUUUAUUAAUAUUUUGUUUCUUUCCAGUAUGAACACUUUGUUUUGACACGUGGUUAACAACCUUCAACGAACUCGGAACAACCUUCAUCACAUGCUUUCUCACGUGGUUACUUAAACUGAUAUGUUAAACGUGCUCCAUCCACGCCGUUUCCACUAAAUCAUUUUCUGUUAAGAAUCAGCUGAGCAGCGCGUGAGCUAAUGAAGUUUUUCGUAUUGAACUCAACUCUGCUAUUUUCCCAAAGCUGGAAAGCAGAAACAUCAUCCCUUUGGUUUUAUUUCACCUCAACCUUUUUCUGAUCCCAUUUUCAUUGUAAUUUCUCAUUUACUUUGAGUGAAAGUCAUUGUUGCUUUCGAACGAGGUUUUGCAACUAAAAAGGAAAAUGGGGCGGCUACAAUACAUGCGUGCAUCUGAUACAUGCACAAAAACUGACCAUUGGAUUAAAUGGAGUGAUCUAAUGGCUGAGAUUUGUUUCAUUAUUAAGCAAUAAAAAAAUUUGAAACAACCAGAAACCUGUAAAACCGGUCAUUUGGUUUAAGGUAAAAAUAUAUAAAUGAAAAAAAAAAAAAAAAACCCACCACUCCCUCGCCUCACCUCUCUUCUUUUGGGUUUAGUAUUGCUGCUUUUAACAUAAUUGACCUAUGGCCCAAAUCAUUUCUAUAGGGCGAAGCAUAUGAAUGAUACAUAUUAUCUUUUUUUGGCCUUAUGUCUUGUUAUUUGCAGUGUGAUUUGGUCUAGCUUAAGAGCUUAAGCUUGCAGGUUGGAUUUGUCUGACAGGGAACAAUUUAAUUUGUUCAUCGUGAUGUUUAUAUCCAUUUUGUACUACUAUCAAUUUCAAUCAUGCCUAAUUUUUAUAUGUAUUUCUCGUGGACUCUCAGGUUCAGUGCACAAGAGGAUGAAGACGAUGGACACCCAAAUUUGAUGUGGAGAACAACUAUUGCAAAUGGUCCUUGAUUUACUUCUCCAAUUGACUUGAAUUGGUUUGACGCAAUUUAUACUGUAUUUUUGUCAUCUUUGUAUGACUUGCACGUCGUCCUGAUUUGGUACAUGACUGGACACAGGAAUUGGACUCAUAUUUUUCAAACCAGAAUGCCAACAAUCAAGCAUUUUCUUUUGAAAGCACUGGCGUCUUCUUCAAUGCCAAAAAGGUUAGAGAUUUUCUGUAUCCUGUUUUGUAUUUGAUCAGUUUAGCAUGUGGGUGGCAAUCAAGAAAAGUUAUUAUAACAUUUUUGUGUUCCCGAAAAACUGCUGAUGAUGUGUGACUUCUUUUUAUUUGUAUUCUUUCUUUUUCUUUUCUCCCCAACAGUAUUAUGCAUUUCGAAGAGCUUCUUGAAGUUGAUUACCAUGUAUGCCACUUUCUUUACUCUAUGCUCAGGAUGUGAUUUUGCCAAGCAUUAAAAUGGUUUAGGUCAGAACCAUCAUCUAAAGUUUACUUAAAGUUGACGGAUUAAUUCCUUUUAAUAAUGGUCUAGUUAAUUUUACUAUACUCAUAAAACUAUUCUUAUUCUGAUAAUGCCACAAAUGUUAUGAUGUUUUCUUCAGCUAAUGAUCUUCUAUCAGGACUAGUUAGAAAUCAAAUGCUUAAAACACCGAUUGAAUGAAUAAUGCAGAAGUUUAAACAGUAUCUAAUUGAAAAUUGCAUGAAACAUGAAACAUCAAUUCAAGUCCUUCCUUAAACAAAGAAUGCAUCAAACAAAUCCAAAGUGUCUUGCAUGUCUAUAGCAUGACAAAAAAGUUGUAAAUGCGUUUAGAACCAAAUUAUUCAAGUACAGGAGAACGAGCAAGUUGAAUCAUGUACACGAGAUUGGCCUGGUUCGAGAUAGCUUCUUCACUGUACCUGAAGGGUUGGCUCAAUCUUUUCUUUAGAAUUCUGCACAUUUUGUAAUUACUCGUGUAAGCAAGCAUACAUUACAACUCUUGUACACAAACAAUAUUGUAUAAACUAAUGCGACAUAAUAUGAUUGGUUAAACAAAAACAUUACAUAGCCCUCAUAAUUUAUUUAUUUAUUUAUUAUUAUAUAUUUUCAGUCAACCAAUCAUAUUAUAUUACAUUAGUUUCUAUAAAAUAAUUUUCUAAAUAGCACCAAAACUUAAUUGAUACUCACCAUUUCAUUGAACAAUUUUUUUAUGGUGUCAUUGAGGUUGCCUUCCCAACAUCCUUCAUCAUCAUCAUCUUCUUCAUCAUCAUCUUUUUCUUCUUCGGUGACGUUCACUUUGUUUAGCAUUGGUGUGUCUAAGACUCCUUGAGAGAAGAUCAUCAUUUUUGGACACUCUCUCACAACUACUUGUUUCAAGGACGGGAAUUCAAGAGCGUAAUUACCUAAACAAAAGCUUGUUAGGCUUGGCAAACAAUCAAGUCCCAAGUACUUUAAUUCCUUGAAAACAAUGCAAUCUUUCGCUUCUUCUGCAACCGGCGACUGUAUGAUUUCUUCCAUCAUUUUGCAAUCAACUAUCUUCAUUCUUCCGAGAUUCACUAGAUUUUUAGAUGCUGAGAGCGUCAACACAUUUAUCAACCCGUGACACUUCGAUACUUGUAGUCCCCACAGAUUUUCCAAAUGCCACGAAGGUGGUACUAAUUUUUGCAACUUACUACAUUCCGAUAUUUCUAGCCUUUUCAAGUUUGCAAACGCUUUGUUGGAUUCGUCAUUUUCCUUCCAGAGAUGCUGCACUUUGUGUAAUCUAGAUAGCUUUAACUCCUUCAAUUGAGGGAAUGUAAGCUGAAAAUCAACAAAAUUAAGUUGUAAAUGAAAGUAUGUAUCCAAUCUCUGCAGUCUUCCCCUGCAUAUUUUAUGGACAAGAUUAAUCACGGCAUUUUAUAUUUUAUUUCCAAAUUAGUAUGCUUUGCAGUAGGAUCCCAAAUAUAAGUAUCAAAUCGAUUACCCUUUGAAACACAUAAAUGAAAUCUGAUACUAAAUCCAAUAUGAAUUAGCUAGGAAAACAGAGAUGCGACAAGCAUAAUUGAUAUAGUUCAUCACCUCAUGUUACCAGUCAUCGAAAUAAUUUAAGACAUUUUUUUAAUUCAUACUAUAAAGUUAGUUCAUAACUGUAGUUGUAUUGUUAAUUCAUAUAUGAAUCAAGAUGACAUGCAAAAAGAUGAGUCAUAAAAUUUGAUUUGAUUCUAAUGAAAUUACAUCUGUGCGAACAAAAGUGAAGGGGAAAAUAAUAAUAAUAAUAAUAAUAAUAAUAAUAAUCACCUUUUCAUCGAAGAGGGGUUGUACUUGAUGAGCCAGCAAAAAGUUCUCUUCUGAUGUUAAUUUUUGAGGUUCCUUGUUAUUUGUUGUCACAUGCACUACAGAGUUGGAUAUGAAUGUUUCCAUAUCAGGGCAAUUCUCAAUAGUUAGAUUCUCCAACUCAGACAGUUCAAUUAUAUUCCCAGUGAAGUUGCAGAAUCUUUUGAGUUUUGGAAGAUCAAUGAGCCUUAGUCUGUUAAGCCUAGGAAACCGGGGGCCUAUAUGUUCUUCCUUAGCAUUUAGCUCUUCUAAAUGAAGCACCUCUUCUAUUAAAUCACAAUUCCUCACUUCCAGGCAUCUCAAAUUGUUCAAGCAACGUAGCAGAUUGGUAGGAAUAGCACUCGACAUAUUCGUGCAGUCAUCCACAGCCAGUUGUCGUAAAUUGUUGAAGAAGCUGACAGGCACUGCUUGGCCGUGCCAUAUUUCUCUCAAGCGUGGAAAAUGUGAGAGUUGCAAAUGCUCUAUGUCACGGAAUCCAAUCUGCAUAAACCAAAACAAUUGCACUGGAUAUAUAUAAAUUUCUUUUUUUGAAAGGCAUUAGAUAUAUAUAUACAUUAAACUUACAUGUUUUGUGCUUUAACUUCUAAAAAUAUAUUUACAACGCAGGUGUAUAUGUUUAAAUGUGGUAUAGUGGAAUUAAGCUUAUUGCCAUUACUUCGUAAUGGUGUUCGUAACACCAUUACUUCGUAAAGUGAAUCGAUUAACACAUACCAUUACUUCGUAACACUUUUGUAUAGUGGAAUUAAGCUUAUUGCCUUCCCAAUGGUGUUCACCCUCUUCCCUUUCAGUCACUUGCACUACGUAUAGCUUUGGUGUGGAUGAGAUUCCCCGAGAAAAAGUCUUCAUGUUCGGACAAUGUGUCAUAGAAACUUGUUCCAAUGAUGGGAAUUCAAGAGUGUAAUUCUCCAAACAAAAGCUGGUAAGCCUUGGUAAAUCAUCAAGUUCCAAAAGUUUUAAUUCGUUGAAAGCAAUACGAUUCUCCUUCGCUUCUUCUCCAACAUGUCCUAUGAUUUCUUCUAUUUUUGCACAGUCUGAUACAUCAAGAUUCACUAGACUAUUGGGAAUUCCAACCUGAAAAUAAAGAGUAGCAUUCAACUAGAUUCAAAGUAUGUCAAAAUCAUACAAUUGUUUUAUGAAAAAUAACAAACCAUGAAUGUCUACUAGAUAUUUUUUGUUAAAGAAAAAAAAGAAAAAAUAAAAAUAAAUAAAUAGAAGUCCAGAAAAACAAAGAUAAUGAAAAUGCAUUUACACUAUUUAGUAUUAGGAACGGAGAAAGAAUUUCAGGUAAUUUUUAAAUAUUCUAAAUUCAUUUUUCAUCUCGAUGCUAGUUUUUUAAAAUUUUUAAUUUUCAAACAUGCCUAUUUUUAAAAUAACUAAACUAAAACGCUGUAUUUCCCUUUUUUUUUUUUUCCCGAUAUUCAUGCUUUUAAAAAUGGAAAACAUUUCUGGAAAACACUUCCCAACGCCAUCAACAUGGGACUGUUAUAGAGUGAAUAUUUGAGGAAUUUUUUAAUCAACGGUCGAUUCAAAAUGACCAUCAUGAAUUUGUGCUUAAUCAAUGGCGUAAUCAAUUCAUAACUAAACUAGAGAUAUUAACUACAUUUGAACACUUUUCUUUAUUUUUUUUUAAAUCGAAAUUUGAAGACCCAAGGAAAAGAGAAAUAUAUAUGAAUUUGUGAGCUUAAAAGCUGAGUAACUAAGUAUCUUUUAAUUUCUAAAAAUCUUAUUUAUUAGGAUUUAAGGAAAAAAACAAUUAAAUUGAAUUAUAUUAUGCUGUUAAAUCGUGUUUAAAACAAUUAUAUCGUUGACUUUAAUGCGGGUGAACCUAUAAAUUAGAUUGACAAUGCAGAGUUCAGAAUGGUGAUUUGAAGUACACUACUUUUUUGCCCUCCUGAUGUUUGAAGUAAAAUACUUGCAAUAAAUAAUUUGUGAAUGAAAAUUAUUUGUAAACACAAAAAUGAUUAAAAUAAUUGUUGAAUGUUACUUGAAAUAAAAAUUCAAAAUGAAUAUAGCAAUCUUACCAAUGGAGGAAAAAUAUUCAGUAGAUUAUUACACCCAGAUAUCUUCAAUUUUUUCAAUUUGCUAAAAGACUUCGAAGCAAGCUGGUGGUGCCAUAUUUUUCUCAACUUAUCCGCCUCACUAAUAUGUAAUACCUCCAGACUUGGGAGUCGUACCUGAAGUUAAAAAUUCAAUGCAAUUAGAGAUGUAUAUUAAUUAAAUUUGAAGACUCAACGAAAAGAGAAUUUAAAAAUUCAAUGAAAAAAAACCUUUUCAUCAAAGAGGGAUUGAGGUUGCAUUUCAGUGUGAAUGACGUCUUCUGGUGAGGCAAAGCUACUUAGUUUUGGAAGCCAAUGGAGCGACAGGUAGUGUAGUUUGGGAAAAACCUUAAAUUCAUCUCUUCCUCCUAACGUCGUGGUGUUGACUACCCCUUCAAUUGACCGGCAAUUACGAAUCUCAAGAUGUUGGAGUUGCCCAAGACUAUUAACCAUAGAAUAUGAAAACAAAUACUUCAGACGAUGACAACUCCACACGGUCACUUUUGUUAAAUUUUGACAACAAUAUAUUCCCUGAAAUUGAUCGGACCAUAAUUUUUUUAUAUUUGUUAAACUGACAAGUUCCAGUUCCUCCAAGCGUGGAAAAGUAACCUGCAAAGAAAAACCAUACAUUUUUGUUCCUUCAACUACAACUUCUAAUAUAAUAUUCUUUCGAUGAUUGAAGAUCAAUCGUGAUAAUAUAUUAAUUAAUUAAUUAUUAAACAGAAAAUUAUUACCUGGUGAACAGGAUCAUCCUCUGCAUUGAUUUCUAUGAAUCCCUGAGUUGUUGUUGGUUUCUCCAUGUCGGGCCCUAUAAAUGAACCAAAACAAUAUAUAAUAAACAUCCGUUGUUUUUUUCCCCAAAAAAAGAAAAAGAAAAAAAGAAAGAGUCAAUGUCAAUAAUCCUACCAAUAAUUAAUUUCAACACUUACCAAUAAUCAUUUUCAAAUCAUCGCAGUCUUCCACUUUUACUUUUUGAAGCCGCAAUAGGUUUUUGGCCAUAGAGAAUGAGAAGAGAUACUUCAAUUUUCGACAGGAAUCUACGUUUAUAAUCCUUAAGUUGCUGAAGGAUUGAUCUUCUCUGAGUUGGCUGUAGCAUAUCGUCUCCAAAUUAGUUAAAAACAUAAGAGACAAUGCCUCCAGCAAGGGAAAGACUUCGCAACGAACCCUAACUGAACCGACAAUAUGUAAAAUCUCAGAACAGUCUGUUACGAGAAGACGCUUCAAUCGUGGAAAACCUUCCCCAUCGUCUAAUUCAUGAACAACACUUUGAACACCCUCCAAUGUUUCUAGCCAGAGAUCUUCAGUUCUCUGCAGCAACAUUUUUGUCCCAUCAUUCUCCUGAAGAAUGCUAACUUUUUUUAUCCCCUUGAGCAUCAUCAAUCUUGAUGCUUCAGAUUUGACGAGCAAUGGGUCAAACUCAUCUUCGGGCCCAUCUCCUAUACGUAUCUUAUAUCUUUGCAAUUCCACAGAGACAAAAUCCGGCGGCAGAAUUUCGGCAUCCGGAACUUCUAUCUCCAAAGUAGUUAGCUCUGUCAACCUCUCCAAUUCGACAAGACUGGCAUUACUUCCUCCUUCAACCUUCUCCCACCCUGAAAAACCGUUACCCAUAUACAAUUCUUCUAAUUGAGAAAAAUUUUUGGAUAUGACAUUUCGGUGCUAUUCACCUUCAAGCCCACCAAACAAUUGCUCUCAAAUCUAGGAAAUUGGUAACCGCGGCCAAUNNNNNNNNNNNNNNNNNNNNNNNNNNNNNNNNNNNNNNNNNNNNNNNNNNNNNNNNNNNNNNNNNNNNNNNNNNNNNNNNNNNNNNNNNNNNNNNNNNNNGCGAGGCUGAGAAUCUCUAUUUCUUUAGUGUCCCAAUUGCGCUAUAUCUGCUAGUCGCACCAGUCUAAACACAAUGUUUGAAGGUUAAUGAGGCGACCAAGUGAUGAAGGUAAUGAAGAAGAGCCAAUUCCAGGAAACUGUAAAACUUUGAGUCCUUCCAUCCCUUCAAAAAAGUGGUCUGAAACUUGCAUAGGGCCAUUACCCUCCGUAUACAACAAAAAUAACUGGAGAUUGGGACAUUGCAACCUUUCAGGGAGCUCUUGAAUAUCUCUAUGAGGUAAUGAAAUAGCAAUUGGAUCUUUCUGUAUUGUCUCUUCCAUCUUUUUCUCCAAGUCAGCAACAUUUGGAACAUUAAACAUGCGCUCCUCUCUGGCAAUUGAUACGGCAACAACAUGAAUGACGUCAUGCAUUUUAACUUCAUCUUCAGCAUCACCGUCCAACAAUAAGCAUGAAGAUUUGAGGUUGUCGAUCAACCGAUGCACUCUACUCCUUGCUUCUUCCAAUGUGUAAACAUUUUCAAACAAACCCCAACCCACACCACAUCUCAAUAAGUCAGAAACUUGUAUGACAUUACCUUCACUGUAUAGACUACAAAGACGGAACAGAGAUUUUGCCUCCUCACUUUCCAAGAAGUCAUAACUCAAUUUUAUGGAGGUGUACACAUUUGCUUGCAUGCCAUGAAUUUCUCUAGCAUCCGAUCUUCUUAGCUGAUUCAAUGCAUCUUUCCAAAAGUAACUAUCCUUAGUUUUCAGAGCAUUUGCAACUGUACUCAGUGCAACAGGCAAACCUCCGCAUCUUUCAACGAUCUCAUUUGCUAUACUUUGAAAAGCGGAUAUUUUAGUUGAAUCACCCACUAUCUUUUCAAAUAACUGCAAUGCUUCUUUUGGUGGCAAAGCAUCGAUCGGGAAAUUUUUCUGAGAAUUCAUAUCAAUGCGCAAUAAAUCUCGACUUCUAGACGUCAAUAUUAUUGUGCAUCGUCUCUGAUCAUCCUUUGUAUCUUUCUCAUCAACAUCCCCACAAGGAAUUCCAACUUUUUCGAACUCGAGUUUUUUCCAAAUAUUAUCCAAUAUAACGAGGACCUGCUUCUCGUUCUUCAAUCUUUCACGUAAUCGAUCUGCUCUUUCGAAUUUAUUCUCAUCCGAGCCAAAUUUCAUGCCUAAGUCAAAAGCAAGUUUCUUUUGAAUUUCCUGAUGAUCUGGGGUCUGUGUUACCUCAGCCAUAACGACCUUGUCGAACACCUUAUCUUCCAUAACUUGCCUUGCAACUUGCUUGACUAGCGUGGUUUUACCCACGCCGCCCAUCCCGUAGACCCCAAUUAUCUUGAGCUUAUCAUCCUUCAACGCCUCCACAACAUCUUCAAAUACUUUCAUUCUUGAAUCAAAGGCCUCGAAAUCUUUCACUUGCAUAUGUUCUGCCCGCUUUGGAGCAGGACGGUAGGAAACAUUAGAGAAGUUACAUUUUCCCAUGAGACUAGCAGCAGCUUCUGCGGCCUUUGCUGCUUGUCUACUGAGCUUGUAACGAGAAAUCAAGUUUGGGCACAAUCCUUUGAAACAGAACUUCUUAGCUCUAUCUUCAUCAUCAGUGAUGGAUUUCGCAGCUCCCUGACUGAAUUCCUUGACGCUAUUAAGCCAGUCUGCAACAUCCUUAUAAAUCUCAUCUCCUUGUUGAGUAGCCUGAUGAACGGGUAUUUCCACCCUUUCUCUUUUAUAUCCCAACUGUUUCACUUGAUCUUUUAGGCCAUCUAUGUAGCUCUGGUACUUGAACACAUAAGAGAUCUGCCGUAUAAUCGGUUUGAACAGUGACUUUGCAUCUUCUGAUACGAUGCUGGAAAAAGCAGCCAGACCCACUUCUGCAACCAUUGCCUGUUGCUUAACAAUAUAUGUAUAUAUAUGAAUAAAAUGAAUAAAAAUGUCAAAGAAAGGAAUACAAAUAAAUUAAAAUGAACUAGAGGGAAAGACAGAGAAAGAAAAGACCGCAAACAACAUCGCGAUAUUGAUUUUGAACCAACUGAUACAUAAGUAGAGAAUUUCUUUUUCUAUCUUAAGGAUCAGAGGUUUUGCUAUUAACAGAAAGGUAUCCUUUAAGGAAAGUUGAUGGAAAUUAAGAAAGAAUGGCUAUCAAGAUCAAGUAUUCUGCUACUAAAAAUAAAUGAUAUGACUUAAGAAAAGUAAAUGAUAUGAUUAAGAAAAACCAGAGAAUUUUUUCCUAGGAAAGUUGAUGGAAAUUAAGAAAGAACCGCUAUGAAGAUCAAGUAUCAGAGAUUCUGCUACUAAAAGAAUAUUACAGGUUUUAGAACAAGUGCACCUCUUUACCUGUCUGGGAUCAGAGUCGAUGAGCUGCUGUAUUCACCUUGAAUAUAGAAGAAAUAUUACAGGUUUUGACUAAAGAGGAAUGUGAGGAACGAGUUGAUGAGAGUAAUAACAAUGAAUUUCCAAAAGAAGACGACUUGAGCAUUAAGCAUGCACCCCCUUUAUCAAUCAAAUAUUGGUACGUAUGUACGUAGGGACCAUUAUGCGUAUAUGAAGUCCAUUAGUUGCAAUCAGAAACCCUGGCCCAAUUUAAUUGACACUCGAUUUUUGAUAAGAAGAAGGCAAGGAUAAGGACAAAGUCAAUCAAUCACCAACAGUAAUUACUUCAAUCUUUGUCAAUCUACUUAAAUUGUCGAUCAACAUGAAAAUUGUUUAAAUUGAUAUUUGUAAAUCAAUCAAUUUUCUAGUUACUAUGAUUAUAACGUUUCACCUUUCAUAUUGGAUUUUAUCUUUUCGAAAGUUUUCAAAUAUGAGUGUCAAUAAUUAUUGAGACUCCAAGCCGUGCUCUCAAGAUCGUGCUGACAAAUCACUAUUGACUUUGUUUAUGCAAAAUUCAAAGAAAAAAAGUUAUGGUUUUGUAUUGCCAGCCCUGCUACUUUUUGUUUUUUUCAUUUGUAUUAUUUACGAAUUAUUUUUUAACAGAAACAUGAGAACUCAUCAUCGUAUAAAAUUGCAUGAAAAAAUCUUCAAAUUUAUAAAAGUAAAUUUCAUUGACAGAUUGUGGAUAUGUUAGAAAGAAUAAGGAUAAGAAUGAGUUAAGAAAUAAUAUAUAUAUAUAUAUAUAUAUAUAUAGAUAGAUAGAUAGAGAGAGAGAGAGAGAGAGAGAGAGAGAGAGUGAAAGUAAACAAUGUUUUGGUACAUUUGGUAUUGUUUUCAAAAUAUUUUGAAAAGAAAAAUUUUCAAUUAUCCAUCUAAGAAUUAUCUUAUUAUCCAAAAAGUUAUAAAAAUUUAAAAAUAUUUAAUUUUAUACCCAUUAUUACAAUGUGUAUCAACUGUUUACUAAAAAAAUAAAGUUACUCCUAAAACAUAAUCACCACUACAAUUUUGUGUUCGGUUCUAUUUUGUCACUUUGAACGAAUAACUUUAUAUUUUUAACAGAUGUUUCAUACAAAUUGCAUACAUUGGAUGUAAAAUUAAAUAAAUUUAAAUUUUUAUAAUAAUUUUAAUAAUUGAAUAAACUUUGAGUAAAUGACUGAUAAUUUCUCUUUUAUAAGCUACAAGAAGUUAAAAAGAAAAAAGAAAAAAUAGGAUGAUAAUUUCUCUUUUAUAUGCCUCAGAUGAUUUAUUGUUUCGGGUCUAAGAUUUUAAUUAUUCAACUUAAAAGAUUAAUAUAUUAUAAAUUAAUUAAUUAAAUAAUCAUUAAGCAACUAAAUUGGGUCCCCUGGAUGUCAAUUCCUUUAAUAUUGACGCAACUAUUUUUUUCUGGCAAAUAAUUAUUAAUGCACUGACGGAACUUUUGCAUAUCUACACAGCGAUUUUAAAUAUUACUGGUAACUGCUGAGAAAUGUGCGAGAAAGAAGUUGAUGAGAGUAAUAACAGCGACUUGCAAAAGGAAAAGACAGAAUCAUUCACCCCUUUUUGUAUCACCUAUUUGGUUACUGUUUCCCUGUUGACGCAUGUAUAAAUUUGACUGGUUUUUCUGCACUUUUUUGGCUGUUGCUUAACAAUGUGUGUGUGUAUUUGCUGUUGAAAAAAUUGGAUUCAAAUAAAUUAACUGAAAGAUUAGAGUUUUGACUAUUAACUGAAAGGUUUCAAGGGUAUGAAUGAAAAGCAACAUUCUUUUUUAGAAACUAUUUUAGAGGAGAGAUGCAAAUUAACAAAUGCUAAUAACAAGAACACAGAAGUUAACAAUGAACAGUAACUUAAAUCAAGAAAAUUAAAUGACAAAAUUAAGACAAACAAGAGAUAUUUUUUUCUUGGACAUUAAGAAAUAACUGCGGUCAAGAUCAAGGAGAUUAUGCUAUUAAUAGAAAUUAUCAAAGGAUUUAGAACAAGUUCACCUCUUUAAUUAUCCGGGAUCAGAUAGUUGAUGAGCUUCUCUAUUUAGCCUUGAAUAUUUAAGAAUAAUUUUAAAGAGCAAAAAGAUCACUGGUAACUGCUGAAAAAUAAGUGAGAAAAGAGUUGAUGAGAAUAAUAACAAUGAAUUGAAUAAAAAAAGGACUUAAUCAUGCACCCCCUUUGCAUAUCAUGUAUUUGGUUACUGUUGCCUUGUUGACGCAUGUAUAGAAUAAUUACAUGUAUUAUUAUAAUUUUGGAUUCGAUAUCCUUGUAUUAGUGUCUAAGAUUUUCAUGAAGAAUUAAACUUGGAAUGACCAAAAGAGGAAGCUGCAGUGUAUUGUUGGACCCAAUUAAGUUGAAGAAAGCACUAGUUCACAACCUUACGUUUGGAUAUAUUCUAAAGAAAUAAUUAAACAGCAAAUCAUCACAUGCACUUUAAUGAUUUGAUCUAUUGUUUUCAAAAGAAAUUGCAAUUAACAGUUUUUGUCAAAAGUUCGCACAGCGUGAAACUAGUGUUAGUAUAAUUUAAAAAAUUAAUUUCAGUAUUAUUUUUUAAAAUGUUAAUUAUUAGAUUUAUUUUAAUAAUAUAUUUAUAUUUAUUAUAAAAAAUUUAGUUAAAUAUUUGUGUUAAAUAGAAUUUAUAAUUAAUUUAAUAUAUCUUAGGUAUUAAUAAUAUUAUAAUUAUUCUAUAUGCUAUUGAAAAUAAUUUAAAUUUUUAGACAUUUAUUUUAUAUUAAGUUUCUAUUUAUUACAAAAUUUAGUUUAAUAUAGUAUAAGCUUGUAAAGUAUUAAAAUAUUUUUUUCAUUUUUUUUAAAAUAUUAAAAUUAUUUUAAAAUAUAUAUAUUAACAUUGAAGCUAAUUUUUUGAGUUAAUAGAGCUAGUAGGUGUUAUAGUAAAAAAGAGUAUCUUAGUAUCUCUUAUUGAAAAUAUAUAGAUCUAUAUAAUCAUUUUUUCAAAUAUUGAGAUGUAGAAAAAUAAAUUAAAAAAUUUUAAAUUUUAAUAUGGCCAUCGUAGGGUUAGAAUCCCCGCUCCAACCCGAUUUGGAGAUUUAUGUUUUUAAAAAAAAAAAGAACAAAGAAAAAAUACACACCCGACCAAAUCAAGCACCUCAUCAAAUCAAAAAUAAAAAAGGAAAGAAAUUAAUGGCUUGCAUGCAAUUUUGGAUCUGAAAUUAAAAUUACAUAAAAAUUAAGGCUUACGUACCUUAAUAUUUACAGCUUGUUUGAUGGCCCCAACAAGUUUAAGCAGCAUCAAAAUGUUGUGGCUCCUUAAAUGACAACAUCGACUUGUUUGACAGCUCCAACAAGGCUACGAUGAUCAGAAGAUGAGCCCUCAAUCAACAAGGCUAAGAUUGGCUUCUCUAUCCUCUGCCGACAUGUCCUCUUCUCCCAACAACCAGCGCCUUGCUCUUUGUCAUUUUUCCUCUUGUUAGUUUUCUUCUACAUAUAAUUAUUACACUGGGAAGUAUACACACACUUCUUUUCUUUUUAUAGUACCUUACUAUUAUAUCUUUACAAAACAAUAUCACCCUAAGACAUAUAUGUAUGAAAUAAAUAUAUAAGGAACGGACGAAAUAAAAUUAGAUCUAACACUAGUUUCAUGUGGUGUGUGAACUUUUGACAAUCCUCUCAUACCCCAACAAAAACUUUGUCAUAUUACAAAAGUUAUCACGACCAUAGACUUUUCAAUUGCAUAUUGGAAUUGCAAUGUCAUUUUAUUAUAGUAAUGUCAUUUCCAUUAUUCAUAGUGGCAGACAAUGGACAUCACGGGACACGGCUAGAAGUUAUCACGACCAUAGACUUUUCUAAUUUAUGAAAUAAAUGAAAUUAGAUCUAAUUCUAGUUUCAAGUGGUGUGAACUUUUGACAAUCCUCCCAUAUCCUAACAAAAGCUUUGUCAUAUUGCGAAAAUACCUUUUCAAUGUUUCAAUUGCAAUGUCAUUGCCAUUAUUCAUAGUGGCAGACAAUGGACAUCACGGGACAUGGCUAGAAGUCUAUGUUACGGCUUCUGUAAGUAACAGCAGCCAAUGGGGAACUUCCAUGGGGGCUAUAGGAGAGAGAAAGAGGUCCCAAUACAAGUGUUAGAGUACAAUUUAUACACUAGUUUUGCAUUGUUUACUUCCCUUAAUAUCGAUGUUUUGCAUUUAAUAAUAAUGAUUUACUUGUGUUUUACUUUUGUAAGUGCAAUUCUAUUGAUUUGUGAUAGAAUUGAGGUAUAAGAUGAUGUUUAAAGAUGAUUGUUCUCUUGGAGAAAUUUAGAGCGUCAGAAGAACUUUAUAGAUAAGGCGUGGGCGCGUGCUGUCAACUGCGGACCUGCAGUUUUUAGUUUAAUGUGUUUUGUAUUUUUGGCUAUUUUUGUAAUUACGAAUUUAAUAUUUCAAAUAUUAUUAUUUUAUUUUAAAUAGAACUUUAAAAGAGAAGAGAGAGAGAGUAUUUAAGGGAGGAAUCUAUUGUGAAAAAGGGGGGAUUUUAAUUGGAGAAAAAGAAAGAAACCCUAGAUCUAAUUUUUCUCUUCUCUCUAUGAAAAACUAAACUUAUUUUUUCUAGUUGAAGGUUAAUGAAUUUUUGAUUCAUCACUACUGUGAGAUCUUUCUUAUGCUUUAAUUGUUUUAUUACUUUUUGGGUAUUUGUUUAUUCUCUGAAUUAGUUUCAUGAUUAUGUUUGUUAAUUAGGUAAUUGGCCACUAUUUAAUUAUCAACUUAAUCUAUUGUCAAUUAAAGAAUUCAUCGUAUGACGAGUUUAAUGUUUGUGACAAAUAACAUAGCAGUGAGUUGUGUUAUGGGAAUAAACAAUCUAAUUUAAAUGAAUCAUCAUAUGUGUUGAUUAGGAUUUGGGUCGCUCUGGUUUUUCAGGCUGUCAAUUGAUUAAAUCCUAUGAUCGUAUCUAGGGUUGUCUAUUAAUUAGGGAAAUAUCCAAUGGUCGUACCUUGGUUAUCGACUAGUUAAGGAGAGAUUGGCUAUUAGAGGGUCUCAAUAGCUAUAACCAGUUUAUUCAUAAGUAAUAAUAAUCUAUUUUUGAAUCAAUGAUCAGUAGUCGAAUCAAACUGAGUUAAUUCCUUCAACCAAAGCUUUCUCCAAUUUGAAUUACAACUUUAAUUUGCAUUUUUGUUAUUUUAAUUUGAUUUUUUAUUAUUGUCAACAAUUCUCCCAUUUUACGUUUUACGUUUCAAAAGAAUUUAAAUAAUUACCGAUCUCUGUGGACACAACCCUGCUCAAUCACUAUACACAAUUUAUUUAGAGUAGGAAUUUAUUUUUAUUGGCUUCAACAACCAUCAACAAGGUGAUGGAAAUGGGAAAGUUCGAAGCUGUUACUUUCAGCUUCUGCACCGUAGCCAUGUCCCACGGGACAAGGCUAGAAGUUAUCAUGACCAUAGACUUUUCUAAUUUAUUUUUUCCUUUCAAAAAGGGACAAGGAUAAGUUUGGGAGAAUGAUUAUAUUUUUAAUAAAAGAAUUCUUUUUUAUUAUAAUACUUUUUGUCUUUAUUAAUUUAAAAAUAUUAACUCUUAUAUUUUAAUAAAUAUAAAUAUAAUAUUAUAAUAACAUAUAACAAUAUAUACAAAUAUUUAAAAAAAUUUAAGAUUUUAUUAAAAUAAAUUUUAUAAUAAAUAAAAAUACAUUAUUAAUAUAAUUUUAAUAAUUUGCAUUUUAAAAAGUAAUACUGAUAUUAUUUUUUAAAUAUUAAUUUUUUAAAUUAUAUUACUCUACCAAAAAAAAUUAAACUAUUAAAUUAUAUUGAUAUUUAUUACAAAAUUUGCAAUUAAUUCUUAUUAUAUUUUUAAUUGGAAUUUGUUCCUGUGAUAUAACAACAAUUGCUACAGUUUUUUCCCUAAAUAAAGAUGGAGUUAUAAAUUAUUUGUGUAAGUGUCAUGAAAGUAAUAGUUGAAUAACAAUAAUGGGGCUUUAGGCAAUUUUUUUUAUGAGGUCUUCUUGCAAUUUCAACACUUAAACAGACUUGUCCUUGAUCCCAAUUUAUUUACCCCAUUUGGGCCCACGAUGAGAUAAAUAUAUUCCUGUGAGAUGAAAAACAUCAGGAGAAGAAAAUGUUUUAUUAUAAUAAAAAAACAAGUGGUCCAUAAGUCUAUUUAUUACUUUUUUUAUUCAAUACAAAUGGCCAACUUAAAAAAUGAUAAAAAUCACAUAACGCACAAGCAAAAAUUUAGAUUUACAUUUUUUAGUUCUCUCCGUGUCUCUCUUUCUCUUUUUUAAAAAAAAUAAAUAAAUGUCAGUGUAAAAUUAGAAAAAUUUUAGAUAUAAACUUUGGCGAUGACCAAACAAAAAUUGCAAGGGAAAGAAAAUAGAGGACCCUUGAUAUCAUUAAAAUACUGAUCAUAGACACUACAAUAUAAAUAACUUGUUGUGAUCCACUCAACUUGUAACACUUUAAUCCAUAUUCUAAAAUUUGUAUGUUUGUUAGGAAUUUUAUUAUUGACAUUACUGUACCAAUAAAAUUCUAAUUUAUUCAUAUGGAAAGAAAACAUCAAGAAAGGACCUCUGAUUUUUAUUAUAACAGAAAAAAGUGGUCCAUAAGUCUAUUUAUUAUUUUAUUUAUUCAAUACAAAUUGCCAACUUAAAAAAUGGUAAAAAUCACAAAAUGCACAAGUAAAAUUUUAGAAUUACAUUUUUUUUAAUUCUCUUUGAGUCUCUCUCUCUCUCUCUUUAAAAAAUAAACCUCACUGUAAAAUUAGAAAAAAUUUAGACAUAAAAUUUGACAAUCACCAAACAGAAAAUGUAGGGAAAUGAAAAUGGAGGAGCCCUAUUAUCAUUAGAAUAUUGAUCAUAGAUACUAUAAUGUAAAUGAUUUGUUGUGGUUCAUUCAACCUGUCACACUCUAAGCCAUUUUCUAAAAUUUGUAAGGUUUAUAGGAUUUUUAUUAUUGGCAUCAUUGUAUCAAUAAUAUUAUAAAUUAUAUAUUCUAUUGUAAUGAAAAUUUGUGUAAUCUUAGGUAUUUAUUGUAUUAAAUUGUGUGGAUUAAUUAAGAAUAUUUUUGGAGACAAAAGAGGUGUGUGUACGUAGGAUUAAUAAUAAAAAAUUUCUAAAUAAAGGUGAUUGCUUCAUUGACAAGUACAUAUUUAUAUUCUCUAUUAGUAUUUGGGUUGUAAACUUUGUUUAUAAAGUGAAUAUAUUGUGGUAAGCGAUGUGGGCAAUAUCGGAUGCAAAAUAUUGAGAGAUCAUUAACGCAUAUAUUUAUUGCAUAUAGAGGAAAGAGUGUAGAUCCGGCCGUAACAAUUAUGAAGCUUUCCCCAAGUAUUCUCACGCUUCCUUAACUGUUCCAAAGUAUUUUUCAUAGUGUGCAGAUUUACUUUAUGGUGUCUUAAUUCGUCUAAAAUGAUUACUUUAGUUCUUUUGGGAUGAAAGGUCAUUUAUUGUGUUAGGAUUAAACAAUAGAAAAAAUAAGUAAUGGUAACGAAAGACUAAUUUGUGAUAUUGAAGCAUACAUGCUUAACUCAAUCCAAAACUUAGUAAGUUAGCUCAAGAGUUAAGAGUUGUCCAAAUCUUAUAUGCUGAACCCAAGUUCAAUACUCAAUUGAUGCAGGAUGUUAUUCCUAACACCGCCCGUCAUGCGUAGGAUUGGCAAAAAAACUCGAGUCAAUCCCGCCUAGACCUGCAAGCUUUAUUUAUGGCCAGCAUGAUGAAGUUACAGAUAUUAACCUAAAAAUUUGAAACUUACUAUGAAUGGCCUUGGUUAAAGACUUUUGUAACUUUAAUUUAUAACAAAUAUGUAUACACACACACACAUGUUUAGAUUGCAUUUGGGUGACUUUUUUUAUCAAUGCAAACAAUAUCAAAUUUAUCGGAUUAAUUUGAAUCUGAUCUAUAUCCGAUUUUGCCCGCCAUAAGCCCAAGUGACUCUCUUUUACUAAUUAAUAAGGGAAUUUUUUGACCUCAUGUCCUUGCUGUGGCAUUAGACUGUUGGUCAUUUUGAUUGUUUCCUACCUUCCAUUUACGCCAGCUGUAACAUUGUAUUAUUCACCAUUUUAGCCAUUUAAAUGAAAUUUUAUUUUUGUCAAAAAUAAAAUGACACCCUUAAAAUAAAAAAAAAUAGUUAUGUAGACCUCAAAUUUUUAAUAAAGAAUGUCAAUACCUCUUUUAACUACAAGAUUCGUAGUAGAUGAUAAAAAGAAAAUUAACUUCAAAUUUUUUCAUUAAAUGUAAAUCUGAUUGAAGUAGUUUAAAUUUUUCUAGUAGACUAAUAUAUAUAACUUAAAUAAUUAAUUUCAUUAUUAAUUGUUAAAAUGUUAACCAAUAUAUUUUUAAUUUAUUAUAAAAAUUUUAAAUAAAUCCUUGGAUUAAAUAGAUUUUACAAUUAAUGUAAUACUUCUGAUUUAUUAAUAAUAUUAAAAUUAUUUUAUAUGAUAUUCAAAAUAAUUUAAACUUAUAUAUAUAUUAAUAUUAUGUCUAUUUAUUAUAAUAUGGUUUAAUAUUAUACGGGAUUGUAAAAUAUUAAAAUAUUUUUCAAUAUCCAAUUAUUUUAAUAUGUAUAUAUCAUUACAUUUAUUUUAGUAUCAUAUUUAUAUUUAUUAUAAAAUAUAAAAUUAAUAAAAUUAAAGAGUAUUGCAGUAAAGUAAAAAAGAAAAGUCUUAUUAUCUCUUAUUCACGAUAUGAGAUUCUACAAAAUUAUUUCCCGAAACGGGUGUCCUUUUCUCAUUUUCAAAAGAAAAAAUAAAGUAAGAAUAAGUCCAUGGGUUUCAAAAACUUCUAGUCUUAUCCCGGGACUACAUUGUCUGCCACUAUAACUAAUGGAAAUGACAAUACAAUUGACAUUGCCUUUCGCAACAUGACAAAUUUUUGGUGGGAUAUGGAAGAAUUGUCAAAAGUUCACGCCAUGUGAGAGUUUUUGGUGGGAUGUGGGAGGAUUGUCAAAAGAUCACACCACAUGAUAUAACCACAAUUGCUAUGGUUUUUAUUUUUUAAAUAAUGAUGGGAGUUAUAAAUUAUUUAUAUAAAUUUGCGUAGAAACUAAUGUAACAUAAAAGAAGUAGCUGAAUAACAAUAUUUGGUGCUUUAGGUAAUUUUUAUAUGAGCCUUUCUUUUAUUUAGCGGCUCUAGUGCUUAAACAAACUUGUUCUCGAUCUUAUAACAGAAAAGGCAUCCCAUUUAAGCCUAUGAUGACAUAAUUAAACAUAUUCUUUUGUGACGAAAACAUCAAGAGAAGACAUCUCAUGUUUUAUUAUAACAGAAAAGAAGUGGUCCAAACGUCUAUUCGUUAUUUUAUUUAUUCAAUAUAAAUGGCCAACUUUAAAAAAAUGAUCAAAAUCACACAACACUCAAGUAAAAAUUUAGAAUUACAUUUUUUAAUACUCUCUAAGUCUCUCUCUCCUGCCCCCCCCCCCCCCACCCCGUCCCCUUUUUUGAAAAAAUAAACCUUAGUGUAAAAUUAGAAGAAUUUUAGAUAUAAAAUUAGAAGAAUUUUAGAUAUAAAAUUUGGCAAUCGCUAAACAGAAAAGCAGCGGAUUGAAAAUAAAAAAACUCUAUUACCAUUGGAAUAUUGAUUAUAGACAAUAUAAUAACUUGUUGUGGUUCAUUGUAGCACUCUGAGCCAUAUUCUAAAAUUUAUAGGUUUGUUAAGGCAUUUAUUAUUGACAUUAUUGUGUCAAUACUAUUAUAAUGAUAAUUUGUCUAGUCUUAGGUACUUAUUAUAUUAAAUUAUGUAAAUUAAUUGAGGAUACUUUUAGAGACAAAAGAAACACGUGUAUGUAGGAUUAAUAAUCGAAGAAUUGUAAAUGAAGGUGAUUGCUUCAUUGAGAGGCAUAUUAAAUAAUUAUGGAGAGUUGCACUAUUUCGGAAGCACAUAAUUAUACUUCCCUAUCAGGAUUUGGGGUAAACGAAGUGCUUUAUCUAUUGCAGUAAGCAAUGUGGACAAUAUCAGAGGCGAAAUAUUAAAAGAUCAUAACGCAUAUAUUGGAGCCAUUUAUCUUCCGCAACUGUUCUGAACUAUUCUUCAUUGUGGGCAGAUUUACUUAAAUACCUGCACAAUGAUUCAAUACUUCAAAGGUCAAGGAAAUGUCAAAAUAUGAAAUGAAAAUACUUAAAUACCCUUCUACCUAACAAAACUCGCAGAGAAUCUAUAAAAUUAAAAAAAAAAUAUUCAUCCAUGAAAAGCUUCGUAACAGAAAAACCGUCUUUCAAAAAAUAAAAACAGAAAAACUGACUCAUUUAUCUGCAAAUGAACCAAUCGGGACUCAUUUAAAAAAGAAUACAAAGCAAAAGUAAAUGACACAAAUUGCAUAGAUAUCUAGGAGCCGCAUCAAAAGACAAAGGUGUUAAUUUGUCCAAGAAUAAAUUCUCCUAGGUCAAAAGCAAUUAACGAUGAAAACUUUCUUCAUUAAGGUUCUGGCCUACGUAAAAAAACAGAAAAAAACCACCCCAAGGUCAAAGCACAACGAUAAAUUUAGAAAUGAAGUUUUUAAUUUUUUUUUAAUAAAUCAACGUGUAUCAAAAAUAGAUAAUAAUUUUGGAUAACUUUUUUUGAUAAAUAUAGACAUAAAAUUUUAAAAUCACCAAACAGAAAAACAGGAGAAUUAAAACAAAGUCCCUGUUUAUCCUCUAUUUUGCUUGUUAUUAAAAAGGGAAAUGAAAAGAUUGCAAGCGGAAAUUUUGUUUCUGCGUUGUCUCUUCUCAAUGCUGCAUGCAUUCAAAUUAAACCUUACAUAUGCUAGCAAACUAGCUACGCUGCAUGUAAGUUCUCGAUAAGUCCAAAUAAUAGAAUAAUUGUAAAAUGUUCAAAUUCAGUAAUUAAUUUUAUUUAUUUAUUUAUUCAAAAAUUAUUAUUAUUAUUAAUUAUUGUCAAUAAUAUAUUAAUAUACUAAUUAAUUGUAAAAAAAUUUAUCAUUCAUAACAAUAAUAAUGAUGAUGAUGACGAUAAUAAUAAAAAUUCAAAAUAUAUUAAUUAAUUAUAAUAAUAUAUUAAUUAUUUAAUAAUAAUAUAUUUAAAAUAUAUAUAAAUUGAUUAGAAUAGUUAUAUUAAUAAAUUAUAAACAUAUAUUAAUUAAUCAUAAUAAUUUUUUAAUUGAGGACAAAAUAGAUAUUUUAUAGUUUGUGAGAGGGGGCAAAAUGAUCAAUCUUGGGAAUGGGGGAUUGAUUCCCACCACCUUCCUUAGGAAUCAAUCUUCCAUUCCUCACUCCUAAUUUGGGUGGUCCCCAUAGUUCUGAUUCGGAUCCCAGCCUCCAUUUUAUGAAGUAAACAUCAUUAAUGAUUUCGAUUUCGGAUUUCGAUUCUCCAGUCCAAGAAGUAAAGGCACCAUUAUUGUUAAUUGGUUCAAACACACAAAGAGAAUGUACCAUGUAGCUAGGCGUCAAGGUUGUGUGGCACAAGUAACCUUUUUCUUUUCUUUUUAUUUUUCUUGUUUUCCUUAACGGAUCAGAAGAAAUCGGUGCCUUUGAGAUACUACAAUGUAAAUAAGUAUUUGUGGUUCAUUGAAUCUGUAACACUCGGUACCCUAAGGUUGCUUUUGAAAAAGGGCUUUUCUCACUGAUCACCAAUAUCCAAGUAAGUUUGUUUCAUUUCAGAAGGUGCAAAGUUUCAAACUUUUUGUAUUGGGAUGUAACAAACUUUGGCCUUAUAUGCUUGCUGUGACGUUAGACUGUUCAUUUUGAUUGUUUCCUACCUUCCACUUGCGCCACUGUAGCACUGUAUUAUUCAUCAUUUUAGUUGUUUAAAUGAAAUUUUAUUUUUGUCAAAAAUAAAAUGACACCAUUAAAAUUUAGAAAAAUAAUCAUGUAGAUCCCAAAUUUUUAAUAAAGAAUACCAAUAUUCCCCUUGACUACAAUACCCUUAGCAGGUGGUAAUCAAACAAAUUGACUUAAAAUUUUUUACGAAAUGUAAAUAUGAUUUAAAUAAUUUAAAUUUUCCAGAAGACUAAUAUAUAUAAUUUAAAUAAUUAAUUUCAAUAUUAAUUUUUAAAAUGUAAAUUAAUUUAUUUGUACUUAUAAAAUAUUUGUAAUUAUUUUAAAAUUUUAACUAAAUCCUUAGGUUAAAUAGAUUUUACAAUUAAUAUAAUAUUUCUCAGGUAUUAAUAAUAUUAAAACUAUUUUAUAUGACAUUGAAAAUAACCUAAAUUUUUUAUAUAUUUAUUUGAAUAUUAUGUCUCUAUUUAUUAUAAUUUGGUUUAAUAGAAUACGAGAUUGUAAAAUAUUAAUAUUUUAGAUAUUGAAAUUAUUUUAAUAUCUAUAUAUUAUUAUAUUUAUUUUAAUAUCCUAUUUAUAUUUAUCAUAAAUUAUUAGAGUUAAUUUUUUUAGUUAAUAAAUUUAAAAAUAUUAUAAUUUAAAAAAAGUCUUAUUGGCCGUUAUUCACGAUAUAAGGUUCUAAUAAAUUAUUUCUCUAGACAGGUGCCAUUUUCUUAUUUUCAAAAGGAAAAACAAGUUCAGGGCCUCGGGGGUUUCAAAAAAUUCUGGUCCUAUCUAUCACUAUGACUAAUGGGAAACGGCAUUGCAAUUGACAUUGCUUUUCGCAAUAUGACAUAUUAUGGAGGGAUAUGGGAGAAUUGUCAAACAUUCACACCACGCGAGAGCUUUAGGUGGGAUAGGGGAGGAUUGUCAAGAGUUCACACCACAAGAAACUAAUGAUAGGUCUAAUUUCGUUGUCAGUUCUUUAUUUAUUUAUUUUUUUUAUUUCAUACAUUAUUGUUCUUGUAAAGGUAUAAAAGUAAAGUAAAAUACUAGGGGUGCUGUUAAGUUACAACUGAUGUAACUUGUAAUUUUUUCAAAAAUAAUGUAAAAAAUUUAAUAGGUGGUGGGACUCACAUAUUUUUUAAGAGACUUAAGUUAUAGUAGUUGUAACUUAACAAAAUCUAAAUAUUAUACAAUAAUGCAUAUUAAUAAUGCAUAUAAUUUGGGUUUGAUUUUUAAAAGAUUAUUUGAGUACCACCUAUCCUUAUGAUAUUAAUGUGAUUAUAUCUUAAUAUUAAAUAAUCAAAAUUUGUUUAAUUAUUAUUUGUAUUUCAUACAUUACAUAUUAGAUUUGUUUGAAUUUUAAGUUGUUGCUAAUAAAUAUUUAUGUUGUCAAAGUCAAAUUCAAUAGCUACAAAAGCAGAGAUAAUGGUAUUGUAUAUAGUUUUUAAGAAUGCAAGGAUAAGCUGGAUAAUUGACAUAAAUUCUAAUGAUUAAAAGAGCAACUAUCCCUUAAAUUAUAAUGUUAAUUUCUUUAAUUAGAUUUUUUUUUUCAUGUGAUAUAACCACAAUUGCUACAAUUUUUUUUUAUAAUAAUAAUGGGAGUUAUAAAUUAUUUAUAUAAAAUUUGGGUUGAAACUAAUGUACCAUAAAAGUGGUUGCUGAAUAACAAUAUUUGAAACUUUAGGUAAUUUUCAUGAGUCCUUUUUAUAUUCAGCAACCUGAAUUGGGGAAAAUCCGACUUGAAUUGGCGGUUGAUUUUGGUGAUGUGGCUUUUGGUUUAUGGCGGCUUUACUGUGGCGGAAGACUGGAUUUACGGUUGCCGACUGCUAGGGAUUAUGGUGGUGGUGUAAAUUGACGGAAAAAGAAGGUGUUUUGGUGGCGGCGCGUGUAGGAAGCACUCGUGGGUUGUCGUUUCGUGUGGUGACAGAGGGCGGCGAUCAAGGGCCGAAGUCGGUCAGUUUUUGGUCAACGAAGGCCGGCGAGUUUGUUGGUGGAGGUGGCUGGUGGAGAAAGUGGCUGAAUGGUGGUGGGUUGCUUGGUGGAGCCGCAGGUUUGGGUUGGUGAUUUGCGGCUGUUCAAGCGGCGGUUGAGGCAGCGAUGACUGAGGCUUGGUCGACGGUGGCUAGUGAGGUUUGUGGUGGUGUUGGCUGGCUGAUUGGCGGUGGUGGGCGGCGGUGGGGGUUGGUCUGACGGGUAGGGUUUUCAAAUUUGUAAUUUUUUUUUUUGAUGGAUUUGGUUUGGAUGGGUAUGGUGUAUCUAGGAAAGAUGUGUGAUUCGCACAGAAUUGCUUUGAUACCAAUUGAUGGAGCGAGCGUAGCGGAAGUGGAAUUGAUAAGGUAAGAAAUACUAAAUAUCAUUCUAGUACUGGAUCAAGCCAACACAAUUAACUUACGCUUUAAUCAAAGCGUGAUUAGAUAUUGUUUUAAUCUAAAUGAUUCAAUGAGAUUUUUAAUAACGCGUAAUACGAGAUUAGAUGACACUCUAAUUUAAAUAACUCUAUAAGAGAGAUUUUGAUAAAUAAUACUAGAGGAAAUUAUAAAAAAAAGAGUUUUAUUUAAUAAUUGAAUUUGAAGUCCUGAAAACAAUGACAAGACAUCUUUAUUUUUUUUAUUACAGACAUCUUUAUUUAUAAUAAAAGAAAUCCACUUUCCUAAGUUAACCUAAAAAGAAAAUUUAAAUUAUAAUUAUAAUGGAAAUAAAAGAUUAAGAUACAUACCAUAAUUGACUCAAACAAAAAUAGAAAACCAUAAAAUAAUAAAUAUUUUAGAAUUAUAAAUUAUCUAAAAUAACGUUAAUUAACUUCCUAAAUCACGUCUUUGGUGUAAACCAUUUUGCAUCCAACCUUGCUUUAAAGGUUUGAACCAACGUUACGAACAACAAUGUAUCAAAUUCCAAUCUAACUUAAGAUCCUGAUACAUCUACCGAUGUCCUUGUUUGAUUAGACAAUAAUGAGUCUAUCUCAUCACUUGUUACCUCUUUUUUGAAGCUGCAUCUGUUGAAGUGAUAGCCUCGCUUAGAGUUUAAAGAUCUUCUUCCAUGUUAAAUAAAGUGGGCAUUUGAUUAAAAAACUUUAUCUCUAUCUCCUUCUAUCAAAUAACGAAAACUAUCCAAAGGAAAAAAAAAAAAUUAGAAAAGUCCAUGGGUUGCAAUAAUUUAUGGUCUGUCCUCGGACCCCAUUAUCUGCCAAUAUCAAUGAUGAAAAUGAAAAUAAAUGGCAUCUUCCCAAAAUGGCGAAAGAUUUUUAGGAGAUAUGGGGAAUUGUCAAAAGUUCCCACAACGCGAAAUAAGUGUUACAUCCAAUUUUAUUUCAUCAUAUAAUGAUAAUAUCAAGUAAUGACAGCCAUCUAAAAGUAUAAUGGGUCUUCCAAAAUUUUGAAAAUGUCGUCAACAUUUAAUCUUCAAUGCUAAAGAAGAUGAAAUGCCCAAAAAUGACAUGCAGGACCCACUCACAGACUAAACGGCCCUGACCACAUGCAACAAACUUUGACUUUAUGUCCCUGCUGAGGCGUUAGACUGUUGGUCAUUUUGAUUGCUUUUUACAUUCCAUUUACGCCAUUGUAGCAUUGUACUAUUUACCAUUUUAGCUGUUUAAAUGAAUUUUUUUUUCCAAAAAUAAAAUGACACCCUUAAAAUUUUAGAAAAUAAUCAUGUAGACCCCAAAAUUUUAAUAAAGAACACCAAUACCCUUUUUGACUAUAGUACUCUUAUGGUAGCCACAAAAAAAAAAUGACUUCAAAAUUUUUUACUAAAUGUAUAUAUGAUUUAAAUAGUUUAAAUUUUCUAGUAGACUAGUAUGUAUAAUUUAAAUAAUUAAUUUUUAAAAUGUAAUUUAAUAUAUUUAUUUUAAUAAUAUAUUUAUUAUAAAAAUUUUAAACAAAUCCUUGGGUUAAAUGGAUUUUAUAAUUAAUAUAAUAUUUCUCAUGUUUUAAUAAUAUUAAAAUUAUUUUAUAUGAUAUUGAAAAUAAUUAAAAAUUUUAUAUAUUUAUUUGAAUAUUAUGUCUCUAUUUAUUAUAAUUUGGUUUAAUAGAAUACGAGAUUGUAAAAUAUUAAAAUAUUUUUAGGUAUUGAAAUUAUUUUAAUAUGUACAUAUUAUUAUAUUUAUUUUAAUAUCCUACUUAUAUUUAUUAUAAAAUAUUAAAAUUAAUUUUUUUAGUUAAUAAAUUUAAAAAAUAUUAUAAUUAAAAAAAAGAGUCUUAUUGUCUGUUAUUCACGAUAUAAGGUUCUACAAAAUUAUUUUCAAAAGGAAAAAUAAGUCUAGGGGUUUCAAUAAAUUCUAGUCCUAUUUGCCACUAUGACUAAUGAAAACGACAUUGCAAUUGACAUUACUUUUCGCAAUAUGACAAAUUUUUGGAGGGAUAUGGGAGAAUCGUCAAAUGUUCACACUACGCGGGAGUUUUGGAUGGGAUUGGGGAGGAUUGUCAAGAGUUCACACCACAAGAAACCAAUGAUAGCCAUAAUUUUGCUAUCAGAUCUUUGUUUAUUUAUUUUAUUUAUUUCAUACAUUGUUGUCUUGUUGGCAUUGUUUUGCAAAGAUAUAAAAGUAAAAUAAACUAUUAGGGUGCUGCUAAGUUAAGCUGUUGUAACUUACAAUCCCUUAAAAAAUAAUGUAAAAAAUUUAACACGUGGUGGGAUCGACAUAUGUUUGAAGAGGCUUUAAGUUACAGUAGUUGUGACAUAGCAAAAUCCAAUUAUUAGACAAUAACGCACAUUAACAAUGCAUAUAAUUUGGGUUUGAUUUUUUGAAAAAUUAUUUGAGUAUUAACUAUCCUUAAGAUAUUAAUGUGAAUAUAAUUUAAUAUUAAAUAAUCAAAAUCUGUAUAAUUAUAAUAUAUAGUUCAUACAUUGCAUGUUUAAUCAAAAUCUGAUUGCUUUUUACCUUCCAUUUACGCCCACUGUAGCAUUGUACUAUUCACCAUUUUAGCUGUUUAAAUGAAAUUUUUUUUUUUUCAAAAAUAAAAUGACACCCUUAAAAUUUUAGAAAAUAGUCAUGUAGACCCCAAAAUUUUAAUAAAGAACACCAAUACCCUUUUUGACUAUAGUACUCUUAUGGUAUUCACAAAAAAAAAAAAUGACUUCAAAAUUUUUUACUAAAUGUAAAUAUGAUUUAAAUAGUUUAAAUUUUCUAGUAGACUAGUAUGUAUAAUUUAAAUACUUAAUUUUUAAAAUGUAAUUUAAUAUAUUUAUUUUAAUAAUAUAUUUAUUAUAAAAAUUUUAAACAAAUCCUUGGGUUAAAUAGUUUUUAUAAUUAAUAUAAUAUUUCUCAUGUUUUAAUAAUAUUAAAGUUAUUUUAUAUGAUAUUGAAAAUAAUUUAAAAUUUUAUAUAUUUAUUUUAAUAUUAUGUCUCUAUUUAUUAUAAUUUGGUUUAAUAGAAUACGAGAUUGUAAACUAUUAAAUAUUUUUUGGUAUUGAAAUUAUUUUAAUAUGUAUAUAUUAUUAUAUUUAUUUUAAUAUCCUACUUAUAUUUAUUAUAAAAUAUUAAAAUUAAUUUUUUUAGUUAAUAAUUUUAAAAAAAUAUUAUAGUUAAAAAAAAGAGUCUCAUUGUCCGUUAUUCACGAUAUGAGAUUCUACAAAAUUAUUUUCAAAAGGAAAAAUAAGUCCAAGGGUUUCAACAAAUUCUAGUCCUAUCUGCCACUAUGACUAAUGGAGACGAUAUUGAAUUGACAUUGUUUUUCGCAAUAUGACAAAUUUUUGGAGGGAUAUGGGAGAAUCGUCAAGCGUUCACACCAUGCGAGAGCUUUAGGUGGGAUAUGGGAGAAUUGUCAAGAGUUCACACCAAGAGAAAUUAAUGAUAGGCCUAAUUUCGUUGUCAGUUCUUUAUUUAUUUAUUUUAUUUAUUUCAUACAUUAUUGUCUUGUUGGUAUUGUUUUGUAAAGAUAUAAAAGUACAAGUAAAAUAUUAGGGGAAGUAAAGUAAAAUAUUGGAGGUGCUGCUAAUUUACAGCUGCUGUAACUUACAGUUCCUUCAAAAAUAAUGUAAAAAAUUUAACACGUGGUGGGACCCACAUUAUGUUUGAAGAGGCCGUACAUUAUAGCAGUUGUAAAUUAGUAAAAUCCAAAUAUUAGACAAUAAUACACAUUAACAAUGCAUAUAAUUUGGGUUUGAUUUUUUAAAAAAUUAUGUGAGUAUUACCUAUCCUUAAGAUAUUAAUGAGAAUAUAUUUUAAUAAUAAAUAAUCAAAAUCUGUUUAAUCAUAAUAUGUAAUUGAUACAUUGCAUGUUAGAUUUGUUUGGAUUUUAAGUUGUUGCUAAUAAAUAUUUAUGUUGUGAAAGUCGAAUUCAAUAGCUACAAAAGCAGAGAUAACGGUAUUUUAUGUAGUUUUUAAGAAUACAAGGAUAAGACCAUAACGCAUGAGAUAAUGGUAUUUUAUAUAUAUUAAAAGACCAUAACACAUGUAUUUGAGCCAUUGAUAUUGAAGACACAUAUAGAGGAAAGAGUGCAGAUCCGGCCCUCAGUAUUGUGAAGCUUUCCUCAAGUAUUCUCAUGCACACAGACCUUAUCUGGUCAAGUUUUCUGAUUCAAUAUAAUCAAUUUCCGCGCAGUACUGACGACAGCUUCUCUGUAAAGCUCUUCAACCACAAGCAUUUCUACAAGGCAAAAGACUAGGACGUGUCAGAAUGAAUAUCAAUAAGGGAAUGUCUUAUGAAUUUAGUUUAUAUCCUAAUAUAAGACAAUCAGUAAAUAUUGGACUCAUUAGUUGCCCUUGCCUCAGACGUUUGGAUGCUAAGGGGAAAAAGGAAGUUUGAAUUAGUCAAUCUCAUUUCUAAUGGCAUUCACAGAGAACUUAUAAAACAAAAAAAUUAUAAAAAAAAAUUCAUCCAUAAAAAGCUUAGUAACGGAAAAACCGACUCUUUUAUCUGCCACUGACGAAAAAAAAACUGAAGUAUCAAAUAGAUAAAGAUUUUAAUUUUUUUCUUGGAAAAACUAAUAAUAAAUUAACAAUUGGAUAAUACUAUUAAUUAGAGAUCUUUAAUAUUAAGGUUAUCAAAGAUAGAAUGUGUAUAAAAAUUCUUAAUUAUAAGAUAAUUACUAACUAAAAAGAGGCCUAAAAAAGAAGAUUUGCUAUUAUAAGUAAUACCAAAAAUAAAAAAGGGAGACUUCCUAAUUGUUUAAUUGUUAAAAAAGAGGAUUUGCUAUUAUAGGCCUAAUUUGCCUAUAAGUAAUACCAAAAAUAAAACCGUUCCUGGAUGUAAAAAAUAAAAAUUAUUGUUAAAUUCCUGACUAAUAAGGUCAUUGAAAGUAUUCAAAGGACCUGAACUUAUAGGAAAGCCAGCCAUGAUGAACUAUACCACGUUGCAAGUGAGCUCGUAUCUUCAUCCCUUGAUCUGCCAUCGGCAUUUCUGUUCCACUCACUAUACCAUCCUUUUCAAUCGAUUUUUAUUGAUCAUAAGAGGCCAUGUGGCCCACCUUAUUUUUAUUUUGGAUCCAUAACCCAAAGCUGGCCCAAGUUCUGAUUCCAGAAUCAUUUGUCUACAAAGUGACCUCAUUCCGGCAAUUGGUUUAUGCUAAUAGCACGUGCAAUUUUCAUUUUCUUCUUUUUAUUAAUUAAUUUCAUCAUUAUUAUUUGCUUAUUAUUUUAAAUUAAUUAAUUAAAUUGUAUUAUUGAAAUUAGUCUUUCUUUUUUCUUUUCUCUUUCAAUGCACAAAGCCAAACAACCAUUCUUGCUUCAAAUACCGAAGAGCUCCUGACUACGGCUGUCAAUGCUUCUAUAUUUACGUGCUGUGCUGCAUCACUCUUAGCGAAAGCUUGAAUGAAUGAUUAAAGACAAAAGCUUAUAUAAAAGCAGAUGCCGGAGGCACUCAAAAAGCAUUUGAGAGAGAAGCUACACAGCAAAUCAUCAAACGUACUUCAAUGACUUUGAUUUUGAUUCUUUUUUUUUUCAAAAGAAGUAGAAAAGUCCAUGGAUCACGAUAACUGCUUGUCCUAUGCCGUGACCUCAUUGUCCGCUGCUAGUGUCAAAUAGAUUAAUCUUUCUAGUAGAUUAAUAUAAUUUAUAAUUUUAAUUUCAGUAUUAAUUUUUAAAAUGUUAGUUGUUAUAUUUAUUUUAAUAAUAUAUCUAUUUUUAGUAUAAAACUUUAAAUAUAUAUUUAGAUUAAAUAGAUUUAUAAUUAAUAUAAUAUAUCUCAUGUAUUAAUGAUAUUUAAAUUAUUUUAAAUAAUAUUAAGCCUAACUUAAAAUUUUAUAUAUUUAUUUUAAUAUUAUGUUUCUAUUUAUUAUAAAAUUUAGUUUAAUAUAAUAUAAGAUUGUAAAGUAUUCAAAUAUUUUUUAAAUAUUGAAAUUAUUAUAAAAUGUAUAUAUUGUUACAUUUUUAAUAUUGAAGUCAAUCUUUUUUAAGUUAAUAGAGUGAAAAGAUAUUAUAAUAAAAGGCUACGUAAUCUUUCACUUGCACAUAUUCUGUACUCUCUGGAGCAGGACGGUAGGAAAUAUGAUUACAAAUGUUAAAUUCGCCUUUCUUCACAAGUUUAUCAGCUUCGUUUGCGGCCUCUGCUGCUUGUUUACCAAGCUUGUAACAAGAAAUCAAAUUUGGGCACAACCUUUUGAAGCAGAACAUCUUAGCUCUAUCUUUAUCAUCAAUGAUUGAUUUUGCAACCCCUUCACUGAAUUCAGCAACUCUAUUUAGCCAGUCUCUGACACCCUUAUAAAUCUCAUCUCCUUGUAGAGUAGCCUCUCUAACCAGCAUUUGCACCCUUUCUCUUAUAUAUUCCAGCUCCUUCACUCAAUCUUUUAGCCCAUCUAUGUAGCUCUGGUACUCGGAACACAUAAGAUAUGUGCCACAUAAUCGGUUUGAAUAAUGCUUUUGAACCUUGUGAUACAAUGCUAGAAAAAGUAGGGAGACACCCUUCUGCAGCCAUUGCCUGUUGCUUAACAAUCUAUAUAAAUAAAUACAAGUGUCAAAGAAAGGAAUACAGAUAAAUUAAAAUGAACUAGUGGGAAAGACAGAGAAUGAAAAGACUGCAAACAAUAUUGCGAUAUUGAUCUUGAACUAACUAAUAAUUAAAUAGAGAAUUUCUUUUUCUUUCUUGAGGAUCAGAGAUUUUGCUAUUAACAAAAAGGUACUUCGAGGGUCUGAAUAAAAAACCAACCAUAAAUUAUCAAAAGCUAGUAAAAACACAGACGUAAAUAAUGAACAAUUACUUAAGCAAAACAGACCAUGAUACAAAGCAAAUCUAAUAAAAUGACAAAAAAAGAAAGAAAGAAAGAAAGAAAGAAAAUACAACAAAUAAUAUUGAAGUGUUGAUUAUGAGCCAACUGAUAUUUAAACAGAUUUUUUUAAAAUUUUUAGUCUUUUGCUAAAGGAUUAGAGUUUUUGUUAUUAAUAGAAAGGUUUUAAAGACCUGACAUUACUAGAAAAAUACUAAAUAAUGACAGAAAUUUUAUAACAUAUAUCGUUAUGUCACGAAUGUGUCAUGAAAAUAUGAUAGAUUCGUGAUAUAUAUUCAUGUCCAGAGUAUAUGACAUAUUCAUGACUUAUAACUUAACCAUCGUAAAUAAAUGAUACAUAUAAGUCAUGCUUAAGUUUUGUGAACUUAUAAGAUUGUAAAACAAUGCCGUUUAAAUUAACGACACCGUUUUGUAUAACUUAAAACCCAUUAACACUCGCAGCCAAAUUUUGGCUAAGCGUUGAAUUAAUCCCUCUCUCCACUGUAGAGAUGGCAGAAAAGCCCGCUCAGACCGGAUCCGGACUGGACCCGGUGCAUACGGUCCGGGUAAAACCCGGAUCGGAUGCAUGGAAAAAGCGGAUCCGGGCACGGGUCCGGUCACAGCACCAAGAAUCUGGAACCCGGACCCGUGC
rnacentral:lncRNA from 1 species